UGAAUUCAAUGGUAGUAACUGUAUACCUUUUCAGUCACUUAAGUACUUGGAAUUUGCUGACAUGUGCAGCUGGAAAGAGUGGGCUUCUUUUGGAAUAGGGACAGGUGGUCUUGCCUUCGCACAUCUGCAGGAGCUUUGUAUUAGAAAUUGCCCCGAGUUGAGUGGAGGUUUGCCCAGCCAUCUCCCUUCUCUAUCAGCCUUGUCCAUUGAAAAGUGUCCACAGCUAACGUCUUAUCUACCAUUUGCACCACUUCUCCGUAAGAUCAGUUUUGAUGAUUGUGGAAAGGUUUCUGGAGUGGAGCCUCUCCUAAAUGGCACUGAGUUACAAGAUAUGGAAAUCAAGAAUCUUUCAACCCUUCCCUUGAGGUUUCUUCCUCCUACCAUGACAAGACUCAAUCUUGAAGACAGUCAUGAAAUAGAGUUGCCAAUACAUAGAUGCCAUGAAUCUCUCCAAUAUCUAAAGUUGAAGCAGAGCUGCGAUUCACUUAUAUCCUUUCCUCUGGAAAUUUUCCCCUCACUUAAGAAUAUUCAAUUAGAGGAGAUUCAAAAAUUGGAACAUCUUUCAAAUUCAGAUGGUUCUCCACUUCUUCUCCAUUCGAUGAACAUUAGUGAUUGCCCUGAAUUUAGAUCUUUCCCUGCAGGAGGAUUGGUUGCCCCAUGCCUCACUUCAUUAGAGUUGAAUGACUGUCAUCAUCUAAAGAAUCCGCCAGAAAACAUGCAGGCUCUCCUUCCUUCACUUCGAUCAUUGACAAUAUCCUCAUGUCCACAACUCGAGUCAUUUCCCGAGCGGGGUUUACCCCCCAAGUUGGUCGCGCUUUCACUCUCUAAUUGUGACAAGCUCAUCACUAGCCGCAAGGAUUGGGGUCUUCAAUCACUAUGCUCUCUUAAAACUUUUGUCAUUGAGCAGGAGAAAAAUAUUGAGUCAUUUCCUGAGAUAGGGCUUCUGCCAAGCUCUCUUACCUCUCUGUAUAUCUUUGACUUUGCGAAUCUGACAUCCCUGAACUCCAAAGGGCUUCAUAGCCUGAGCUCCCUUGAAAAAUUGUUCAUUGGUGAAUGUCCUAAGCUCCAUUCCUUCCCAAAAGAGGGACAAAUUCUGCCUGCUUCUCUUACCACUCUGUUGAUUUAUGAUAUGGGUCUAAAAUCACUGGACAACUUAGGGCUCCACCACCUCACUUGUCUCAAAGAAUUUCGCAUAAAUAGCUGCCAAACUCUUCGAUCCAUGCCAGUGGAGGGCCUAUCAUCCUCCCUUUCCGAUCUAUUUAUCUAUGGGUGUCCUUUUCUGGAGAAAAGAUGCCAACGCAAGAAAGGGAAAGAUUGGCCCCUAGUUUCUCACAUUCGCUGCAUCGUGAUUGAAGAUGUGCUCAUCACAUGAUCGAAUAUCUUGCUUUAAAAGCCCUGCUUUUACCAAGAUCUCACUAGGGUAUCUCUGUUGACCCUACACUAAGUAAGCCAUUUAUUUAUUCACAACAUGCUUCAGUCGCUGUGUGGUCAAGCAGUACCAUCUGGCUGUAUUUGCCGCAAGCUACUCUGGUAACACUCCACAAUGGAGAUUAUUUGUAGUUUCACCGGCUUUCCAUUCUUGUUCCUACUAUCGGGCUGCAUGAUUUGUUUAUUGGUUGCCGAGUUAUUUAGCUGGAUCGUCUGCUUUUCCCCUUCUCCAUUCUCUCUAUAUAAAUCACACUCCCAUACUUCAGCUGAGCAUCUGUCACGGUCUUUAUACUCUCAACUGGAAAUGAUUAUUUCAUUGGUACUUUUUUUCGUCAUCAGGUUAUUUGGUUCCAACAUAUUCAGCUUUAAGAUCUCACUCAUAUCACGAUCGUCAACACCUACAAAUGCCAACUCGUGGAACUGUUUGUGCAUGAGCUAACUAAUGUAAAUAGAGCAAAGAGAUUCGUGGCCAUCUGAAGAAGGCCUAGCCUUGAUUAGGCUAUCCAGAUGAAUUCACAAACUCUAUGGCACGUCCUCAAGUUAUAGAGAGAGUAAAUUUGCUCUUAUUGACAGAUGCUUUAUGUCGUCUAAAGCCGUAUAAUAUUGCGAGGGAGACAUAAAUUCUUAAGGACAGGCAUGACUCAUGACUGACCUCUAUUCCACUUGCCAGAAAAGUGUGGUAUCGUGGGUGUAGUAUAUUUUUGUUUGCUUUGUAUUUUUAUUUGUCCAUUUCAGCUUAACAUCACUCUAAUGUUGUACAGUUUAACAAUUUCCCUGCUACACGUGGAAUUUUGAUCCAUAGAAUGUGAACAGUCUAACAGAUGCAAGUGACCCGGCACUUUGUAGUGGCAUAUCCACUUUUGUCACUAAUUAUAUCAUGACAUCAACUAAAUCCAAACUGAAGGACUAAAAAUACUAUGUAAAAGUUAGGUUUUUUUUCGUUGAAGUUGAAAGUUUGCAUCUCAAAAUGCAAUUCGAUCAAAAAAUAUGGACCUAUUGUAAUUUACCCUAUUUUGCGAGAAUAUUGUUACUUUCGAGGGAACUUAAGUGAUUUUAUGUGCACUAACUGUUGAGGAGCUUUUGCGGAUGGAGAUAAAGCUGGAAAUGUAUUGCUAGCUUUUAGCUCGAUUUGAGUAUCCUUUAGUCGUUAAUACUUGACCUUCAAUCAUCAUAGGUAGAGUGCUUCUAGAUGGGACUAGACUAACUAUUGUUACAAAAAUACAUGAUGCAUACAUAGUUAGCGAGAUGUACGUAUAAGUUAUGUUAGAAAAAGUCCAAUGACGUGGAAUUGCUAUGGUGCGGAAUAGUUAAUAUCUUAGUUGGCCAAAAAUUCAUUGCAUUAAGCUUUUGAGUAAAAGUGGUCUAAUUGGAUAUGUUGAAGAGCUUGGACUUUAGCUCUCUCUUGACUUUUGCUAUGUGCUCCUAAGUGAAUAGUUGAUUGGUGGCAACGUGUUGGUGCAAAAGUAUAAUCGGAUUAAGGGGGAAGUAUACUUAACAUUGAGCUCACACGUAAGAGGAGAUAAGAAUUGAUGUGAUGUGGAGUAGUUAAUAUAUCCUAGUUGGCCCAUGAUUUAUAGGUUUAAGCUUUUGAGCAUAUGUUGGUCCAACUAUAUUUGUUGAUAGGUCGAACUUGGGCUCUCUCUUGGUGAUCUCCUAUAUAAUGAUAUUGGGUUUCUACUAAGCGUUACCAAUAGUGGAUGUCGGAUGUAGCUUUGGAUGGACCUAUUCUUCUCCCACAAUAUCGAGAUAGUUUUAGUAACAGGGUUGUGGUGAGGAAAAAAAAUGGUGCUAAGUCUUCACAAGACAAGUGGAUUAUGAGGAUCGGGAGCAGCAUUGGCAAUGAGAUGGUGGAAAUCGACAAGGAAAACAAAUCCAUUUUUCACGCGGUCAGUAAGCCAAGUUAUCGACUCCUGGAAACGAAAGAAUCGAGGUCAAUUUAGAAGUUUCGAAAUUUCAUUGUUGGUUUGCAGCUUGCGAGAAAUUGUUUCUCGAUGAGCGCAAGUGCAAGAGAGGCACUCCAAUGCGAUUGCAACGUUUAGUGUAACACAUCGACACACCAUGUGAGAAGUACUUGCCUACUAGAUUGGCUGAAUUGUCGUUUUUGCAAGCUAAUACUUGUCAUAGUGAAGAAACAACAAACCAUUCAAGGUGAAACGGAGCCAACGCAUGAUCUGUAGUUGUACAUCCCAAGUGUUCAAUGUUGUAGCAUUGGAAGAAAGGAUCAUAUCUGAAACUGAUGAUGGGCAUGAGAUGAGUGGGUUAUGGAGAGAUUGUUUGAUACAGCUUUUCGAUGGUAGCUACGACCGUAAAACUGGAUGCUUCUGCUUUCGCAAGGUAACAUCUCAAAGCUAUCAUUUGGAACCAUGAAGCUGUCCCGUCUAGCUUUUAGCUGCUAUGUGUUACCAAAUGGUUGCAACUAUGAUUAUACCAAACGGGCCUAAGUUGAACUUCAUAGCCUAUACAGGAUCGGGAGGGAUUGGAGAAUUGCGUCAGUGAUACUUCUCUCUCUUCGGUUGAGUGAUUCAUCUCUUCUUCAAAAGGACCUCUAAUUCUCUAGGGGCAGACUUAAGCAAAGAGCGGAAUUGACUCCUGCAUGCAAGCGUGUACCAGUUUCGUGCUAUAGGAGGGUAUAACAUAUGCUGGAUAAGUGAAAUUUGGGAUCAUGUACAAGUCUCACUUAUUUAUCAUGUUCGAGGUGGAAGUCGUCAUAUGUACAUCAAAAGUGGCUGUGUAUGUAUAUAUAAGGACGAUCAUUCUGAUUUGUAUGUAUCGCAUAAUUGAGAAAGAUGAAUCAAAUAACCUUCAUUCCAACUUCAAAAUCUGUAAAGGCGUCAUUUCUCAAUAUGGAGAAAUAGUCCAGAAACCUUGUAGCUACGCAUUAUAGACAGUUAUUUUGAAAUGAUGUGGUGUAUUAUGCUAAUCAACACUGGCACAACUAGCAGUGGAUGCUGAUGCUGAUUUAACUCCCACAAAUUCGCUGAAUGAGAAGGCGAGUUAAAGCAUCUAAGACACAGAAAAACUACCUAGCUUGCUAAAUGAUUUGGACAUAUAGACCAACAAGAAUUGUGAUCGUCAUAUCACUAACGUUCAUCUAACCAAAAUAACAACAGCAACUUGGAUGGAUGCGGAUCGGGAAAAAAAGACCUACUGCGAGACAAGAUACAGGGCACAAGUCAUAUCUUGCAACAUAAUAUCUUCGGAGCAGUUAAAAAAUAGCAUCUCCUGGUCUUAACUCGCCCAACUGCGGAACAGCAUAGAACGAACACUAGGCUAGAUUCGUGCCCAAGGAAUGAAGUCGUGCAUGAUUGUGCCACAAACAGAGCACAACAAGAAAACCACCUAAUGAUCCAGCGGAACCUCAAAAACAAAGAAGGUUAUGAGUAUGUACAAUCAUGAGGCGAACUCCUAUCGGAUUGUUCAAAAACGUCCCUCUUGCUCGAUACAGUUUUAUAGUUUACCGUAUCACUUGAUGAACAGCAAUUUACAAACCAAUCUGUAUACCCUAUGUCCCCAGCAUUACCGUGGAAGAAAUGAAGAAAUCGUAUCCUGGCCCUAGCAUGAAAAACUGAGAAAUCCAUAUCCUACUGAAAGAAGCAUGGGGAUACAGCAUAGCAACAUGUCUUUGUCCACAAACUGCUAAUAUAGGUUUGUUACAACCAUUCAUCAUCAUGCAAAUUUCACAAGCUAAUGAGGGUGAAAAACGACACCCCCUUGUACAAAAAAGAGAGCCAAUCCAGUCAACAGACACGAAACUGACAUUUUACCACUGCCAACAAGAUGAAGUAAGAACAUCAGAGACAUCGGACAAUAUUCACAUCAAACACAGAGGUAAAGAGACUAAAAUCCAAAGCGCUAGUUCCACAUUUGCAACAGCAAUCGAUACAUCAGCACUCAAACAGGUCUGCGGACGCUAUUAUGGGUUGUAUCGGACAUGGGAUCUGCCAGGGCUUCAUCAACGGGUCGGGAAUCUCGGGAAUAUCAAUCACCAGCCCACUGACCACCUCCACGAUCUCGAGUACCGAGUUCAGGGACCGGAGCCUCUCAGUAAGCUCCAUGGCCUGGGCCCUGAGGACAUUGUUUGCCAACUCGACCUCGGCAUACUUCUGCGCAGCAGCAUUGAUACUCACCACGAGCUGAGCGUUAGCCUGCUGCAGUUGCCCCACUUCUCCGACCAAAUCCCCCAGCUGCUUCUGCCUCCUCAUCCGGGAGCGCCUGGCGGAUUCCCUGUUGGACUCCAUCCUCUUCCUCUUCCUUUCAUCAUCGGCCACCCCACCGAGCCUCGGGUCGCCAUCGGAUCCCGAGCUCGCCUGACGCCGAACCGAACCCAUUUUCGAGGGCCUUUCCCCGCGAUCAAUCAAUCACUCGAUUCGGAAAACGACCGAUCAGAGUGUCUCCGCGUGCCGGGAGUUAACAACGAAUUCCGAUGGAAUCAAAGGGAGGCACGAAUCGCGAUCAAUAGGAGAGAGAGAGAGGGGCGUUCAUGAGAAGACGUAGAACCAGUAGAGGAACACCACCGAGAAGGAGUGGACGAUCCGCACCCGGAACAUGAGGAUCGCGUAGUUCAUGACUCGGUUUCCCACAUCUGAAAAACCCUACACCAUCUACCACAAGCGCUCAACCAGUACCCUCCGAUUCUCAGCCCAACGCAACGAAGGGGAAAACGAAAACGGCGACAACGCAGCGGAAAGACAGCAGAGAGAGAGAGAAGGGGGACGUAAACUUAGCUGGCGGCGGCGGCGGCGGAACGCGCGAACCAGAGAGAGGUCGAAGAAGGUUAAGAAAGGAGGGGAGGAGGGGUUUAUAUAGAGGAGGCUCGCGGGCUUCGAUUGGUCUGCCGGGAAAACGAAUAUUCCCAGAAUCUUUUUUUUUUUUGGGUGUAAUUUAUUAGGACGGAUUUUGCUUAGGCGUGUCCCGAUUGCCCAAUCACAUUCGAAAGUGUAAGAUUAUAUUUCUUUCUUUAAUUAAAAAAAACCGAAAUUACCUUUUUAACGAAUCGAUAAAAGAAGAAAAUACACGAGAUGCUUGAGGAAUAAACAAAUGUGAAAAUUUAUAUCGGAGAUGUGGAGGAAUCUAGAGAUCCUCUUCUGAUUUUAUUUUGCCGGUGGUUUUUUUUAUCUUUUUAUUUAUCGAUGGACAACUAAUAUCUGACUUAAUCUAUUUAUAAAUCUCUUUCUUUACGCGACCGUGUAACCAUAAUACGGGGGGGAACAGAUGUUCUUAAAUUUAAAUUGUUUUUGGUGGGGGAGGGGAAGAAUGACGUCAUGGCGCACGUCUGAUGUGGCGUGGGAUUGGUCGGAUCUCAUCGUCGUCGCGGUAGUUGGUGCUGCCCAUGUUCAAUGUAAUGCGCACGUUGUUUGGGACCUUAUCCAGUAGCAUCACACUUUACAGAGCAGGCAAAACCGUGGGUUUGACCGGGUCAAACAUCGAACGUCGGAUCUUCUUGGAUACAUCCCCCCUGGAAAAAUGCACGCGAGCGCCAAGUUGUGAAAAGGAGAGAUAUUUAUUUUAAUGUUUUCUGUUUGGAGACAUUAAUUUCUCGAUACCUUUUUAUUUUCGUAAAAAAGGACUUGUGCAAUGGAAAUUAGUCGGGAUGCGUAAAAUACAGGCUAAAUCUUGGACUUCCAAAAUUGAAAUUGGAUGAAAAGAAUACAUAAGUGAUUUGGUGAAAGCAGAUAGCCGUUUGGAAAUUAAUGGUGAAAAUAUGUAGGUGGGCUCUUGGUGAGAAAAUAGGGAUAGAAAUCAAAGUGGAUAGUGGAUUUGGGGAUUGCAAACAUUGCAUCAUGAAAUAGUACUAGAAAAAUGAUCAUUGCAAUUUGUUUAUUCCACAAAAAAUGAAUGAUUUGAAAAAAAAAAAUUAUUACUGCAAUCCGUUUAUUUCACAAUAAAUGAAUAAUUUGAAAAAAAUGAACUCAAUGAACAAUACUAAUCACAACCAAGAGCCAACUAUCGGCUCCCAAGGAGCAAACCUAGGACACUGUGCCCAAACUUGCGAUCUUGACACUUUAAUCGAGAAUGACAUAUUUCAUAUUAAGGUUAAAAUUACAUGGUACCGGCACAAGAUGCAACAAACUCAAGAUGCAUAACAUAUAUAUAAGGUCGAACGACAUGAGAUUUGUAAUACCCUUUUUUUUUUCAGUCCAAUCAGAGUUAUAAUAUGUUGGCUAAUCAUUAAUGCUACAUCACAUUAAUGCUGCAUCAUCACUACCAAAUUUAGGGUCGAUGACUAGGCAAGGCUUGCCUCACCAGCCCUUGGUCAUAAGGAGAAAAUAUUAUAUACAAUUUUGAUGUCACUUCAGCAAAAUAUUAGUCCAUUCAUCUUGCGGCAUGUGUCACACGUGAGCCCACUUAUCUGUCACGAUCUCUCUCUCCCCUUCCUUUUGACCCAUUUUUCCUUCUCCAACUCUCUCUCUCCCCCUUCUUUUUGACCCCUUUUCCCUUCUCCAGCCUCAAGCCCAAGCCAUUGCCAUUGCCCACCAUGGCAAAGGGCAUGCUUGAAGUCUCCAACGAUGAGCUUGCUGCCAAUGGAUCCCUAUUUCUUUGUGCACCUUAUGGUGGGGAACCUUGAGUUGAAGAUCCCCAUCACUGCCAAGCCCAUUGGCUCUGCCGUUCACCCAUUGUCCUCUCCUCGCUUUUGCACCAACUUUGUUAAAUGAAUAGGAGAUGGCAAGAAAUUUUUCAGUGCGAAAAGCCUAAGACUUUUUGUUUUUGAAGUGAUUAUUUUUUAAUCGUGAAUGCAUGACGUGCCUGUGACACACCCGCAUUGAGAAAAUAUCAAGUGAGAGCAAGAUUUGAUGAAAAAUACUUCAUUAAACCUUUUAAGUUGCAUCCCAAAGAUACGAAAGCCCAAAAUAUGGGGGCAAAAACAAGAGGAAAUAGAAAGAAGCAGGAGAAAGAAGUCGAAUUUGUUCUUAUUUUUGAAAGCCCAUACCCUUAUGAAGCCCAUCGAUCCUCAUCUUGGGCCGUGAGAGACCCGCCGUUCCCCCGACCCGACUUGAUUUUCUUCCUCUCACGUUUUCCCGAGAAAACCCUUCUUCCCCACUCUAGCUUUCUCCGGGAAAAUUUUCCGAUCCGUUGCAAACCGUUCAUCAUCUUCCAUUCUACAACAGAUCUCGACGACCUGCGAGGCUGCGAUGGAGAUUCGCAUCAGAAGAGGCUACGCGUGGGCCAUCGCCGCCGGAUUCAUGGCCGCUAUUGCCGCCAUCUCCGCCAAGUUCUUCUCCUCUCAGGUAACUCAACCUCAUCCGCGCGCUUGUCCGUGCAAGCUAAUCCAUGAUUGUCCCCCGCCGUUCUGCUUUGUCACUCGAGAUUGUGCGAUUGUUCCAGCUAAUGCAAAUCGAAAUCUGGCGUGUGUGUUGGGCUGAAGCACUCGACGUCGCGUGGCGCGAUGUGAGCCGCAGCCGAUAGCCGGUGCGCGGCGAUAUGUCCAAUUUUUGGUUGUUUGAGGAUUAGCGGGACCACUAAUUGAGGAAAGCUCCUGUCAAUUCUACUACUUCUGUGGAGAAGAGUUGAAUAAAUUACCGAGUGGGCAAGAGGGAUGGCGGUGCGACUGCGCCUCGGUCCCAGACAUGCCCAGGGAGGGGUGGGAGUCCUGAGCUAGUUUAUCAGAUUUGAGUCCAUCUUGCCGUGAGGAUUUAGUAUUUAAAGCGGACAAUAUGUAUACAGUAGAGACCGGGGCGUUACAACAAUAUCAUCCAAUGACAGGGGAUCAAGGAGCAAGAAAAACACAUUUAGCAAACACAUGGAACGUGCUCAAAGGGAAACGGGUAUCGGGACGCCACCACGUCAUCGGUGAGCUCACUGGCAGAGCCUCAACGGAACAAUUGGGACGCUGCCACAUCCCCGGUUAGCUGGAGAUCCUCGAGCAAGUCCCAGUCACGAGCGAGUUCUCGGAAAAGCUUUGAGAAGAGCUCACCGGUGGAGUCUCGGUGGAGAUCCUCGAGCGUCAGCCAAGGCGACAACCAUUAUCACAAUUCUGGUGAAGACGAUCCAUGGCGAGCAAGCUACAGGCAUGGCGCUCUUCGCCUAUUCUGGUGAUUACAAUCAAGGGCGAGUGAGAUCGUACCCGCGACCACCCCAGCAGAAAUAUGAUUAUUCUCAUCACACUAGCAGGGGCAAUAUUAUUUAUCAUGAGCAAAUGCACAAGGGGAAAAUGACUUCGCAUUUCUUCAGAAGUCUUCCAAACGCAAGUGCUCAUGUCAACAUUUGCAUCAAGAUUUCUAACUUUUCUGUUUCGAAAAAGUAUAGUUACUGCGAUUUUUCUUUUCGUAUUUUAUAAAAAAAAAAAGUCAAAAACACACGGCGCAUCUCGUUGACCCAUCAUCAACCAAUGCAUGCCGAUCAGCGGGCGCUGUCCAUGUCCCGACCUCAUCGUCACAAGCGAAGAAUGUGAACCAAGCGAUCAACCAUCGAUCUUCGAAGGAGAAGACUUCACAGAUUGGCGCUUCUUCCGUCGGCGAUCGUCCUCAAUUCCUCUCCAAUCGCCUCCCAGCUUCCUCCUGCAUCCUGAAAAUCCCUAUGGCGGCGGCGCUCGUCGGCGGAGCAUUUCUCUCGGCUUUCCUCCAGGUGCUCUUCGAUCGGAUGGCCUCCCGCGAGGUCGUCGACUUCUUCCGGUCGCGCAAGCUCGACAAGGGGAGGCUGCUGCAGAAGCUGGAGGCUGCGCUCCUGUCCGCGAACGCCGUGCUGGACGACGCGGAGGAGAAGCAGAUGACCAACGACUCCGUCAGGAAGUGGCUCGACGAGCUCAAGGACGCUGUCUACGACGCUGACGACCUGUUCGACGAGAUCGCCAUUGAAGAUCUGAAGCGCGAAGCCAGGGUCGAGCCUCGGGCUUUCGUUUAUAAGGUCUGGAGCUUUGCUGCAGACGCUUGUAGGAGUGAAUUGGGGGAUGAGUUAGAGAGGGUUCUGGAGAGAUUGGAGAGAGUGGUGAAGCUGAGAAAAGUGCUGGGCCUAAGGGAAGGCAUUCGCGAGAGGACAGCUAGAGCUUUGCCGACCACUUCGUUGGUCGAGGAAUUGGGAAUUUUCGGGAGGGAGAAGGACAGGGAGGCGGUGAUCGACUUGCUCUUGUCAGAUCUGGGCGAAAAGAACACCAGCGUGAUGGCCAUCGUUGGGAUGGGCGGUCUCGGUAAGACCACGCUAUCUCAGCUCGUGUUCAACGAUGGUGUGGUGAAAGGGAGUUUCGAGUUGAGGGCGUGGGUUUGCGUGUCCGACCAAUUCGACAUCUGCAAGCUGACGGCCACGGCUCUCGAGGAGUUCUCCUCCUCGUCUAAGAAGGAGACCGAAAAUCUCAACCAGCUUCAGCUCCAACUGAAGGACUUCUUGACAGGGAAGAAAUUCCUAUUGGUGUUGGAUGAUGUUUGGAAUGAGGACUCAAAUCUUUGGGAUGCGUUCCUAGUUCCUUUUACCUAUGGAGCAAGAGGCAGCAAAAUCGUCGUGACGACACGAAAUGAAAGUGUCGCAUCGGUUGCUCGUGCCUUCUCGAAAUACUAUUUACAGAAUUUACAAGACAGGGAAUGUUGGGACUUGUUCGCAAAACAUGCGUUUGACCAGCAUAACUUCGAGGCGCGCACGAGACUUGAAGAAAUCGGGCAAAGAAUUGUAAAGAGAUGUGAUGGAUUGCCUCUUGCGCUGAAGACUAUAGGUAGCUUGUUACGCUGUGAGUCUGAUAUCAGGAAGUGGGAAAUAAUUGCAGAGAGUGUCAUUUGGGAUUUGGCACCUGGAAAGAAUAGAAUUCUCCCUGCCUUGUUGUUAAGUUAUCAUUACCUUCCUCCACAACUGAAACGAUGUUUUGCCUAUUGUUCAGUCUUCCCAAAGGAUUGCAUAUAUAAGAAGGACCAGCUGAUCUUACUUUGGAUGGCUGAGGGCUUGAUAAAACAACCUAACGCCGGCAGGACAUUAGAGGAAGUAGGUGAUCAGUGCUUCUGUGACCUUGUGUCUAGAUCUUUGCUUAAUAGAGUAAGUGAUGUUGAAUCGAGCUUCCCGAUGCAUGACCUGGAAGAAAGCGACGUCGCAUUGACCUUUUCGAUGCAUGACCUGGUCAAUGACUUAGCAAGAUAUGUAGCUGGUCGAUCUUUUUUUAGCUUGGACGGAGGCAAUGCACACCAGGUGUCCUCAGGCACUCGCCAUUUGUCAUUUGUAAGAACUCGAUAUGAUGUCGCUUCCAGAUUCAGAGUGUUAGCCGGGGCAAAGAAUUUGCGCACUUUCCUGCCGCUAAACGUGGGUCAUGUGAGAUUUCGCGGCACUGUUUGUUGACUGAUGAGGUACUGCAUGUCCUGUUGCCGACCCUGAGACGGUUAAGGGUGCUAUCUUUGUCUUAUUAUGAGGGAAUCUCUACGUUGCCCAGUUCAAUUGGACGUUUGAAGCAUCUGCGCUAUUUGAAUCUCUCCUAUAAUGAAAGUCUAAGCAGAUUGCCUGAUUCAAUUACAGCUCUAUAUGACUUGCAAACCUUAAUUCUUAGUUACUGUCAGUCUCUCGUUGAGUUACCGAGCAACAUGGGCAGCCUAACCUGUCUGCGUCAUCUUGAUAUAAGGAAGACAUCCCUGAAGAGAAUGCCGCAGGGGAUGAACAGAUUGAAGAAUUUGCAGAUAUUAACUAAUUUCGUGGUGGCCAAAAACGGUGGGACCAGGGUUAGGGAGUUAGGGGAGCUAAGGGAUCUUAUGGGUACACUCUCCAUACAGGGUUUGCAGAAUGUUGAUAGUUACCGAGAUGCUGAGAUAGUCAAUUUGCAGGGAAAGAGGUACUUGAAAAAGUUAGUGCUGGAAUGGGGUUGUGAUGACAAUAUUACGCAGCAAAAUAGCUUAAAUGUAUUGAACAAGCUGCAACCUCAUUGGAACUUGAGAGAGCUCAUCAUUAUAUCCUAUGGUGGUAGGUCAUUUUCCACUUGGCUGGGACACGGUUCAUUCUCUAAUAUGUCAGUUGUGCAUCUUGAAUCUUGCAAGCACUGUGUGUCAUUGCCUCCUUUAGGACAGCUACCAUCUUUGGAGAAGUUGACAAUCGAAGGAUUUGAUGGAGUUACAAGUGUGGGUACUGAAUUCAAUGGUAGCAACUGUAUACCUUUUCAGUCACUUAAGUACUUGGAAUUUGCUGACAUGUGCAGCUGGAAAGAGUGGGCUUUUUCUGCAAUAGAAACAGGAGGUCUUGCCUUUACACAUCUACAGAAGCUUUGUAUUAGAAAUUGCCCGCAGUUGAGUGGAGGUUUACCCAGCCAUCUCCCUUCUCUAACAGCCUUGUCCAUUAAAGAGUGCCCACAGCUAAUGUCUUCUCUACCAUUUGCACCGCUUCUCCAUAAGAUCAAUUUGGAUGAUUGUGGAAAGGUUUCUGGAGUUGAGCCUCUCCUAAAUGGCAUUGAGUUACGAGAUAUGGAAAUCGGGAAAUUUUCAACCCUUCCCUUGAGGUUUCUUCCUCCUACCAUGACAAGACUCUGUCUUCUAUACAGUCAUGAAAUAGAGUUGCCAAUGGACGGAUGCUAUGAGUCUCUCCAAAAUCUAAGCUUGAUGCGGAGCUGUGAUUCACUUAUAUCCUUUCCUCUCGAAAUUUUCCCCUCGCUUAAGCAUAUUUACUUGACGGAGAUUAAAAAAUUGGAACAUCUUUCAAACUCAGAUGGUUUAUCACUUCUUCUCCAUUCGAUGGACAUUAGAAAUUGUCCUGAAUUUAGAUCUUUCCCUGCGGGAGGAUUGACUGCCCCAUGCCUCACUUCAUUAUGGUUGGUUGAUUGCCCUCAUCUAUCUGCCAGAAAACAUGCAGGCUCUCCUUCCUUCGCUUCAGUCACUAGAUGUAUUCUCAUGUCCACAACUCGAGUCAUUUCCCAAGCGGGGUUUACCCUCCAACUUGGUCAGGCUUUCACUCUCUAAUUGUGACAAGCUCAUCGCUAGCCGCAAAGACUGGGGUCUUCAGUCACUAUGCUCUCUUGAAACUUUUGUCAUUGGGAAAGAGAAAAAUAUAGAGUCAUUUCCUGAGAUAGGGCUUCUGCCGACCUCUCUUACCUCUCUAAGGAUCGUUGGCUUUAAGAAUCUGACAUCCCUGAACUCCAAAGGGCUUCAUAGCCUGAGCUCCCUUGAAAACCUCUUCAUUAGCGACUGUCGUAAGCUCCAUUCCUUCCCAAAAGAGGGACAAAUUCUGCCCGCUUCUCUUACCACUCUGACGAUUCAUCAUAUGGAUCUAAAAUCACUGGAUAACUUAGGGCUCCACCGCCUCACUUGUCUCAAAGAAUUUGACAUAUUUAGCUGCCGAAGUCUUCAAUCCAUGCCAGCGGAGGGCUUGUCAUCCUCCCUUUCCAAUCUAUUUGUCCAUGGGUGCCCUUUGCUGGAGAAAAGAUGCCAGCGGAAGAAAGGAAAAGAUUGGCCCCUAGUUUCGCACAUUCGCUGCAUCGUAAUUGAAGGUGUGCUCGUCACAUGAUCGUAUAUCUUGCUUUACAAUCCCUCCUUUUACCAAGAUUUCACUCAGGUAUCUCCCUUGGCCCUACACUAAGUAAGCCAUUUAUUUAUUCACGACAUACUUCAGUUGCUUUGUGGUCAAGCACUAACAUCUGGCUGUAUUUGCCGCAUGCUACUCUAAUAACGCUUCGCAAUGGAGAUUAUUUGUAGUUUCACCGGCUUUCCAUUGUUGUUCCUACGAUUGGGCUGCAUAAUUUCUUUAUUGGUUGCCAAGUUAUUUAGCUGGAGCGUCUGCUUUUCCCCUUCUCCAUUUUCUCUAUAUAAAUCACACUCCCAUACUUCAGCUAAGCAUCUGUCAUGGUCUUCAUAGUCUCACCUGGGAAUGAUUAUUUCAUUGCUACCUUAUGUCGCCAUCAGAUUAUUUCAGCUUUAAGAUCUCGCUAUUGUCAACACCUACAAAUGCCAACUUAUAGAACUGUUUGUGCAUGAGCUAACAAUAGUAAAUAGAGCAAAGAGAUUCAUGGCUACCUAAAGAAGGCCUAGCAUUGAUUAGGUUAUCUAGAUGAAAUUAUUUUUUCUCGAACUCUGGCACUUCCUCAAGUUAAAAAGAGAGUAAAUUUGUUCUUAUCAACAAAUGCUUUCUGUUGUGUAAAGCUGUAUAAUAUUACGAGGGAGACGUAAAUUCUUGAGACUAGGCAUGACUCAUGAUUGACUUGUAUUACGCUUGCCAGAACAGUGUGGUAUCAUAGGUGGAGCAUAUUUCUAUUUGCUUUGUAUGUUUAUUUGUCAAUUUCAGCUAAAUAUCACUCUAAGGUUGUACAGUUUAACAAUUUCCCUCACUACAUGUAGAAUCUUGAUCCAUGGAAUGUGAAAAUGGAACAGUUUAAGAGAUGCGAGUGGCCCAGCAUUUUGUAGUGGCAUAUCCACUUUUUUCACUAAUUAUAUCAUGACAUCAGCUAAAUUCAUCAAACUGAAGGUCUAAAAAGAGUGAAAAAGUUAGGUUUUUAUUUGUUGAAGUUGAAAAUUUGCAUCUCAAAAUGCAAUUCAAUCAAAAUAUAUGGACUUGUUGUAAUUUACCCUAUUUUGAGAGAAUCUAGUUUCUUUUGAGGGAAUUUAAGCGGUUUUAUGUCCAUUAACUUUUGAGGAGCUUCUGUGGAUGGAGAUAGAGCUGGAAAUGUAUUGCUAACUUUUAGCUCGAUUAGAGUAUCCUUUAGUUGUUAAUACUUGUCUUUCAAUCAUUGCAGGUGGAGUGCUUCUAGAUGGGGCUAGACUAACUAAUGUUCCAAAAAUACAUGAUGCAUACACAAUAAGCAAUAUAGGCACAUGCUGUGUUGAGAUGCAUGUAUGGAUUGUGACGCAGGAUUAGUAUGGUGUCGAAUAGUUGAUAUAUCUUAGUUGGCCAAAGCGUUUGAGUAAAAUUGGCCUAACUGGAUAUGUUAAAAGGUUUGGACUUGGGCUCUCUCUUGGCUUUUGCUACGCGCUCCCAAGCCAAUUGUUGAUUGGUGGCAACCUGUUGGUGCAAAAGAAUGCUUGGAUUAAGGGAGAAGUAUACUGAACAUUGAGCUUACACAUAAGAGGGAGAUAAGAAUUGAUGCAGUGUGGAGUAAGAGAAAGACAAGAAUUGAUGUGGUAUGGAGUACUUAAUAUCUCCUAGUUGGCCCAUGAUUCAUUGACUUAAGCUUUUGAGUAUAUGUUGGGUCCAACUAUAUUUGUUGACAGGGUCGAACUUGGGUGGUUUCUUGGCGAUCUCCCAUGGGAUGGCAUUGAAUUUCUGCUAGGCACUACCAACAUGCCAUGGUGGAUGUUGGAUGCUGCUUUGGAUGGACCUAUUCUUCUCCCACAAUAUCAAGAUAGUUUCAGUUAGAGGGUUGUGAGGAAAAAAAAAUGGUGCUCAGUGGACGAGUGAAUUAUGAGGAUCAUGAGCAACAUAGGCAGUGGGAUAGUGGAAUUCGGCAAGGAAAACAAAUCCAUUCUUCAUGCUGUGAGCAAGCCAAGUGAUUGACUCUGGAAAUGUCAGAAUCGAGCUCAAUUAGGAGUAUCGAAAUUUCAUUGUCAGUUUGCAGCUUGUGAGAAAUUGUUUACCAAUGAGUGCGAGUGCAGGAGAGGCACUCCAAUGCAAUUGCAACGUUUAGUUGAAUGUAACGACAUGCCAUGUGAGAAUUAUUUGCCUAAUGGUUUGGUUGGAUUGUUGAUUUAGCAAGCUGAUACUUCUCGCAAUGGAGAAAUAAGAAACCAUUCAAGGUGAAACGGAGCUAACGCAUGGUCUGUAGAGGUACAUCCCAGGUGUUCGAUGUUGUAGCAUUGAAACCGAUGAUGGGCAUGAGAUGAGUGGGUUAUGGAGAUAUUGUUUGAUACAACUUUUCGAUCAUACCUGUGGCCGUAAAACUGGAUGCUUCCGCUUUCGCAAGGUAACAUCUCAAAGCUAUCAUCUGGAACCAGAAAGUUGUCCCGUCUAGCUUACAGCUGUCUCCGUGUGUUACCAAAUGAUCGCAACUAUGAUUGUACCAAAUGGUCCUUGAGUGGAGCUUCAUAGCCUAUAAAGGAUUAGGAGGGAUUGGAGGAUUGAUUGAGUGAUACUUCUUUCUCUUUGGUUGAGUGGUUCUUUUCUUCAAAAGCACCUCUAAUUCUCCGGGACACACUUAAGCAAAGAGCGGGAAUAACUCGUGCAUGCAAGCAUAUACCCGUUUCAUGCUAUUGGAAGGUGUAACAUAUAAGUGAAUUUUAAGGUCAUGUACGAGUCUUAUUUAUCAUGUUCAAGUUUGAAAGUCGUCAUAUGUAAAUCAACAGUGGCUGUGUAUGUAUAUAUAAGGACAAGCAUUCUGAUUAGUAUGUAUAACAUAGUCGAGAAAGAUGAAUCAGAUAACCUUCAUUCCAACUUCGAAAUCUGCAAGGACGUCAUUUCCCAAUAUGGCGAACCAGUCCAGAAACCUUGUAGGGAAAUGACGAACCAAUCCAGAAACCUUGUGGCUACGCAAUAGACAGUUAUUUUGAAAGGAUGUGGUGUAUUAUACUAAUCAACACUGGCACAACUAGCAGUAGAUGCCAAUGCUAAUUUAGCUCGCACAAAUUCGCUGAGCAAGAAGGGGAGUUGAAGCAUCUAAGACAGAAAAACUAACUCGCUUGCUAAAUGAUUUGGACAUAUAGAACAACAAGAAUUGUGAUCUUCAUAUCACUAGCGUUCAUCCAACCAAAAUAACAACAGCAACUUGGACGCGGAUUGGGAAAAAGACCUACUGCAAGAGAAGAUACAGGACACAAGUCAUAUCUCGCAACAUAAUAUCUUCAAAGCAGUCAAAAAAUAGCAUCUCCUGGUCUCAACUCGUCCAACUGCGGAACAGCAUAGAACGAACACUAGGCUAGAUUCGUGCCCAAGGAAUGAAGUCGUGCAUGAUUGUGCCACAAACAGAGCACAACAAGAAAACCACCUAAUGAUCCAACGGAACCUCAAAAACAAAGAUGGUUAUGGGUACAUAAAAUCAUGAGGCAAACUCCUAUCAGAUUGUUCGAAAAUGUCCCUCUCGUUCAAUAAAGUUCUACAGUUUACCGUAUCAAUUGAUGAACAGAAAUUUACAAACCAAUCUGUGUACCCUAGGUCCCCAGCAUUCCUGUGGAAGAAAUGAAGAAAUCAUAUCCUGGCCCUAGCAUGAAAAUCUGACAAACCAUAUUCUGCUGAAAGAAGCACGGGGAUACAGCAUGGCAACAUGUCUUUGUCCACAAACUGCAAAUAUAGGUUUCUUACAACCAUUCAUCAUCAUGGAAAUUUCGAAAGCUAAUGAGGGUGAAAACGACACCCCCUUGUACAAAAAAGAGAGCAAAUCCAGUCAUCAGACAGGGAACCGACAUUUUACAACUGCCAAGAAGUAUGAACAUCAGAGACAUCAGACAAUAUUCACAUCAACCACAGAGGUAAAGAGAAUCUAAAAUCCAAAGCGCUCUUUCCACAUUUGCGACGGUAAUCGAUACAUCAGCACUCAAACAGGUCUGCAGAUGCCAUUAUGGGCUGUAUCGGACGAGGGAUCUGCCAGGGCUUCAUCAACGGGUCGGGAAUCUCGGGAAUAUCAAUCGCGAGCCCACUGACCACCUCCACGAUCUCAAGCACCGAGUUCAGGGACCGGAGCCUGUCGGUAAGUUGCAUCCUGAGGACAUUGUUGGCCGAUUCAACCUCAGCAUACUUCUGCGCAGCCGCAUUGAUACUCGCCACGAGCUGAGCGUUAGCCUGCUGCAGUUGCCCCACUUCUCCGACCAAAUCCUCCAGCUGCUUCUGCCUCCUCAUCCGGGAGCGCCUGGCCGAUUCCCUGUUGGACUCCAUCCUCUUCCUCUUCCUUUCAUCAUCGGCCACCCCACCGAGCCUCGGGUCGCCAUCGGAUCCCGAGCUCGCCUGACGCCGAACCGAACCCAUUUUCGAGGGCCUUUCCCCGCGAUCAAUCAAUCACUCGAUUCAGAAAGCGACCGAUCAGAGGGUCUCCGCGUACCGGGAGUUAACAACGAAUUCCGAUGGAAUCAAAGGGAGGUACGAAUCGCGAUCAAUCGGAGAGAGAGAGAGACGGGCGUUCAUGAGAAGACGUAGAACCAGUAGAGGAACACCACCGAGAAGGAGUGGACGAUCCGCACCCGGAACAUGAGGAUCGCGUAGUUCAUGACUCGGUUUCCCACAUCUGAAAACCCUAGACCAUCUCCCACAAGCGCUCAACCAGUACCCUCCGAUUCUCAACCCAACGCAACGAAGGGGAAAACGAAAACGGCGACAACGCAGCGGAAAGACAGCAGAGAGAGAGAGAGACAAAGAUAGAGAAGGAGGACCUAAACUUAGCCGCCGCCGCCGCCGCCGCCGCCGCCGGCGGAACUCGCGAACCAGAGAGAGGUCGACGAAUGUUGGCCAAGGAGGGGAGAAAGGGAUUAUAUAGAGGAGGCUCGCGGGCUUCGAUUGGUCCGCCGGGAAAACGAAUACUUUCGGAAUGUUUUUUUUGGGUGUAAUUUGGGGGUUUAAUUUUUUUUUUUUUUUAUCGUAAGGGGGUUUAAUUUAUUAGGACGGAUUUUGCUUGGGCGUGUCCCGAUUGCCCAAUCACAUUCGGAAGCGUGAGAUUAUAUUUCUUUCUUGAAAAAAAACUGAAAUUACCUUUUUAACAAAUCGAUUAAAGAAGAAAAUACAUGAGAUACUCGAGGAAUAAACGAAUUUGGAAAUCUAUAUUGGAGAUGUGGAAGAAUCUAGAGAUCCUCUUCUGAUUUUAUUUUGUCAGUUGUUUUUUUUUUAAUCUUUUUAUUUAUCCAUGGGACAACUAAUAUCAGACUUAAUCUAUUUUUUACUUUUUAGUACUUUUUUUUUUUUUUUUUGUGUUACCCUCUUUCUUUACGCAACCGUGUUAACCACAAUACAUGGGGGAACAGAUGUUAUUAAAUUUAAAAAAAAAAAUUGGUGGGGGAGGGGAAUGACGUCAUGGCGCACAUCUGAUGUGGCCGUGGGAUUGGUCAGAUCUCGUCGUCAUCGUCGUAGUUGGUGCUGCCCAUGUAAUGCGCACAUUGUUUGGGACGUUAGCAAGUAGCACCACACCUCACAGAGCAGGCAAAAACCGUGGGUUUGACCGGGUCAAACAUCGGACAUCGGAUCUUCUUGGGAUACAUCCCCCUAGAAUAAUGCACGCGAGCGCCAAGUUGUGAUACGGAGAGAUAUUUAUUUUAACGUUUUCUGUUUUGAGACAUUAAUUUCGCGAUACCUUUUAAUUUUCAUAAAAAAGGACUUGCGCAAUGGAAAUUAGUCGGGAUGUGUGAAAUACGGGCUAAAUCUUGGAUUUCUGAAAUUGAAAUUGGAUGAAAAGAAAAUGCAUGUGAUUUGGUGAAAGCAGUGACCGUUUGGAAAUUGAUAAUGAAAAUAUGUAAGUGGGUUCUUUGUGAGAAAAUAGGGAUAGAAAUCAAAGUGGAUAGUGCAUUUUGGGAUUGCAAACAUUGCAUCAUGAAAUAGUGCUAGAAAAAUGAUUAUUGCAAUCGUUUUAUUCCACAAAAAAUAAAUGAUUUGAAAAAAAAAUUAUUACUGCAAUCUGUUUAUUCCACAAAAAAAUGAAUGAUUUGAAAAAAAUGAACUCAAUGAACAAUACUAAUCACAACCAAGAGCCAACUACUGGCUCCCAAGGAGCAAACCUAGGACACUGUGCCCAAAGUUGCGAUCUUAACACUUUAAUCGAGAAUGAUAUAUUUCAUAUCAAGGUUAAAACUACAUGGUAUCGGCACAAGAUGCAACAAACUCGAGAUGCAUAACAUAUAUAAGGCCGAACGACAUAAGAUUUGUAAUACUUUUUUUUUUCAAUCUGAUAAGAGUUAUAAUACAUUGGCUAAUCAUUAAUGCUGCAUCAUCACUACCAAAUUUAGGGUCGAUGACUGGGUGAGACUUGCCUCGCCAGCCUUUGGUCAUGAGGAGAAAAUAUUAUAUUCAAUUUUGAUGUCAAUUCAGCAAAAUAUUAGUCCAUUCAUCUCAUGGCACGUGUCACGCGUGAGCCCACUUAUCUGUCACGGCCCUGUUUGGUUCAGCUUUCUUAAGGGGGAAAAUAUUUUAUGUUUGGCAACAAUUUUCGAAAGCUACUUGGCCAAAUGUCAGCAUUCCCAAUGCUGAAAGCCCAAUGCUAAUGUUGGGGAGGACCAGCUUUGAGCAUUUGAUAUUUCGGAAAUGCUCGUUCACUAUUCAUCUUCUUCCCCAUUCUUCUCCGUUCGUCUUCUUCGUCUUCCUCGCCGCUUGAGAGUUCGGCUUCUCUGGCAGCCGCCAUCGCCACGUGGGGGUCUCGCGUCCUCGGUGACCAUCGCCUAGGGUGGCGGGAACCGCGACUUAGGCGGGGUCGCUUGGCAAGCGCGAGCCAAGCGACACCACCUGAGGUCCGAGUGACCAGGCGAUGCCACCUGAGGUUGAGAUCUGAGGCCGCCAAAUUUGGCUGUUCGGCAGCCAAAUCUGGUGGUCUUGAGGCCAGAUCUGGCCAUCAGAUGGCCAUAUCUAGCCUUCGCGACCUCAGGCCGUCAAAUCUGGUGGUCCGGCGGCCAAAUCCAGUUGGCUAGCGGUUGGCUGACCGUCGGAAUUUGAUUUUCUAACUUAAAUAUAAAAUAAAAAAUAGCAAAAGUCAAUUACAAAGGUGAAUUUUACCAAACGGUGUUUAUGCUAAGUUGCUUUUCAAUGUUACAAUUUACCAAACGGUGUAACAUUUCCGCAAACCUCUUUAUCUCAAAGGUAUUUGCAUUUUCCUAAUGGCAUUUCCUCAAAGCUGAACCAAACGGGCCCACUUAUCUGUCACGAUCUCUCUCUCCACUUCCUUUUGACCCCUUUUCCCUUCUCCAACUCUCUCUCUCUCCCCCUUCUUUUUGACCCCUUUUUCCUUCUCCAACCUCGAGCCCAAGCCAUCGCCAUUGCUGACCAUGGCAAAGGGCACGCUUGGAGUCUCCAACAAUGAGCUUGCCGCCAAUGGAUCCCUAUUUCUUUGUAAACCUUAUGGUGGGGAACCUUGAGUUGAAGAUCCCCAUCACUACCAAGCCCGCUGGCUCUACCGUCCACCCAUCGUCCUCUCCUCGCUUCUGCACCGACUUUGUUAAAUGGACGGGAGAUGGCAAGAAAUUUUUUUGAGUGCGAAAAGCCUAAGACUUUUUGUUUUCGAAGUGAUUAUUUUUUAAUCGUGAAUGCAUGACAUGCCUGUGACACAUUCGCAUUGAGAAAAUAUCAAGUGAGAGCAAGAUUUGAUGAAAAAUACUUCAUCAAACCUUUUAAGUUGCAUCCCAAAGAUACUAAAGCCCAAAAUAUGGGGGCAAAAACAAGAGGAAAUAGAAAGAAGCAGGAGAAAGAAGUAAAAUUUGUACUUAUUUUUGAAAGCCCAUACCCUUAUGAAGCCCAUCGAUCCUCAUCUUGGGCCAUGAGAGACCCGCCGUUCACUCGACCCAACUUGAUUUUCUUCCUCUUACGUUUUCCCGGGAAAACCCUUCUUCCCCUCUCUAGCUUUCUCCCGGAAAAUUUUCCGAUCCGUUGCAAACCGUUCAUCAUCUUCCGUUCUAUAACAGAUCUCGAUGACCUGCGAGGCUGCGAUGGAGAUUCGCAUUGGAAGAGGCUACGCGUGGGCCAUUGCCGCCGGAUUCAUGGCCGCUCUUGCAGCCAUCUCCGCCAAGUUCUUCUCCUCUCAGGUAACCCAACCUCAUCCACGCACUUGUCCGUGCGAGCUAAUCCAUGAUUGUCCCCCGCCGUUCUGCUUUGUCACUUGAGAUUGUGCGAUCGUUCUAGCUAAUGCAAAUCGAAAUCUGGUGUGUCUGUUGGGCCGUGUCCCUAAUGUAUCUCCGGCUGAAGCACUUGAUGUUGCGUGGCGCAAUGUGAGCCGCAGCCGAUAGCCGGUGUGCGGCGAUACGUCCAAUUUUUGGUUGUUUGAGGAUUAGCGGGAGCUCUAAUUGAGGAAAUCUCCUGCCAAUUCAACUACUUCUGUGGAGAGUAGUUGAAUAGAUUAGCGAGAGGGGAGGAGGGAGGGUGGUGCGUCUGCUCCUCGAUCCCCAGACAUGCCCGGGGAGGAGAGGGAGUUAUGGGCUAGCUUAUAAGGCUUUGGUCCAUCUAACUGUAUAUACGCGUUUUCUUGAGGUAAUAUGGGCUAGUUUGAGAAGAACAAAACCGUAAGGACUUAGUGUUCAAGGCGAAAAAUGUGUACAAUGGAGACCUAGCCAUUACAACAAUGUCAUCCAAUGGCAGGGGAUCGAGGAGCAAGAAAAACACAUUUAGCGAAGCAUGGAACGUGCUCAAGGGGAAUUGGGUAUCGGGACAUCGCCAUGUCACUGGUGAGCUCACUGGCAGAGCCUCAACGGAACUAUCGGGAUGCUGCCACAUCCCCAGUGAGCUGGAGAUCCUCGAGCAUGUCCCAGUCACAAGCGAGUUCUCAGAAAAGCUCUAAGAAGAGCUCAUCGGUGGAGUCUCAGUGGAGAUCCUCCAGCGUCAGCCAAGGCGACGACCAUUAUCACAACUCUGGUGAAGACGAUCCAUGGCGAGCAAGCUACAGGCAUGGCGCUCUUCGCCUAUUCUGGUGAUUACGAUCAAGGGCGAGUGAGAUUGUACCCGCAACCACCCCAGCAGGAAUAUGAUUAUUCUUAUCACACUAUCAGGGGGCAGUAUUAUUCUUGAGGUCUUGACAAUGUCAAUAGUUACGUCCACGACGACGCGUCCGUUCCAUCAUAUCUGCCCCCGCAUACUUCUUAUGGUUAUCACUGUCCAUCCGAGUCUCCCCCGAAUAAUUGUGUGGUGAUGUGAGAUGCCUAAUAUAGUGUGCCUAUAGUUGCUUUUACUAAUAUCUGGUGAAGUACGGGAUGAGCUAGGGGCAUGGUUGAGCCUUUGGUUUGUUAGCUUUCGCUUGUGAAUCUCAGUGAAGUUUCUUGUUUUAGUUAAUGGUUUCGAACGUGAUGGAGAUUGAUUGAAAUGGCUUUGCCAGUUAAUGAAGGUUUAUAUAUUUAUUUUAUGAAGUUUCAUCUAGUUCGUAGAUGCUAAAAAGUUCUAUUAAAAUUUAACUAAAUUUAGGGGCACUUAAUUCCAUCAAUUGUCUACGGUUCUACUUCUAUGGACAGAUGUUCCCUCACCAAUCAUUUAUCACAAAAAUUAAACCAAAUGAAAAACGAUUUAUAAAAAUAGUUUAAAAAAGAAAAAGAAAAUUGGCCGCGCCAUUCUUGAAAAUUCCUCAUUCUUCAAGGAAGACCUUUAAGGAUCCGAGCUUUCUUGUGAUCCUUCGUGUUCAAACUUCAAGUAGCUUUGAAUGUGCAGAUAUACAUUGAAAUUUGUCUUUCCAGAUGCUUAUGGCAUCUCCAUUGAGAUGCAUAUACAUGGAGGAGAAACUUUUCAAGCUCAUCCAUUUAAAAAUUGGGCUCCUUUCUUGAUGAAAUUCAGUGGACGAAGACGAGAGAAAACGUUUCCAGUUAAAAAGAUCAAAACCGAAAAUAAUCUCCACUCAGUCCGUCGGAAGUAAUUGAAUUGUUGAUAUAUCGACAUAAAAAUGAAGCAGGAAAUGUUAGAUUAAAUGUAAACUAAAACCUUAUGAUCCCGAUUAUCAAUCACAGAUAAAUUCGUACAGAAUUUGGGAUCGAUUUGCUGAAACGUAAAAAUCAACAUACCUCCAGUCAUCGAUAAAAAUUUGCAAAAGCGGAAAACUUCAAAACCUUGGACGGAUUCACGCAACACGAUCCGAUCUUCAAUAUGAAGAACACCAGAUCUGUACGUCAUGUUCUACUAGCCAAUACCCCUCAAAUCUGAUGGUGCGUUUUCUGUAAUGAUAGGGUUUGAAUUAGACGACUUGACAUUUUAUUCCGUUUAUUAUGUUAUAGACAUCUUCCAUCAAGACCGUUAUGGUAACAUAUUAACGAGCAAAUAUCAUGUAAUAGAUGUGGGUGAUAAACUGGGCAAUAAAUCGGAACUAAUUGAGAAUAUAAUAUUGGGAUCAUAUUUAGAAUAAUAAAUAUAUUACAACAUUCUCCCACUUGAUCCCAAUAUUCCAUUAAAUGAAAUAUUAACUCAAACCCACAUAAACUUCGUACUAAAAUAAAACACAUGAAUCAUGAUAAUGAGUCCUCUUAGAGUAAGUAUUAUCUUUCAUGUAUCACAAUGCAUUUCAUUAGCUCAUAUGCGAUCAAAUAACUUAAUGAAUAAAUCUUCUGUUUACUCUAGGUCAAAUGUAAUUGUUUCUCUCAGAAUAAUUGAAUGUAUACAAGUGUAUUGAGAAAAACAUUAUAAAUGAAUAAAAGUCUCACAAUUCUUUCAUAUAAUUUUUUUUUUACCUAAUUGGGCCAAUACCCAUUCUAAAUACAUGAUUCUUAUAACUCAUUGGUGGCAUGCCUUUAGUUAAAGAAUCAGCUAUCACCAGUCCAGUGCUUAAGUGUUCUAUGAUCACUUUCUUCUCUUUAACACGUUCUCUGAUGACUAAAUACUUGAUGUCGAUGUGCUUGCUUCAACUACCACUUUUGCGGUUCUUAGCCACAAAAACUGUAGCUGAAUUGUCGCAAAAUAUUCUUAAUGGCCUAGCAAUGGAAUCCACAACUCUAAGCUCCGAUAUGAAACUUUUCAAUCACACACCAUGUGAGGUGGUCUCAAAAUAGAAAACAAACUCUGCCUCCAUAGUGGAAGUGGCAACCAAGGUCUGUUUUGCACUCCUCUAGGAUACAGCUCCACCAACAAAGUUUGAAUUCGAGUAACCAACUACCUCCAAGGUGUUCGUCCGUCUAUACAUAAGUAUGUAUCCCUUUGUUCCUUGAAGGUACCUCAUUACCUUCUUUGCAGCUCUCCAACGGUCCAUACCUAGAUUACUUUAUAUAUACUCAACAUUCCCAUAGCAAAGGCUAUGUCAAAUCGAGUGCAAACUUAAGCAUAUAUCAAGCUUCUGACAGCAGAAGCAUAUGGAAUGUUCUUCAUUCGUUCCCUUUCAAAAUCGUCCUUUGGGCAUUGGUUUAAAUUAAACCUAUCACCUUUCACAAUCGGUGCUAUAUCUGGUGAACAAUCUUUCAUCCGAAACCUCUCUAAGACCUUAUUGAUAUAGGUUUCUUGAGAUAGUCCUAAUAUAUCUCGAGAUCUAUCUCUAUGGAUCUUAAUGCCAAUGACAUAAGACGCUUUAUCAAUAUCCUUUAUAUCAAAACUCUUAGAGAGAAAUUGUUUCCCUUCAUAUAACAACCCCUUAUCAUUGGUUGUAAGUAAAAUGUUAUCUACAUAUAGCAUAGGGAAACAAAUUUUGCUCCCAUUAACCUUUUGGUAUAUACAUUGAUCAAUGAUAUUCUCUAUAAAACCGAAUGAAGAGAUAACCUCAUGGAAUCUUAAGUACUAUUGGCGGGAUGCUUGUUUUAAGCCAUAUAGAGACAUUUUAAGCUUGCAUACCAAAUGUUCACCAAUAUUAGAAAAUAAUCAUUCUAGUUAUUUCAUGUAAACCACUUCUUUCAAUUUUCUAUUGAAGAACGCCAUUUUCGCAUCUAUUUGAUGUAACUUCAUAUCAAAAUGAGCAACUAAUGCCAAAAUAAUACGAAGAGAAUCUUUCUUGAAUACAGGAGAAAACGUCUCCGUGUAAUUGAUCCAUUCCUUUUUAGUGAAUUCCUUGGCAACGAAUUUGGCUUUGUAUCUCUCAAUAUUGCCUAAUGAAUCAUUCUUAGUUUUGAAGACUCAUUUACAACUAAUAGCCUUCACACCAUCGAGCAAUUCAACUAUAUCCCAGACUUCAUUUGAUGCCAUAGAAUUCAUCUCUUCCUUCAUGGCCUUGUACCAUAAAUUGGAUUUAUCACAACUCAUGACUUGUGAAAACGUCUCGGGAUCACUUUCAGCUCCAACAUUAUAGUCAAUUUUUUGUAGAUACACAAUGUAAUCAUUAGGGAUUGCUGAUUUCUUCAUUCUAGUAGACCUUCUUAAUGUUGCAUCAACAUCCUCCUGAGGAGUUUGUUGUUCAACUGAAAGUUCAAUAGUAUCUGGUAAUUGCUGAAUAGUUGGGUCUAUCGAAUCAACAUUAGUAAGUUAUGGAUCUUCAAUGAUUGAUUGCUCAACGAUCGGUUGAAUUGAAGGUGUAUUGUAAACAUUAACCAAUCAAGUACCUGAGGUAGAAGGUUGAGUAUCUAAAUGAUCUUCUUCGGGAACAAAGUCCCUGAAUUGAUCGUUCCCAUUAACCAGGGCAUUCUCAAGAAAUUUAACAUUUCUUGAUUCCACAAACCUAAUGGUGUGAGAUGGACAAUAAAAUCUGUAUUAUUUGGACUUUUCGGCAUAUCCAAAGAAAUACUCAUUUAUAGUCUUUGGAUCUAACUUUUUUUUUUCCUGUGGAUUGUAGACUUUUACUUCAGAUGAGCAUCCCCAAACACGUACAUGUCACAAACUCGGUUUUCAACAUUUGAAUAACUCAAAAGGCGUCUUUGGAACAGCCUUGGUUGGAACUCGGUUUAAUAUGUACACAACCGUUUUAAGAGCCUUAGUCCACAAAAAUUUAGGAAGUUUGGAGCUGCUGAGCAUACUCCGCACCAUGUCCAAUAAUGUUCAUUUUUUUUUCUGCGACACCAUUUUGGUCUAGUGAACUAGACAUAGUGUAUUGAGCAAUAAUCUCAUGCUCUUCAAAAAACUUCGCAAAUGAACCAGGUGCUUAUCCAUCUUCAAUGUAUCUACCAUAAUAUUCCCCACCUCUAUCUGAUCUUACGAUGCCGCAUUGUUUUUCUACUUCGGUUUUAAAUACUUUAAAGGCAUUUAACGCUUUGUGCUUAUUACAAAGCAUAUAAAUACAUGAAUCGUGAACAAUCGUCUAUGAAAGAAAUGAAGUAUCUGACCAUUUGAGUCCAUAUCCGGACUACAAAUAUCUGUAUAUAUGAUUUUUAAUAUUUUUGUAUUCCUCUUAGCACCUUUCUUUGACUUGUUGGUACAUUUUCCCUUUAUACAAUCCACACAAGUGUCAUAAUUAGUAAAAUCCAGAGUAUUAAGUACUUUAUCAUUUACUAGUCGCUUAAUUAUAUCAAUAGAGAUAUGUCCCAACCUCCGGUGCCACAACAUAGAUGAAUCCUCAUUUACAGCACAUCGUUUUAUACUAGCAUUAUCGUGAACAUGCAUCGCAUUAUUAAUUACAUUGUCUAGUAAAUUAAUUCGAAAGAGACCGUUAAACAAAAUACCACUCUCAACAAUUUCAGAUUUAUACGAUAAAUUGAAUGUUGAAUAUAAAAAUUCAAAGGAGUAUCCCUAAGGCACAAGUCUUGAAACUGAAAUUAAAUUCCUAGAAAAACUAGGAAUAUAAAAGGUCAUUUCUAAAAUUAAAACAAAACCACUACCGAGAACUAAUCUGCAUGUCCUAAUAGCUUCCACGCGCGAGCACAUCUUGUUUCUUGAAUAGAUGCUUUGUUCACUUUCCACUUGUUUCCACCGGUUCUAAAAACCCUACAAGGAAUUCGAAAUGUGGAUUGUAGAACCAGAAUCAAUCCACCAAGUGUUGUGACCCACAUCAACCAUAUUAGAUUCAUAACAAACAGAUGAGAGUUGGUUAUCUUUCUUUUUUAGCAGGCCUUAAAUUUGGCACAAUUCUUCUUCACGUGCCCCUUCUUUUUACAGAAGAAACGCUUGAAUUUCUUUUUAAUGCCAACUCGGGGAGGUAGAGGCAUGUUACCUUUUCCCUUUUGCUUGCCUUGCUCUUUAUACUUAUCAUGUGUUGUCAUAUGGUCAUGAGUUCAUUGAUUGACCAUUUAGUUUUAUGUGUAUUGUAAGAGAUUUUGAAAUGGGCAUACUCUUGUAGGAGAGUAUUUAGAAUAUAAUAUACAAGAAAAAAAUAUGAUAUCCCAACCUGAAGAUUUUUCAGCUGAGCUGCAAUGUCCCUCAUCUUCAUGAUGUGCUCACGCGCACCUCUUACACUGGUAAGUUUCAAAGAUGAGAACUUCAUAAUCAGGGUCAUGGCAUGCACCUUCUCUAAAGACUCAAAUUGUGCAUUAAUAGCCUCCAGCAAUUUCUUGGCAUUGUUAUGCUGAAUGACUAAACCACGAAUACUAGCAGAGAGUUUUAUCUUUAUGUACAUCACACUGAGACGGUUGGACCGCUCCCAUUGUGCAUAAUGUGUAUGUUCAAUAUGAGUACUAUUUUCAAUAGAUUCAGGUGGUUCGUCAGACCUUAGUACAUAAUCAAGAUCCAUGCACCCCAAUUGAAGAAGAAUCGAUUCCUUUCAUUCUUUAUAGUUAUUCCUAUUAAGCUUGGAAACAAUUAUACCAGAACUAAUCGUAGGUGGUAAAACUGCAUCAUAAUUAAAGAAAACUUAUGUAUCAACAUAUUUGAGGCAAAUAAACUUAAAUAAAACAUGUUAUAAAAUAUGGAUCACAUAACAUCAAUAACUAUCUGUGGGCUAAGUUUCUAAUUUAAAUUGAUUCAUAAUUACUUAAUGAUGAAACUAUCAAAUUAUAUUCUCUUCUUUAAUCCCUAUGGGUAACUUAAGAAAGAUAAAAUAAUAUUUCAUCAUAAUUAAUCACAUUAAUAUAUUGAAAAUUCCCGUGGGAUAAAAUUCAUAAUAUUAAUAUGACUAAUCACAAUUAUAAUAUUUGACUAUAUGUGAUCCAAAGGCUUUUAAUGUAUAUAACUUAAUAUAAUCAAAGAUGCUAUGGCUAAUCUUUAAUUAAUUAAAUAUAUACGGAUCACUAGACAUUUAAUUUUAUGAGAAAAUAUUCAUAAAAUUGCACGUUAGGGUAAAACGGUAAAAUCACGUGCAAAGGGGUAAAACUGGAAUUUUGCACGCAAGGCCGGAAUAGGAAUUUUACUUUUAAGGGGUAAAAUAGGAAUUUGCACGCGCCUAAAGCCUUCUUUUCGGGCUUUCUUCUUUUCCGCCGUUCCUUCCGCCGCGACUAACUUUGUUCUGCUGCCUGGAUUCCUCCCACAGCCCAUGUCCGACCAAAUUGAUUGAUGGGUUUCGAAGAGAACGUCGGGACGAACGAAUAAUUUCAAGAUCAGGCAAAAACGACCAACAUAUUGACUGGAAUUAAGCCUAAAACAAUCUGCCCUAAAAACCCUAACCACCAAAAUUUCACUGUUCGAUUAACCUCCGAUGAUCAAUAAUAUGCCGAAAAAUUUAAGGGCUUUUCUUCCUAAUGGCAGUGUGGCCAUGCAGAUCCAUUAUCGUGUGGUGGGUCGCCCAAAUUUGGCCAAAAUUUUAAAUUCUGUUCUAAGUCAUAAAAAUCCGAAUUUACCCAUACAUAAUUCAAUGAAAAUAAAUAAAAAUUCCAAAAAUUUCACCAAGGUAGAGAUUGUAAACAUGCUUUGAUACCAACUAUUAGAUUAAAUGUAAACUAAAACCUGACGAUCCCAAUUAUCAAUCACAGAUUAUUUCGUACAGAAUUCUGGAUCGAUUUGCAGAAACGUAAAGAUCAACAUACCUUAAGCUCUUCACCAAAAAAAAACAUACCUUAAGCCAUCAAUGAAAAUUUGCAAAAGCAGAAAACUUCAAAACCUUGGACGGAUCCACGUAGCACAAUCGAUCUUCAAUAUGGAGAACACCAGAUCUGUACGUCAUAUUCUAUUAGCCCAUACCCCUCAAACCUAAUGGUGUGUUUUCUGCAGUGAUAGGGUUUGAACUAAACGACCUGACGUUUUAUUCCAUUUCUUAUGUUACCGACAUCUUUCAUUAAGACCGUUACAGUAACAUAUUAACGGGCAAAUAUCACGUAAUAAAUGUGGGUGAUAAAUUAGGCAAUAAAUCGGAACUAAUUGAGAAUAUAAUAUUGGGAUCAUAUUUAGAAUAAUAAAUAUAUUACAACGGGAAAGAGAUUUAUUUAUUUCAAUAGCUUCUUUAGUGAAGAUUAUAGUAAUCUAUUUAUAAAUUUUAUGAAGUGACUAUCCGAAAAAACAAAAUAUUACACAUAUCAAUGACGAUCAAUGAAAACCAUUCGAAAAUAUGCAUAAUCAAAUGAACAUAGUGCACAAUUAUGAGAGAUAUACAAAACCAAUGGAGAUUUAAAGAAUCUACUUUAUAUAAAGACAUAGAAGAAGUCAAUUGUAGAAUAUAUUAGCAGUCUUAUCAACCAAAGAAGUGGAGACAAGAUGCACAAUGUCAUGAAGCACAUGAUAACACGUGAAACGAUAGUCUCUUUCAAUAUGUUUGGUGCUUUUAUAAAUAAAUAAAAACAUUAUUAUAUGCUGUUCGGGUCCAAUUAUCAUAAUAAAUAAGUAUUUUGUUGUUAAGAUGACACAUAUAUGUCCUUUAAUAACCAUUACAAAUACAGUAAUUUUGAUGUUGUAUUAGCAAAAGCAUGAUAUUCAGCUUUCAUGCUAGAUGAAGCGACAAUGGUCUAUUUAUUGUUAUGCUAUAAGAUAAGUGAGUUACUUAGAAAGUAGUGAAGUAAUAAUCAAGAGGGUCUCCUGCCCAUCAAAUUUAGUUAAAAAGAUUGAACUAAAAAAUGAUCUCCACCCAAUCCAUUAGAAGCAGGUGAAUCACUUAGUUCAAUGGAAGAACCGCUACAUGAAUAAUGGGUAAGGGAGUCUGUCUCGGGAAAUAAACUACGAAUCCAUUAAGGCUCCCUUCGUUUCGUGAAACACAAUUUCUAGAAAAAGUAUUUUUUGGAUUUUCCGACAUUCCUUUCCUGAAAAAUGAACUAAUCGAGGAAAACAUUUUCCAUUAGCAAAAAAGAGUUUUCUAAAAUAGAGAAAAUGUUUUCCACUUUUCAAGAUGAAGAAAACAUUUUUCUUACUCAUUUUCUCUUAUCUCAUACCUAUGUUAACCUUUUCAUCUUUUUUCCUAAAAAAAUCCAAUUUUUAAUUAUUUUUCUUUUUUUUGUUUUUUUAUUUUUCUCUUUCAAGCUCGAGACUCAUUGGAAUUUGGCAAGCCUUAAGCUCACCUACGGCCAAUCACUGGCCAUCACCGUGGUUGAUCAAAAAAGAAGAAUAAAAAAAGAAAGAAAAAAUAAAAAUAAUUUAAAAAUUGAUUUUAAGAAAUAAAAAAAAUUAUUGAAAAAGAGUGCAUGGAGGAAAACAUUUUCCUUACCAAAUAACAGAAAAUAUUUUAUAAUUCAUUUUCAAAUUUCAGCUGCAAACUACAAAAUGGCUAUCUUCUUGAAAAAUGGCUUCCUAGAAAACAAUUUCUAGAAAUGUUACAUUUUCCGUGAAACAAAUAGAAUCUUAAUUAAAAAAUGAUUCGUUCGACAUAGCUUGGAGCUAGGUCUCUCUGUCCAUUGGGCAACCAAGAAUGCAAUCCUAAAGUGCCAUUAUUAUUAUUUUGCCCCCGAUUUCAAAUGCAAGUAGGCCUUCAAAAAAGGGGCUCGAAAUGUUCUUAUUUUCUUAAAUAAGAGCUCGAAGUGAACCUUAUUUCAAAUAAACGCCUGAAGUGCCAUCGUUUUAUCAAAUAAAGGACUGAAGUGAAUAUUAUUUUAAAUAAAUGCCUGAAAUGGCUAUGCCAGUUUCAAACAAUAGCCUAAAGUAAUUAUGUCUGUUUCAAAUAAGAACUUUCUCUUCUUCUUCUUCUUCUUUUUUUUCUGGUUCUUCUUCUUCCUCUUCGCCACUGGCCGAAGGGUUGGGCAAGGGUUGCCUUACCCAAUUCGAUGAGCACCACCCAUGUCGGCCACAAAUGAGGAACGGCCUCACUUGGGCGAGGCCACCCUUGCCCUGGGGGAGGCUGCCCCUUGCGGCCAUCUACAAGGGCUCGUCGACCUCAUCGGCCACGGGUGAGGGUGGCCUCGCUCACAACCGGCGAGGGCUUGCAGGCCCUUGUCGGCCAUUCCUAGCGGCCAGCAAGAUUGUUGACCCUUUGCAAUGAAAAAAGAAGAAAAAAGAAAAGAAAAUGUGGAUGAAAACUCCUUGACCAGUUGGAAAAUUUAGCCGGCCAACAACCGCCGAACUCGGGCCCUUAUUUGAAACAACAAUGGCUACAUCAGACCCUUAUUUAAAACAACCAAGACCACUUCAAGUCUUUAUUUGAAACAAGGUCUACUUCAGAUUUUUAUUUGAAAAAAUGAGGCACUUCAAGUUAGGGGUGUGCAUGGUCCAGGCGGGCGGUUCCUGAUCUAGAACCGGGAAUCGCCUGCUAAAGACCGGUUCCGAAAAAUUGGAACCGAGAUUCACUUGUUUAUUGCAUGGAUCCACAUGGGAACCGGACUGGCCAGUCCGGUUCCCAGGUGGAUCCAUGGAACCGGUCUUGACGCGAAAUAAUUUUGGUUUUCAACAAAGAACGACUAUGUAACAUCAAGGCAAGCCAAAGAAAGAAAAACCAAAUUUAAGUACGUGGAGAUGCGGACGGUGGGAGAAAUAAACGCAGCAAAAUGGCGAUAGGAUUAGGAGCCGAAGACGAAGGGAGUGAGAUGAGAUCUACGAUUUAUUUUAGUAAUUUUUUUUUUAAUAUUAAAAAGGUUCCAGUCCGGUUCGGGUGGGCGGGCGGGCGGAUCCGCCCAUGGAACUGGGAACCGGACCAUUACCCACCGGUUCCCAUAAAUUGGAACCAGGAACCGGACCAAUUCUCUCAAGAACCGCAAGUUCCGAGCAGUUCCAGUCCGGUUCCGGGCGGUCCGGGCGGUUCCCGGGUAUUUUGCACACCCCUACUUCAAGCCCUUUUUUGAAAUUUUCUCUUUAUUUUAUUUUAGGUUGCAAUUCUUGCCCAUGGACUGAACUAAAAUAUACUCUUUUUCUCUCUCUCUUUUUCCACUUAAAAAAGCCGCUUGAUCAAAUAUGAUUUAUCUUGAGCAAAUGCACCUUGAAUCAAGGGGAAAUGACUUCGCAUUUCUUCAGAAGUCUUCCAAAUAAAGUCAACUAUUAUGCAUCUAAUUUUUUUAAUCAAUAUUUGUUACUAAUAGGUAUUCCAAAUAAAAUCAACUUAAUAAAUUUUCUUAUUUUUAAUUAAUAUUUUUUACAAAUAGGUAUUUCAAAUGAAGUCAACUCAAUAAAUUAGUAAAAAAAUUACAGAAAAACGAAAAAAUUAACUCAACCAAAAUAGAAUAACUACUCAAAGUACCUUUACUUUAAAAUAUAAAUAAGAGUGCACAAAUUGCCAAAACAUCAUUACAAAUGAUAAAUUGAAGAAUUAAAAAUGAUAAAAAUUGAUACACCCCUUCCAUACAAAGGGUGCUCAGACCGUCAACUUUUAUUUAGAGAUCACCGAAACAGUGCUUUACCCCUAGAUGUCCUAGUGCGUUUAAAAUUCUAAACUCAUGGCAAAAGUGUAACUAAAAUUUAAAAUUUUAGAUAAUAUAAUCAAAUCCGAAAAUUUACCAAAUUGAAGCAAUCAAAAUUUAAGAUGCUUAAAAUAUUACUAUAAUAUAAAUCAAUAAUAUGUGUUGUGUUGAAUGCUAAACGCGAGACAAAUCGUUGAUGCAUGAUAUCACUCAUUGAUUGUGUAGAAUUUAGGCAACAUUUUUUCUUUUUUAAUUUGAAACUUAGGCAACAGUUCAAUAAGCGGAUUUGAUAAUUACAACGAUCCCCAUAAUUGUUUCAUCAAUAUGUGAUGGAUGGAAAGUGAAAAAAAAAAUAGAAAAAGGAGUAAAAAGAGAAUAAAUACAUAACAUUUUUUUUCAUAGUGUGGUGUUACUGAACUUGAUGUUGACCGAGAGCAACUAAAUUUCCACAAGGUGUCCAGACUGCAGCAUUAAUUUUACUACAUAUUCUCCUUGGGAGAAAAUAUUGGUUGUGCAGAUUGUGCCAGCGUAACAAAUUGAAAGCUCAUCCAUUGAGCAACAUGUGUUCAUCUUCUUGCCCUCUCUCUAUUCUCCCACUUUUUUGCAAGCCACGGAUGCCUCUCUCCUCCAUAAACCCCUUCUCCUUCGGCCCUCCCCCUCACUUGCACGGGGCACAACAACGUUAUUCAACCCACCUCUCCUUCACUUGAGCUCGACCUUUGUGCCUCCCCCACCGACAACAGUUCCACCAUUGAAAUCUUCCACUGUCCCCGCAGCCCUUGGAUCCAAGAACAAGCCUAAGUCUCCCGUGCUCCUUGUUAUCACUCACGAGCCCAAGUCCCUCCACAUCUUCGGGAUUUGACAAGGGCUCAGUCCUUGCCAGAUUCAGCACGAGCGACCCUUGCCCUAGCUGGGGGCGUCAACCUCAUCGAAUCCUCUUGUCAAAUUCGGCGAGAGCGACCCUGGCUUGUGGGUCAAGUACUGGCCAUAGGUCAAAGGGAAAGAAAGUAAUUAAAAAAAAAGAAGGUAGGAAUGGCAAAGAAGAAGAAGAGAAAUGGAGGUGUGAUUCUGCAAGAGGAGAGAAACAAAGGAAGAAUAGUAUGAUAAGUAAGUUUUUUAGGGACACAUAUCACUCAAUGGAUGGGCUUUCAAUUUGUUGCAUUGGCACAACUUGUGCGGCCAAUAUUUUCUCCAUGUCUUGAUAUGGUUUAAAAAUAAGUAAAUGCUCGGCCCAUGAACGCAUGCGUGUCCAUACACAUGUUUUCACAAUUUUAUUAGUAUCAGCUAUAUGAGAUUGUGCUAUAAAUAUAAUAACGCAAAGAGGCCUAAAAUCGGAAAAGCUCACCUAGAGAAACCCCGCAUUAUCUUGAAUCAAUCCCCUGGAAUGGGAAUGGAAGCUUUCUUGGCAUCGUUUGGUUGAUUGGAGCGAGGUGGAAUGGAAAUAAAAUUGGGAAUAAAUUCAUUACUGCAUUUUUCGUUGACACGUGGGAAAGUGGAAAUGAGCGAUAAGGCAUGGGAAUGAGUUGACAGUCAAGGGUAAAUUGACAUGUGCACUAAGCUUUGUAUUUGGUUACUGUUGUUUGGACAUAAUAUGGCAAACAUACUUACCUAAUUUACUAUUAUAUAGCAAUUUAAAACGAUAAAAUUCCACCCAUUACUACAUACGUUCUAAUUCCAAUGUAUUACCAAAUGCAGUGAUCUUCAAAUCAAUCGCUAUUCUGAUUCACUACAAGCAAUUCCAUUCCCUUCAAAUUAUCUCUUGCUUAUGUAACAAAUGGGCCAAAGAAACAAGUUAAAACUCAUAUGGACAACAUCCUCAUCUAAAAUUAAGAACAUAUCAAAGUGCAUGAACCGCAAAAAUUAAGACCAUGAGCGCACGCAUGUCUAGUCUGUCUAAUUCUAUAUGUAUAUAGUGGUAGAUAUGUCCAAUAUGACCUCACUACGUACAUCCAAUUUCCACUCUGGAAAACGUAAUUAAUUGUUUAGGCUUGUUCUUCGCUACUUAUUUUUCCUCCAAUUGUCUUCAUGUUACCUCUUUUGGAAGCAUUCAGUUGAUCUACAUGCAUUGUUUGGAUAUGAAGAAAUGUUUUAAUAGUUCAGUUUUCAUAAAAAUAUACCAGCUCGAGAUUAUCAAUGGUUCGUGUAUAUGUAAUCUUGUGUACUCAAACUAGCUAAACUCGAAUGAUGUUCCAAUUUGGAUCUAAAAUACCAUUGCCGGAUAAUUUCAAUGGAAUGCCAUCAAAUUGUUUUCCCCUAAUGCUACGUUAAAGUACGUAUUGCAUAACUUAGAUACUUUUACCCAAAAUCAUUCCGAAAAAAAUAUAUCAGGACAAAUUCAGAAGUUUUAUAGGCGAUAAUCGUGGAUUAAUAUAGUUUCGUUCCAUUCUUAUAGGAACUAUCCAAAGGAAUUCAUUUCUUCACGUGGAAAGCAAACUCUGCCUUUUUUAGUCAAUUGUUGACUUGGCUUUUGAUUAAUUAUACAUGACUAAAUUCAUUUUUGCUCAAGGUUUGCUGUUUGACAUAUAAUAUCAAAAAUAUAUUUCAAAACUUCACCGCUACAUAUUUACAAUACCCCGCAACAUUGCACGAGAAGUAGCAAGCUUGUGCGGUUCACAUUCCCCUCUGAGCACCUGGGAAAGCCUACUCUCCCGUCUAAAACUGUACAAUUAAAUUAGGUCAAUAUAUCCAACUUCCAUGAUUUUAGGUAUGUGAAUGUGAAUACACCAGUUGCCAAAUGUAGGAAACAAAAGAAAAAGGAAAUAAGUUAACCACACGGGCAGGAUUGAGAGAUGUGUAUUUUUGCAAGCUACGUAAUGUCUCCGAAUAUAUAGUCAUGAGAUACGGUCCACAAACAAAUGCAAGACCAUACAGUAUCCAUUUUCCCAUUUGGGACACAUAAUCAACUAGGCAUAUUGCUACAUUAUUCAAUUGCAUUCAUUUAACUAUAUGGUAAUUUAGUGUGGGAUGGCGUACACAUUGCAUCAUAUAAUGUACAUGGAAAUUUCAAUAUUGUUACCAGUACCCACAUGAUCUCAUGAGAUAAUAUUUCGAACAAUCUUCUAAAUCUUCUUGAUAUAUAUGCCAUGCACUUGGUACCAAACUAAAAAGCAUUCCGCAACUCUCCCGUUAUAUAAACAUAGUCGACUCGCUAUGUUGUACUUAAUUAGUACGUCUAUAAUGGGGUGUGAUGAGAACGUACCAUUUCGUCUUGAUAUGCUACGAUGGAAAAACAUAUAAAAGACUCCUAAAGACAACCGUUAAGCGUGUUGACAGAACACCGUUGAGCAUGUUGGCAGAAUGUACGCUCAAAGAGAAAGUUUUCAUUUUCUUGUCCCAUUUCCAUCAAAAGAAAAAGAAGCAUUUCAUUUCUCUUUUACGAGAACAAUUGACAUUUACGCUGUGGAAACUUUCCUCGUGAUUGCAUUUAGACCAACGUGAAGUAUUUUUGUUCGUGAUUCAUUCGUAAUUUAACGAUUGUUCCGCAGUAAAUUGUUGACUGCACAUCGAGAAUAGGUAUGUCGUCUUCCGCUGACUUUCUUCCAACACGCUAUAUUACUAUCUUUACGAGAUUUUGGAGAAUUGAAGUCACAAUGUCAUCCAAUAGCAGGGGAUCGAGGAGCAAGAAAAACAUAUUUAGCAAAGCAUGGAACGUGCUCAAGGGGAAACGGGGAUCUCACGAAGCCUCAUCAAGCAGGACCUAUCGGGAUGCCGCCACGUCACCGGCGAGCUCACUGGCAGAGCCUCAAUGGAACUAUUGGGACGCCACCACGUCCCUGGUGAGCUGGAGAUCCUCGAGCAAGUCCCAGUCACGAGCGAGUUCUCGGAAAAGCUUUGAGAAGAGCUCACCGGUCGAGUCUCGGCGGAGAUCCUCGAGCGUCAGUCAAAGCGACGACCAUUAUCACAAUUCUGGUGAAGAAGAUCCAUGGCGAGCAAGCUACAGGCAUGGCGCUCUGGCCUAUUCCGGUGGUUACAAUCAAGGGCAAGUGAGAUCGUACCCGCGACCACCCCAGCAGGAAUAUGAUUAUUCUUAUCACACUAGCAAAGGGCAGUAUUAUUCUCGAGGUCUUGACAAUGUCAAUAGUUACAUCCGCGACGACGCGUCCGUUCCAUCAUUUCUGCCCCCGCAAACUUCUUAUGGUUAUCACCAUCCAUCCGAGUCUCCCUCGAAUAAUUGUGCGGUGAUGUGAGAUGCCUAAUAUAGUGUGGCUAUAGUUGCUAUUUACUAAUAUCCGGUGAAGUACGGGAUGAGCUAGGGGCAUGGUUGAGCCUUUGGUUUGUUAGCUUUCGCUUGUGAAUCUCAGUGAAGUUUCUUGGGAGAUUGAUUGAAAUGGCUUUGCCAGUUAAUGAAGAUUAUAUAUUUAUUUUAUGAAGUUUCAUCUAGUUCGUAGAUGCUAAAAAGUUCUAUUAAAAUUUUACUAAAAUUAAGGGCACUUAAUUCCAUCAAUUGUCUAGGGUUCUACUUCUAUGGAUAGAUGUUCUCUCACCAAUCAUUUAUCACAAAAACUAAACCAAAUGAUAAACGAUUUAUAAAAAUAGUUUAAAAAGAAAAAGAAAAUUGGCCACGCCAUUCUUGAAAAUUCUUCAUUCUUCAAGGAAGACCUUUAAGGAUCCAAGCUUUCUUGUGAUCCUACGUGUUCAAACUUCAAGUAGCUUUGAAUGUGUAGAUAUACAUUGAAAUUCGUCUUUCCAGAUGUUUAUGGCAUCUCCAUUGAGAUGCAUAUACAUGGAGGAGAAACUUUUCAAGCUCAUCCAUUUAAAAAUUGGGCUCCUUGCUUGAUGAAAUUCAGUGGACGAAGACGAGAGAAAGCGUUUCCAGUUAAAAAGAUCAAAACCGAAAAUAUCUCCACUCAGUCCGUCGCAAGUAAUUGAAUUGUUGAUAUAUCGACAUAAUAAUGAAGAAGGAAAUGUUAGAUUAAAUGUAAACUAAAACACGACGAUCCCGAUUAUCAAUCACAAAUAAAUUCAUACAGAAUUCAGGAUCGAUUUGCAAAAACGUAAAGAUCAACAUACCUCCGGCCAUUGAUGAAAAUUUGCAAAAACAGAAAACUUCAAAACCUUAGACGGAUCCACGUAGCACGAUUGAUCUUCAAUAUGGAGAACACUAGAUAUGUACGUCAUGUUCUACUAGCCAUUACCCCUCAAACCUAAUGUGUGUUUUCUAUAGUGAUAGGGUUUGAACUAGAUGAUUUUGUUCCAACUCUUAGACAUCUUCCAUCAAAACCGUUAUUGAUAACUCUAUAAAAAUAGAGUUAUUUGACCUAUUUUAGGCAACAAUUAAUGCAUUAUCUAUGAAAAAAUAUUUGGAUUUCCUUUUGAUUAUUUGAAUUUUCCUUGUUUAUGCAGAAUAAUAAGAUAUGGAGAAGAUAAGGAAAAGAAUGGCAAUUAUCAGUAAUUCAAAUAAAAGCGGUAGUGGAAAAGUGGAAAUAUCAAAUCAGGAAAUUCUUGAUUUUAUUCCCUAAUGUUAUCUAUAAGCAUUGGGAGAUAGAUAUUUUAGAUUUCCUAUAAAUAGGAAGAGAGACAGCUAGGGUUUUUAGGGUUGGAGUUAGAUCGUUUUUCAUUCUUCUGAGAGUUUUUUCAGAUCGUUUUUCAUUCUUCUGAGAGUUUUUUCAAGUAUUUUGAAGAAAAGACAAAAGUGGUGACAGAAUUCUUGUCCUUUGAUUCAAGAUGCUAGGUUUGAUCUAUAUUUUUAUUUUUAUUUCUUAUUCUACUAUGUUCUAAUUUUCUUUUGUUAGGGCUACGAUGUAGCCUAACCAUGAUAAUAUGAAUUUCAUGAUUUUUAUAUUUUACAAUUGAUUUUAUUCAUGUGAGUUAUAUAUUAUUGCGUUUAAUGCUUUUGAAUGACUGGCCACCACUUGAAUGAUUUGAUGUGCAUGUUUGAGACUGAGAGGUGAUAAUAUGCAAUUGCUCAUUAUAAUAUAUAACCAUGAAUUAAACGUGGAUAGAAAUAACCGCGUUAUUUGUGUAACUUUCGGUGAUAAGGUGAUCCAAAAGACUCAUUGUAAACCGGGAAUAUUCAUAGUUUUUAAUGCACUCAUGUUUAUUUUAAUUCACAUAGAGAUAUAGUGGAUUAAUAAGCUGAGUAGGUUUGCUAUACCUAGAGAUAGGAUAGUAAAUAGAUUAGGAAAUUCCGCUAUCACAUGUUUGAUAUCGUUCUUGUAUUCACAAUAAUCUGAAAUUCAUAUCUAGUGGUUAUGGUGAAAUCGGAUGCUUUAACAUAUUUAUCUGAUUGAUUUUAUUGCAUUUAGUCUUCAAGUUUUGUUUUUAAUUUAUUCUAAAUUAUAUUUUGAUUUGUUAGAUAAAUUUUAGAAUUAAUCUAUUUUAGUAUUUCAUUAGUUUAUUAAUCAUCGAUCUCCGUGGGACGAUACUUUUUCUCAUCAUUAUAUUACUUAUUCGAUACGUGCACUUGCGUUUAGAAUUUCACGAACAGUUAUGGUAACAUAUUAACGGGCAAAUAUCACAUAAUAGAUGUGGGUGAUAAAUUGGAAAAUAAAUCGAAACUAAUUGGGAAUAUAAUAUUGGGAUCAUAUUUAGAAUAAUAAAUAUAUUACAACAGGAGAGAGAUUUAUUUAUUUCAAUAGCUUCUUUAGUGAAGAUUAUAGUAAUCUAUUUAUAAAUUUUAUAAAGUGACCAUCCGAAAAAACAAAAUAUUACACAAAGUAAUGACGAUCAAUGAAAACCAUUUGAAAAUAUGCAUAAUCAAAUGAACAUGGUGCACAAUUCUGAGAAAUAUACAAAACCAAUGGCUAUGAAGCACGGACACGUUGCCCGUGCUUCUGUGUCGUGUCUGACAUGUGUCGGAGCGUGUCGGACACGUCGACAUGCUCGGACACGCUCGGACACGCGGUCAACUUUUCUUGACACGCGUGUCAAUGCGUGUCCGGAAGACUCCGGGUGGAGGCGAGGGAGGGGGAGGGAGCAAAGGCCGCGAGCAACGGUGAGAGAUGGCCAGAGAGAGGAAGAGAAGAGGAAGGGAUCGAGGCCCGAGGGGGCGGUGGCGGCGACGGCAUCUCCUCCUCCUCAGCGUCGCGUCCACUCCAUCGUCGGAAGUUGAGAAACGAUACGAGGUGCGAAAGAGGGGAGUGAGGUCUGCUGUCUGCGUGUUUGUCUUGGUCCAAUGUUUUUUGUGCGAGCAGUAGAAGGAGGAAAAAGAGGGUCGCUAGGGUUUGUGAUAAUGGAAUAAAAAAUAAUAAAAAGAGGGGGACGAUGGCGUGUCUUUUGAGUUUUGGGGGAGGGGAAGUGAGGCUAACAGCUUGUCUGUCAGUGGUUUCGGGAGGGAAAAAAGUAAAAUAAGUUUGGGGUGGAGGGAAAUGGACAAAGAAAAGAAAGAGUGGAUUUGGGAAUUUUUUUUUUAUAGAAAAAUUAAAUAAAUGAAAUUGAAAAAUAAUUUCGAAAAGUAAAAGUAUUGAAUUUUGAAUAAUCAUAAAUUUUGAUCAUUCUAAAAAAUCAUGAAUUUAUUAUUAGUUUUAUCAAUAACUUUUGUUAAAAUUAAAAACAUGUUUCGCCUUAAUUAUGAAUAUAUCUUUCGAAUUUUAAAUGAAUUGAUUUAUUAAUAUUAUUAGUAUAAAUUUAUUAUAGGCUUUUUUAAUUAAUUAAUUAUUUAUGAAUUUGAAUCAAAUUAAUUAAAAAUAAAAAUAUACAUUUAAUAUUUAACGCGUCGCAAUGUGUCGGAAUUUUCUAUUUUUUAUAAAUGACGUGUCGACGUAUCGUGUCGUGUCGGACACUCAUGUCGUGUCGCGUGUCCGUGCUACAUAGACCAAUGGAGAUUAAAAGAAUCUACCUUAUAUAAAGACAUAGAAGAAGUCAAUUGUAGAAUAUAUUAGUAGUCUUAUCAACCAAUGAAGUGGAGACAAGAUGCACAAUGUCAUGAAGCACGUGAAACGAUAGUUUCUUUCAAUAUGUUUGGUGCUUUCAUAAAAAAAUAUAUAUUAUUAUAUGCUGUUCGGGUCCAAUUGUCAUGAUAAAUAAGUAUUAUGUUGUUAAGAUGACACCUAUAUGUCUUUUAAUAACCAUUACAAAUACAAUAAUUUUGAUGUUGUAUUAGCAAAAGUGUGAUAUUCAGCUUUCAUGCUAGAUGAAGCGACGAUGGUCUAUUUAUUGUUAUGCUAUAAGAUAAGUGAGUUACUUAGAAAGAAACAAUAGCCUGUAGUGAAGUAAUCAUCAAGAGCGUCUCCUGCCCAAUGAGUGUCCGAUUUAGUUAAAAAGAUUGACUAAAAACUGAUCUCCACCCUAUCCAUUGAAAGCAGGUGAAUUACUUAGUUCAAUGGAAGAACCGCUACAUGAAUAAUGGGUAAGGGAGUCUAUCUCGGGAAAUAAACUACGAAUCCAUUAAGGCUCCCUUCAUUUUGUGAAACACAAUUUCCAGAAAAAGUAUUUUUUGGAUUUUUCGAUAUUCCUUUCCUGAAAAAUGAAUUAAUCGAGGAAAACAUUUUCCAUCAGCAAAAAAGAGUUUUCUAAAAUAGAGAAAAAAAUUUCUACAUUUCAAGAUGAAGAAAACAUUUUUCUUACUCAUUUUCUCUUAUCUCAUACCUAUGUUAACCUUUUCAUCUUUUUUCCUUAAAAAAUCAAUUUUUUAAUUAUUUUUCUUUUCUUUUUCUUGUUUUUCUCUUUCGAGCUCGAGACUCAUUGGAAUUUGGCAAGCCUUAAGCUCGCCUACGGCCAAUCGCUGGCCAUCACCGUGGUGGAUCAAAGAAGAAGAAUAUAAAAAUAAAUAAAAAUAAAUAAUAAAUAAUAAAAAUAAUUUAAAAAUCGAUUUUAAGAAAUAAAAUAAAUAAAAAAUUAUUGAAAAAGAGUGCAUGGAGGAAAAAAUUUUCCUUACCAAAUAAUAGAAAAUAUUUUAUAAUUCAUUUUCAAAUUUCAGCUGCAAACUACAAAAUAUGGCUAUCUUCUUGAAAAAUGGCUUCUAGAAAAAAAUUUCUGGAAAUGCUACAUUUUUCAUGAAACAAAUAGAAUCUUAAUUGAAAAAUGAUUCGUUCGACAUAGCCUGGAGCUAGGUCUCUCUGUCCAUUGGGCAACCAGGAAUGCAACCCUAAAGUGCCAUUAUUAUUAUUUUGCCCCCGAUUUCAAAUGCAAGUAGGCCUUCUAUUUAUUUUAGGGAAAAUUCCAAAAAAGGGGCUCGAAGUGUUCUUAUUUUCUUAAAUAAAAGCUCGAAGUAGACCUUGUUUCAAAUAUAACGCCUGAAGUGCCAUUAUUUUAUCGAAUAAGGGACUGAAGUGAAUAUUGUUUUAAAUAAGGGCCUGAAAUUACUAUGCCAGUUUCAAAUAAUAGCCUAAAGUAAUUAUGUCAGUUUCAAAUAAGAACUUUCUCUUCUUCUUUUUUUCUUUUUUCUCUCCUUUUUUUUUUGUUCUUCUUCUUCCUUUUUGCCAAUGACCGAAGGGUUGGGCGAGGGUCAUCGUUACCCGAUUCAAUGAGCGCCACCCAUGUCGGCCACAAAUGAGGAAUGGCCUCACCUGGGCAAGGCCACCCUUGCCUUGGGGGAGGCUGCCCCUUGCGGCCAUCUACAAGGGCUCGGUGACCUCAUCGGCCACGGGCGAGGGUGGCCUCACUCACAAUCGGUGAGGGCUUGCAGGCUCUUGUCGGCCGUUCCUAAUGGCUAGCAAGAUCAUUGACCCCUUGCAAUGAAAAAAGAAGAAAAAAGAAAAGAAAAUUUGGAUUAAAACUCCUUGAUCAGUUGGAAAAUUUAGCCAGUCAAUAACCGCCGAAGUCAGGCCCUUAUUUGAAACAACAAUGGCUACAUCAGAUCUUUAUUUAAAACAAUCAAAGCCACUUCAAGUUUUUAUUUGAAACAAUAUCUAUUUCGAAUUUUUAUUUAAGAAAAUGAGGCACUUCAAGUCAUUUUUUGAAAUUUUCUCUUUAUUUUAUUUUAGGUUGCAAUUGUUGCCCGUGGACUGAACUAAAAUAUACUCUCUCUCUCUCUCUCUCUUUCCACUUAAAAAAGCCGCUUGAUCAAAUAUGAUUUAUCUUGAGCAAAUGCACCUUGAAUCAAGGGGGAAAUGACUUCGCAUUUCUUCAUAAGUCUUCCAAACGCAAGUGCUCAUUUCAACAUUUGCAUCAAGAUUUCUAACCUUUCUGUUUCGAGAAACUAUAGUUACUGCGAUUUUUCUUUUCGUUUUUUAUUUUUUAAAAAAAAGUCAAAGCCACACGGUGCAUCACGUUGACCCAUCAUCAGUCAACGCAUGCCGAUCGGCAGGCGCUGUCCAUGUCCCGACCUCAUCGUCAUAAGCGACUAAUGUAAACCAAGCGACAACCAUCGAUCUUCGAAGGAGAAGACUUCACAGAUUGGGGCUUCUUCCGUCGGCGAUCGUCUUCACUUCCUCUCCAAAUCGCUUCCGUCUUCUCCAGGCACCCUGAAAAUUCCCCAUGGCGACGGCGCUUGUCGGCGGAGCAUUUCUCUCCGCUUUCCUCCAGGUGCUCUUCGACCGGAUGGCCUCCCGCGAGGUCGUCGACUUCUUCCGGUCACGCAAGCUCGGCAAGGGGAGGCUGCUGCAGAAGCUGGAGGUCGCCCUCCUGUCCGCGAACGCCGUGCUGGACGACGCGGAUGAGAAGCAGAUGACCAACGACUCCGUCAGGAAGUGGCUCGACGAGCUCAAGGACGCCGUGUACGACGCCGACGACCUGUUCGACGAGAUCGCCGCCGAGGAUCUGGAGCGAGAAGCCGGGUCCGACCCUCGGGCCCUCGCUUGUAAGGUCUGCAGCUUCGCUUCGGACGCUUGUGCGAGUGGACUAGGAGAUAAGUUAGAGAAGGUUCUGGAGAGAUUGGAGAGCGUGGUGAAGCAGAGAGAAGUGCUGGGCCUAAGGGAAGGUAUUCGCGAGAGGACGCCUAGAGCUUUGCCGACCACUUCGUUGGUCGAGGAAUCGGGCGUCUUCGGGAGGGAGAAGGACAGGGAGGCGGUGAUCGAGUUGCUCUUGUCGGAUCGGGGUGAAAAGAACACCAGCGUGAUGGCCAUAGUUGGGAUGGGUGGUGUUGGUAAGACCACGUUGUCCCAGCUCGUGUUCAACGAUAGUGCGGUGAAGGGGAGUUUCGAGUUGAGGUCGUGGGUUUGCGUGUCCCACCAAUUCGACAUCUGCAAGCUGACGGCGACGGCUCUCGAGGAAUUCUCCUCUUCCAAGAAGGAGACGGAAAAUCUCAACCAGCUUCAGCUCCAACUGAAGAACUUCUUGACAGGGAAGAAAUUCCUAUUGCUGUUGGAUGAUGUUUGGAAUGAGGACUCAAAUAUUUGGAAUGCGUUCCUAGUUCCUUUUAGCUAUGGAGCAAGAGGCAGCAAAAUCAUCGUGACACCAAGAAAUGAGGGCGUCGCAUUGGUUGCUCGUGCCUUCUCGACAUACUAUUUACAGAAGUUACAAGACAAGGAAUGUUGGGACUUGUUCGCACAACAUGCAUUUGAAGAGCAUAACUUCGAGGCGCACAUGAGACUUGAAGAUAUUGGGCAAAGAAUUGUUAAGAGAUGUGAUGGAUUGCCUCUUGCACUGAAGACUAUAGGUAGCUUGUUACGCUAUGAGUCUGAUAUCAGGAAGUGGGAAAUAAUUGCAGAGAGUGAUAUUUGGGAUUUGGCACCUGGAAAGAAUGAAAUUCUCCCUGCGUUGUUGUUAAGUUAUCAUUACCUUCCUCCACAACUGAAGCAAUGUUUUUCCUACUGUUCAAUCUUCCCAAAGGAUUGUAGAUAUGAGAAGGACCAACUGAUCUUACUUUGGAUUGGUGAGGGCUUGAUAAAACAACCUAAGGACAGCAGGACAUUAGAGGAAGUAGGUGAUCAGUGCUUCUGUGAUCUAGUGUCUAGAUCUUUGCUUCAUAGAGUAAGCAACGUUGAAUCAAGUUUCUGGAUGCAUGAACUGGUCAAUGACUUAGCAAGAUAUGUAGCUGGUCGAUCUUUUUAUAGCUUGGACAGAGUCAAUUCCCACCAGGUGUCCUCAAGCACUCGCCAUUUGUCAUUUGUAAGAACUCGAUAUGAUGUCGCUUCUAGAUUCGGAGUGUUAGCCGGGGCAAUGAAUUUGCGUACUUUCCUGCCACUAAACGUGGAUCACGUGACAUCUAACGCGUACUUUUUCUUGACUGAUGAGGUACUGCAUGUUCUGUUGCCGACCUUGAGUCGGUUAAGGGUGCUAUCUUUGUCUCAUUAUCAGAAACUCUCUAUGUUGCCCAGUUCAGUUGGAUGUUUGAAGCAUCUGCGCUAUUUGAAUCUCUCUUAUAAUAGAAGUCUAGCCAGAUUGCCUGAUUCAAUUACUGCUCUAUACAACUUGCAAACCUUAAUUCUUGCUUACUGUCAGUCUCUCAUUGAGUUACCAAGAAACAUGGGUAGCCUAACCUGUCUGCAUCAUCUUGAUAUAAGGGAGACAUUCCUGAAGAGAAUACCGUUGGGGAUGAGCAAACUGAAGAAUUUGCAGACAUUAACUAAUUUCGUGGUGGCUGAAAACGGUGGGACCAGGGUUAGGGAACUAGGGGAGCUUGGGAAUCUUAUGGGUACACUCUCCAUAUAGGGUUUGCAGAAUGUUGAUAGUUACCAAGAUGCAGAGAUAGUCGAUUUGCAGGGAAAAAGGUACUUGAAAAAGUUAGUACUGGAAUGGGGUUCUGAUAAAAAUAUUAUGCAGCAAAAUUGCUUAAAUGUAUUGGACAAGCUGCAACCUCAUUGGAACUUGACAGAGCUUAUCAUUAUAUCCUAUAGUGGUAAGUCGUUCUCUGAUUGGCUAGGACAUGGUUCAUUCUCUAAUAUGUCAGUCAUGCGUCUUGAAUCUUGCAAGCACUGUGUGUCGUUGCCUCCUUUAGGACAGCUACCAUCUCUAGAGAAGUUGAUAAUCAAAGGAUUUGAUGGAGUUACAAGUGUGGGUACUGAAUUCAAUGGUAGUAACUGUAUACCUUUUCAGUCACUUAAGUACUUGGAAUUUGCUGACAUGUGCAGUUGGAAAGAGUGGGCUUCUUUUGCAAUAGAGACGGGUGGUCUUGCCUUUGCACAUCUGCAUGAGCUUUGUAUUAGAAAUUGCCCCGAGUUGAGUGGAGGUUUGCCCAACCAUCUCCCUUCUCUAUCAGCCUUGUCCAUUGAAAAGUGUCCACAGCUAACGUCUUCUCUACCAUUUGCACCACUUCUUCGUAAGAUCAAUUUGGAUGAUUGUGGAAAGGUUUCUGGAGUUGAGCCUCUCCUAAAUGGCACUGAGUUACGAGAUAUGGAAAUCAAGAAUCUUUCAACCCUUCCCUUGAGGUUUCUUCCUCCUACCAUGAUAAGACUCAAUCUUGAAGACAGUCAUGAAAUAGAGUUGCCAAUACAUAGAUGCCAUGAAUCUCUCCAAUAUCUAAACUUGAAGCAGAGCUGCGAUUCACUUAUAUCCAUUCCUCUGGAAAUUUUCCCCUCACUUAAGAAUAUUCAGUUAGUGGAGAUUCAAAAAUUGGAACAUCUUUCAAAUUCAGACAGUUCUCCACUUCUUCUCCAUUCGAUGAACAUUAGUGAUUGCCUUGAAUUUAGAUCUUUCCCUGCGGGAGGAUUGGUUGCCCCACGCCUCACUUCAUUAGAGUUGAAUGAUUGUCAUCAUCUAAAGUAUCUGCCAGAAAACAUGCAUGCUCUCCCUCCUUCGCUUCGGUCACUGAAAAUAUCCUCAUGUCCACAACUCGAGUCAUUUCCCGAGCAGGGUUUGCCCUCCAAGUUGGUUGCGCUUUCACUCUCUAAUUGUGACAAGCUCAUCACUGGCCGCAAGGAUUGGGGUCUUCAAUCACUAUGCUCUCUUAAAACUUUUGUCAUUGAGCAGGAGAAAAAUAUAGAGUCAUUUCCUGAGAUAGGGCUUCUACCAAGCUCUCUUACCUCUCUGUAUAUCUUUAACUUUGAGAAUCUGACAUCCCUGAACUCCAAAGGGCUUCAUAGCCUGAGCUCCCUUGAAAAAUUGUUCAUUGGCGAAUGUCCUAAGCUCCAUUCCUUCCCAAAGGAGGAACAAAUUCUGCCUGCUUCUCUUACCACUCUGUUGAUUUAUGAUAUGGAUCUAAAAUCACUAGACAACUUAGGGCUCCACCACCUCACUUGUCUCAAAACCUUUCACAUAAUUGACUGCCGAAGUCUUCGAUCCAUGCCAGUUGAGGGCUUGUCAUCCUCCCUUUCCAAUCUAUUUAUCUAUGGGUGUCCUUUUCUGGAGAAAAGAUGCCAACGCAAGAAAGGGAAAGAUUGGCCCCUAGUUUCUUACAUUCGCUGCAUCGUGAUUGAAGAUGUGCUCAUCACAUAAUCGAAUAUCUUGCUUUACAAGCCCUGCAUUUACCAAGAUCUCACUAGGGUAUCUCUCUUGACCCUACACUAAGUAAGCCAUUUAUAUAUUCACAACAUGCUUCAGUCGCACUGUGGUCAAGCAGUACCAUCUGGCUGUAUUUGCCGCAAGCCACUCUGGUAACACUCCACAAUGGAAGUUAUUUGUAGUUUCACCAGCUUUCCAUUCUUGUUCCUACUAUCGGGCUGCAUGAUUUGUUUAUCGGUUGCCGAGUUAUUUAGCUGGAUCAUCUGUUUUUCAUUUGUUUAUUGGUUGCCGAUUUAUUUAGUUGGAUCAUCUGCUUUUCCCCUUCUCCAUUCUCUCUAUAUAAAUCACACUCCCAUACUUCAGCUGAGCAUCUGUCACGGUCCUUUAUACUCUCACUGGAAAUGAUAAUUCCAUUGGUUACUUUUUGGUCAUCAUCAAGUUAUUUCAGCUUUAGAACCUCACUCCAUAUCACCGAUUGUCACACCUACAAAUGCCAACUCAUGGAACUGUUUGUGCAUGAGCUAACUAAUGUAAAUAGAGCAAAGAGAUUCGUGGCCAUAUGAAGAAGGCCUAGCCUUGAUUAGGCUAUCCAGAUGAAAUUAUUUUUUCACAAACCCUGUGGCACAUCCUCAAGUUAUAGAGAGAGUAAAUUUGCUCUUAUUGACAGAUGCUUUCUGUUGUCUAAAGCCUUAUAAUAUUGCAAGGGAGACAUAAAUUCUUAAGGACAGGCAUGACUCAUGACUGACCUCUAUUCCACUUGCCAGAACAGUGUGGUAUCGUGGGUGUAGUAUAUUUCUGUUUGCUUUGUAUUUUUAUUUGUCCAUUUCAGCUUAACAUCACUCUAAUGCUGUACAGUUUAACAAUUUCCCUGCCUACACGUGGAAUUCUGAUCCAUAGAAUGUGAAAAUUGAACAGUAUUAGAUGCAAGUGACCCGGCAUUUUGUAGUGGCAUAUCCACUUUUGUCACUAAUUAUAUCACGACAUCAACUAAAUCCAAACUGAAGGACUAAAAAUGCAAUUCGAUCAAAAUAUAUGGACCUAUUGUAACUUACCCUAUUUUGAGAGAAUAUCGUUACUUUCGAGUAGACCUGUUAAACGGGUGGGUUGGGUCGGGUUUGGGUCGGGUCAUAAAUGGUCUGACCCAAAUCGACCCAUUUAACCCAUUUAUGACCCAUUUAUUAUAGUGCAAAAUUUUUGACCCAUACCCGACCCGAUCCAUACUCGACCCAUACCCGACCCAUUUAAUGAAACCUAAAAAAGCUUAUAUAUAUAUUUUUAAAAUGAUAUUGCUAAAAUGGUUUUAUACAACACAAAUUUAAUGGAUAAUUUUUAUAAUUUUUAAAAUAAUUAUUUUAAAAAAAUCGAAUUUUAAUUAUUUUUUAAUUUUUUAAAAAAUUAUUUUUUAAUUAUUUUUAAUUUUAUUUUUAAGAAUAUAAUAUUUCUUUUUCUUUUUUCUUUUUUCUUUUUUUUUCUUCUUCUUCGGUCAGCCGCCGGCCACGACGACUGCCGGCGGCCGGCCACAGGCGAGCCUCGAGCUCGCCCGGCUCGCCGACGACGCCGAGCUCAAGGCUCGCCAGAUCCAGCGAGCUCGAGCUCGCCCGACGCCGGCGAGCUCGAGUCUCGCCAGAUCCGGCGAGCUCGAGCUCGCCCGACGCCGGCGAGCUCGAAUCUCGCCAGAUCGGCGAGGCUCCAAAUCCGGCGAGCUCGAGGCUCGCCAGCAUCGGGCGAGCUCGAGCUCGCCCCUCGCCGGAUCUGGCGAGGCUCGAGCCUCGUCGGAUGUCGGCGAGGCCUCCGCCUCGCCAGAUCUGGCGAGCUCGAGGCUCGCCGGCGAGUUGGAGUCUCGCCAGAUCGGCGAGGCUCGAGCUCGNNNNNNNNNNNNNNNNNNNNNNNNNNNNNNNNNNNNNNNNNNNNNNNNNNNNNNNNNNNNNNNNNNNNNNNNNNNNNNNNNNNNNNNNNNNNNNNNNNNNNNNNNNNNNNNNNNNNNNNNNNNNNNNNNNNNNNNNNNNNNNNNNNNNNNNNNNNNNNNNNNNNNNNNNNNNNNNNNNNNNNNNNNNNNNNNNNNNNNNNNNNNNNNNNNNNNNNNNNNNNNNNNNNNNNNNNNNNNNNNNNNNNNNNNNNNNNNNNNNNNNNNNNNNNNNNNNNNNNNNNNNNNNNNNNNNNNNNNNNNNNNNNNNNNNNNNNNNNNNNNNNNNNNNNNNNNNNNNNNNNNNNNNNNNNNNNNNNNNNNNNNNNNNNNNNNNNNNNNNNNNNNNNNNNNNNNNNNNNNNNNNNNNNNNNNNNNNNNNNNNNNNNNNNNNNNNNNNNNNNNNNNNNNNNNNNNNNNNNNNNNNNNNNNNNNNNNNNNNNNNNNNNNNNNNNNNNNNNNNNNNNNNNNNNNNNNNNNNNNNNNNNNNNNNNNNNNNNNNNNNNNNNNNNNNNNNNNNNNNNNNNNNNNNNNNNNNNNNNNNNNNNNNNNNNNNNNNNNNNNNNNNNNNNNNNNNNNNNNNNNNNNNNNNNNNNNNNNNNNNNNNNNNNNNNNNNNNNNNNNNNNNNNNNNNNNNNNNNNNNNNNNNNNNNNNNNNNNNNNNNNNNNNNNNNNNNNNNNNNNNNNNNNNNNNNNNNNNNNNNNNNNNNNNNNNNNNNNNNNNNNNNNNNNNNNNNNNNNNNNNNNNNNNNNNNNNNNNNNNNNNNNNNNNNNNNNNNNNNNNNNNNNNNNNNNNNNNNNNNNNNNNNNNNNNNNNNNNNNNNNNNNNNNNNNNNNNNNNNNNNNNNNNNNNNNNNNNNNNNNNNNNNNNNNNNNNNNNNNNNNNNNNNNNNNNNNNNNNNNNNNNNNNNNNNNNNNNNNNNNNNNNNNNNNNNNNNNNNNNNNNNNNNNNNNNNNNNNNNNNNNNNNNNNNNNNNNNNNNNNNNNNNNNNNNNNNNNNNNNNNNNNNNNNNNNNNNNNNNNNNNNNNNNNNNNNNNNNNNNNNNNNNNNNNNNNNNNNNNNNNNNNNNNNNNNNNNNNNNNNNNNNNNNNNNNNNNNNNNNNNNNNNNNNNNNNNNNNNNNNNNNNNNNNNNNNNNNNNNNNNNNNNNNNNNNNNNNNNNNNNNNNNNNNNNNNNNNNNNNNNNNNNNNNNNNNNNNNNNNNNNNNNNNNNNNNNNNNNNNNNNNNNNNNNNNNNNNNNNNNNNNNNNNNNNNNNNNNNNNNNNNNNNNNNNNNNNNNNNNNNNNNNNNNNNNNNNNNNNNNNNNNNNNNNNNNNNNNNNNNNNNNNNNNNNNNNNNNNNNNNNNNNNNNNNNNNNNNNNNNNNNNNNNNNNNNNNNNNNNNNNNNNNNNNNNNNNNNNNNNNNNNNNNNNNNNNNNNNNNNNNNNNNNNNNNNNNNNNNNNNNNNNNNNNNNNNNNNNNNNNNNNNNNNNNNNNNNNNNNNNNNNNNNNNNNNNNNNNNNNNNNNNNNNNNNNNNNNNNNNNNNNNNNNNNNNNNNNNNNNNNNNNNNNNNNNNNNNNNNNNNNNNNNNNNNNNNNNNNNNNNNNNNNNNNNNNNNNNNNNNNNNNNNNNNNNNNNNNNNNNNNNNNNNNNNNNNNNNNNNNNNNNNNNNNNNNNNNNNNNNNNNNNNNNNNNNNNNNNNNNNNNNNNNNNNNNNNNNNNNNNNNNNNNNNNNNNNNNNNNNNNNNNNNNNNNNNNNNNNNNNNNNNNNNNNNNNNNNNNNNNNNNNNNNNNNNNNNNNNNNNNNNNNNNNNNNNNNNNNNNNNNNNNNNNNNNNNNNNNNNNNNNNNNNNNNNNNNNNNNNNNNNNNNNNNNNNNNNNNNNNNNNNNNNNNNNNNNNNNNNNNNNNNNNNNNNNNNNNNNNNNNNNNNNNNNNNNNNNNNNNNNNNNNNNNNNNNNNNNNNNNNNNNNNNNNNNNNNNNNNNNNNNNNNNNNNNNNNNNNNNNNNNNNNNNNNNNNNNNNNNNNNNNNNNNNNNNNNNNNNNNNNNNNNNNNNNNNNNNNNNNNNNNNNNNNNNNNNNNNNNNNNNNNNNNNNNNNNNNNNNNNNNNNNNNNNNNNNNNNNNNNNNNNNNNNNNNNNNNNNNNNNNNNNNNNNNNNNNNNNNNNNNNNNNNNNNNNNNNNNNNNNNNNNNNNNNNNNNNNNNNNNNNNNNNNNNNNNNNNNNNNNNNNNNNNNNNNNNNNNNNNNNNNNNNNNNNNNNNNNNNNNNNNNNNNNNNNNNNNNNNNNNNNNNNNNNNNNNNNNNNNNNNNNNNNNNNNNNNNNNNNNNNNNNNNNNNNNNNNNNNNNNNNNNNNNNNNNNNNNNNNNNNNNNNNNNNNNNNNNNNNNNNNNNNNNNNNNNNNNNNNNNNNNNNNNNNNNNNNNNNNNNNNNNNNNNNNNNNNNNNNNNNNNNNNNNNNNNNNNNNNNNNNNNNNNNNNNNNNNNNNNNNNNNNNNNNNNNNNNNNNNNNNNNNNNNNNNNNNNNNNNNNNNNNNNNNNNNNNNNNNNNNNNNNNNNNNNNNNNNNNNNNNNNNNNNNNNNNNNNNNNNNNNNNNNNNNNNNNNNNNNNNNNNNNNNNNNNNNNNNNNNNNNNNNNNNNNNNNNNNNNNNNNNNNNNNNNNNNNNNNNNNNNNNNNNNNNNNNNNNNNNNNNNNNNNNNNNNNNNNNNNNNNNNNNNNNNNNNNNNNNNNNNNNNNNNNNNNNNNNNNNNNNNNNNNNNNNNNNNNNNNNNNNNNNNNNNNNNNNNNNNNNNNNNNNNNNNNNNNNNNNNNNNNNNNNNNNNNNNNNNNNNNNNNNNNNNNNNNNNNNNNNNNNNNNNNNNNNNNNNNNNNNNNNNNNNNNNNNNNNNNNNNNNNNNNNNNNNNNNNNNNNNNNNNNNNNNNNNNNNNNNNNNNNNNNNNNNNNNNNNNNNNNNNNNNNNNNNNNNNNNNNNNNNNNNNNNNNNNNNNNNNNNNNNNNNNNNNNNNNNNNNNNNNNNNNNNNNNNNNNNNNNNNNNNNNNNNNNNNNNNNNNNNNNNNNNNNNNNNNNNNNNNNNNNNNNNNNNNNNNNNNNNNNNNNNNNNNNNNNNNNNNNNNNNNNNNNNNNNNNNNNNNNNNNNNNNNNNNNNNNNNNNNNNNNNNNNNNNNNNNNNNNNNNNNNNNNNNNNNNNNNNNNNNNNNNNNNNNNNNNNNNNNNNNNNNNNNNNNNNNNNNNNNNNNNNNNNNNNNNNNNNNNNNNNNNNNNNNNNNNNNNNNNNNNNNNNNNNNNNNNNNNNNNNNNNNNNNNNNNNNNNNNNNNNNNNNNNNNNNNNNNNNNNNNNNNNNNNNNNNNNNNNNNNNNNNNNNNNNNNNNNNNNNNNNNNNNNNNNNNNNNNNNNNNNNNNNNNNNNNNNNNNNNNNNNNNNNNNNNNNNNNNNNNNNNNNNNNNNNNNNNNNNNNNNNNNNNNNNNNNNNNNNNNNNNNNNNNNNNNNNNNNNNNNNNNNNNNNNNNNNNNNNNNNNNNNNNNNNNNNNNNNNNNNNNNNNNNNNNNNNNNNNNNNNNNNNNNNNNNNNNNNNNNNNNNNNNNNNNNNNNNNNNNNNNNNNNNNNNNNNNNNNNNNNNNNNNNNNNNNNNNNNNNNNNNNNNNNNNNNNNNNNNNNNNNNNNNNNNNNNNNNNNNNNNNNNNNNNNNNNNNNNNNNNNNNNNNNNNNNNNNNNNNNNNNNNNNNNNNNNNNNNNNNNNNNNNNNNNNNNNNNNNNNNNNNNNNNNNNNNNNNNNNNNNNNNNNNNNNNNNNNNNNNNNNNNNNNNNNNNNNNNNNNNNNNNNNNNNNNNNNNNNNNNNNNNNNNNNNNNNNNNNNNNNNNNNNNNNNNNNNNNNNNNNNNNNNNNNNNNNNNNNNNNNNNNNNNNNNNNNNNNNNNNNNNNNNNNNNNNNNNNNNNNNNNNNNNNNNNNNNNNNNNNNNNNNNNNNNNNNNNNNNNNNNNNNNNNNNNNNNNNNNNNNNNNNNNNNNNNNNNNNNNNNNNNNNNNNNNNNNNNNNNNNNNNNNNNNNNNNNNNNNNNNNNNNNNNNNNNNNNNNAAAUGGAUCAUAAAAUGGGUCAACUCUUUAACCCAUUUAAAAUCCAUAUAUCUUAGUAUUAACCCAUUAAAACUCAUAUAUGUGCUUUAUGAAAGAAAGCUUGACCCAUUAAUGACCCAUUUAACCAUAAAUGGGUCUAUAAAUGGGUUAUGCAACCCAUUUAACACCUCUACUUUCGAGGGAACUUAAGUGGUUUUAUGUGCACUAACUGUUGAGGAGCUUUUGUGGAUGGAGAUAAAGCUGGAAAUGUAUUGCUAGCUUUUAGCUUGAUUUGAGUAUCCUGAUACUUGUCUUUCAAUCAUCGCAAGUGGAGUGCUUCUAGAUGGGGCUAGACUAACUAUUGUUCAAAAAAUACAUGAUGCAUACAUGGUUAGCGAGAUGUACGUAUAAGUUAUGUUAGAAAAAGUCCAAUGAAGUGGGAUUGUUAUGGUGUGAAAUAGUUAAUAUCUUAGUUGGCCAAAAAUUCAUUGCAUUAAGUUUUUGAGUAAAAGUGGUCUAAUUGGAUAUGUUAAAAGGCUUGAACUUUAGCUACUUUAGCUCUCCCUUGGCUUAUGCUAUAUGCUCCCAAGCCGAUUGUUGAUUGGUGGCAACGUGUUAGUAUACUUGGAUUAAGGGGGAAGUAUACUUAACAUUGAGCUCACACGUAAGAGGAGAUAAUAAUUGAUGUGAUAUGAAGUAGUUAAUAUAUCCUAGUUGACUCAUGAUUCAUAGAUUUAAGCUUUUUAAGCAUAUAUUGGUCCAACUAUAUUUGUUGGCAGGUCAAACUUGGGCUCUCUCUUGACGAUCUCCUAUGCAGUGAUAUUGGUAAUAUUGGGUUCUACUAAGCGUUAACUAUAGUGGAUGUCGGAUGCAGCUUUGGAUGGACCUAUUCUUCUCCCACAAUAUCGAGAUAGUUUUAGUAACAGGGUUGUGGUGAGUAAAAAAAAUGGUGCUAAGUCUUCACAAGACAAGUGGAUUAUGAGGAUCGGGAGCAGCAUUGGCAAUGAGAUGGUGGAAAUCGGCAAGGAAAAUAAAUCCAUUUUUCACGCGGUCAGUAAGCCAAGUUAUCGACUCCUAAAAACGAAAGAAUCGAGGUCAAUUUAGAAGUUUCGAAAUUUCAUUGUUGGUUUGCAGCUUGCGAGAAAUUGUUUCUCAAUGAGCGCAAGUGCAAGAGAGGCACUCCAAUGCAAUUGCAAUGUUUAGUGUAACACAGCAACACACCAUGUGAGAAGUACUCACCUAAUGGUUUGGCUGAAUUGUCGUUUUUGCAAGCUGAUACUUGUCGUAGUGAAGAAACAACAAACCAUUCAAGAUGAAACGGAGCCAACGCAUGAUCUGUAGUUGUACAUCCCAGGUGUUCAAUGUUGUAGCAUUGGAGGAAAGGAUCAUAUCUGAAACUGAUGAUGGGCAUGAGAUGAGUGGGUUAUGGAGAGAUUGUUUGAUACAGCUUUCGAUGGUAGCUGCGACCGUAAAACUGGAUGCUUCUGCUUUCGCAAGGUAACAUUUCAAAGCUAUCAUUUGGAACCUGUCCCGUCUAGCUUUUAGCUGCUAUGUGUUACCAAAUGAUGCAACUAUGAUUAUACCAAACGGGCCUAAGUUGAGCUUCAUAGCCUAUACGGGAUCAGGAGGGAUUGGAGAAUUGUGUCAGUGAUACUUCUCUCUCUUCGGUUGAGUGGUUCAUCUCUUCUUCAAAAGGACCUCUAAUUCUCUAGGGGCAGACUUAAGCUAAGAGCGGAAUUGACUCUUGCAUGCAAGCGUGUACCAGUUUCGUGCUUUAGGAGGGUAUCACAUAUGCUGGAUAAGUGAAAUUUGGGGUCACGUACGAGUCUCACUUAUUAUCCUGUUCGAGGUGGAAGUCGUCAUACGAGAAAGAUGAAUCAAAUAACCUUCAUUCCAACUUCAAAAUCUGUAAAGGCAUCAUUUCUCAUUAUGGAGAACUAGUCCAGAAACCUUGUAGCUACGCAUUAUAGACAGUUAUUUUGAAAUGAUGUGGUCUAUUAUGCUAAUCAACACUGGCACAACUAGCAGUGGAUGCUGAUGCUGAUUUAACUCACACAAAUUCGCUGAAUGAGAAGGCGAGAUAAAGCAUCUAAGACACAGAAAAACUACCUAGCUAGCUAAAUGAUUUGGACAUAUAGACUAACAAGAAUUGUGAUCAUCAUAUCACUAACGUUCAUCUAACCAAAAUAACAGCAGCAACUUGGAUGGAUGCGGAUCGGGAAAAAAAGACCUACUGCGAGACAAGAUACAGGGCACAAUUCAUAUCUUGCAACAUAAUAUCUUCAGAGCAGUUAAAAAAUAGCAUCUCCUGGUCUUAACUCGUCCAACUGAGGAACAACAUAGCAUGAACACUAGGCUAGACUCGUGCCCAAGGAAUGAAGUCGUGUAUGAUUAUGCCACAAACAGAGCACAACAAGAAAACCACCUGAUGAUCCAACGGAACCUCAAAAACAAAGAAGGUUAUGAGUAUGUACAAUCAUGAGGUGAACUCCUAUCAGAUUGUUCUAAAACGUCCCUCUUGUUCAAUACAGUUCCAUAGUUUACCGUAUCACUUGAUGAACAGCAAUUUACAAACCAAUCUGUAUACCCUAGGUCCCCAGCAUUACCGUGGAAGAAAUGAAGAAGUCGUAUCCUGGCCCUAGCAUGAAAAACUGAGAAAUCCAUAUCCUACUGAAAGAAGCACAGGGAUACAGCAUAGCAACAUGUCUUUGUCCACAAACUGCUAAUAUAGGUUUGUUACAACCAUUCAUCAUCAUGCAAAUUUCACAAGCUAAUGAGGGUGAAAAACGACACCCCCUUGUACAAAAAAGAGAGCCAAUCCAGUCAACAGACACGAAAACGUCAGAGACAUGGGACAAUAUUCACAUGAAACACAGAGGUAAAGAAACUAAAAUCCAAAGCGCUCGUUCCAGAUUUGCAACAGCAAUCAAUACAUCAGCACUCAAACAGGUCUGCAGAUGCCAUUAUGGGUUGUAUCGGACAUGGGAUCUGCCAGGGCUUCAUCAACGGGUCGGGUAUCUCGGGAAUAUCAAUCGCCAGCCCACUGACCACCUCCACGAUCUCGAGCACCGAGUUCAGGGACCGGAGCCUGUCGGUAAGCUCCAUGGCCUGGGCCCUGAGGACAUUGUUUGCCAACUCGACCUCGGCAUACUUCUGCGCAGCAGCAUUGAUACUCGCCACGAGCUGAGCAUUAGCCUGCUGCAGUUGCCCCACUUCUCCGACCAAAUCCCCCAGCUGCUUCUGCCUCCUCAUCCGGGAGCGCCUGGCGGAUUCCCUGUUGGACUCCAUCCUCUUCCUCUUCCUUUCAUCAUCGGCCACCCCACCGAGCCUCGGGUCGCCAUCGGAUCCUGAGCUCGCCUGACGCCGAACCGAACCCAUUUUCGAGGGCCUUUCCACGCAAUCAAUCAAUCACUCGAUUCAGAAAACGACCGAUCAAAGGGUCUCCGCGUGCCGGGAGUUAUUUCGCUUUUGCUUCUCAGACAACGAAUUCCGAUGGAAUCAAAGUGAGGCACGAAUCGCGAUCAAUCGGAGAGAGAGAGACGGGCGUUCAUGAGAAGACGUAGAACCAAUAGAGGAACACCACCGAGAAGGAGUGGACGAUCCGCACCCGGAACAUGAGGAUCGCGUAGUUCAUAACUCGGUUUCCCACAUCUGAAAACCCUAGACCAUCUACCACAAGCGCUCAACCAGUACCCUCCGAUUCUCAGCCCAACGCAACGAAGGGGAAAACGAAAACGGCGACAACGCAGCGGAAAGACAGCAGAGAGAGAGAGAAGGGGGACGUAAACUUAGCUGGCGGCGGCGGCGGCGGCGGCGGAACGCGCGAACCAGAGAGAGGUCGAAGAAGGUGAGGAAAGGAGGGGAGGAGGGGUUUUUAUAGAGGAGGCUCGCGGGCUUCGAUUGGUCUGCCGGGAAAACGAAUAUUCCCAGAAUCUUUUUUUUUUGGGUGUAAUUUAUUAGGACGGAUUUUGCUUAGGCGUGUCCCAAUUGCCCAAUCACAUUCGGAAGCGUAAGAUUAUAUUUCUUUCUUUAAUUAAAAAAAAAACUGAAAUUGCCUUUUUAACGAAUCGAUAAAAGAAGAAAAUACACGAGAUGCUUCAAGGAUGAACGAAUGUGAAAAUCUAUAUCGGAGAUGUGGAGGAAUCUAGAGAUCCUCUUCUGAUUUUAUUUUGCCGGUGGUUUCUUUUUUUAUCUUUUUAUUUAUCGAUGGACAACUAAUAUCCGACUUAAUCUAUUUAUAAAAUCUCUUUCUUUACGCGACCGUGUAACCAAAAUACAGGGGGGGAACAGAUGUUCUUAAAUUUAAAUUGUUUUUGGUGGGGGAGGGAAAGAAUGACGUCAUGGCGCACGUCUGAUGUGGCGUGGGAUUGGUCGGAUCUCAUCGUCGUCGCGGUAGUUGGUGCUGCCCAUGUUCAAUGUAAUGCGCACGUUGUUUGGGAUCUUAUCCAGUAGCAUCACACUUUUUUUUUUUUUUUGAGCAACAGUAGCAUCACACUUUACAGAGCAGGCCAAAACCGUGGGUUUGACUGGGUCAAACAUCGAACGUCGGAUCUUCUUGGAUACAUCCCCCCUGGAAAAAUGCUCGCGAGCGCCAAGUUGUGAUAAGGAGAGAUAUUUAUUUUAAUGUUUUAUGUUUUAAGACAUUAAUUUCCCGAUACCUUUUAAUUUUCGUAAAAAAGGACUUGCGCAGUGGAAAUUAGUCAGGAUCUGUAAAAUACGGGCUAUAUCUUGGACUUCCAAAAUUGAAAUUGGAUGAAAAGAAUACGUAAGUGAUUUGGUGAAAGCAGAUAGCCGUUUGGAAAUUAAUUGUGAAAAUAUGUAGGUGGGCUCUUGGUGAGAAAAUAGGGAUAGAAAUCAAAGUGGAUAGUGGAUUUGGGGAUUGCAAACAUUGCAUCAUGAAAUAGUACUAGAAAAAUGAUCAUUGCAAUUUGUUUAUUCCACAAAAAAUGAAUGAUUUGAAAAAAACACCCCAUUACUGCAAUCCGUUUAUUUCACAAUAAAUGAAUAAUUUGAAAAAAAUGAACUCAAUGAACAAUACUAAUCACAACCAAGAGCCAACUAUCGGCUCCCAAGGAGCAAACCUAGGACACUGUGCCCAAACUUGCGAUCUUGACACUUUAAUCGAGAAUGAUAUAUUUCAUAUUAAGGUUAAAAUUACAUGGUACCGGCACAAGAUGCAACAAACUCGAGAUGCAUAACAUAUAUAUAAGGUCGAACGACAUGAGAUUUGUAAUACCAUUUUUUUUUCAGUCCAAUCAGAGUUAUNNNNNNNNNNNNNNNNNNNNNNNNNNNNNNNNNNNNNNNNNNNNNNNNNNNNNNNNNNNNNNNNNNNNNNNNNNNNNNNNNNNNNNNNNNNNNNNNNNNNGCAUUCUGAUUAGUAUGUAUAACAUAGUCGAGAAAGAUGAAUCAGAUAACCUUCAUUCCAACUUCGAAAUCUGCAAGGACGUCAUUUCCCAAUAUGGCGAACCAGUCCAGAAACCUUGUAGGGAAAUGACGAACCAAUCCAGAAACCUUGUGGCUACGCAAUAUAGACAAUUAUUUUGAAACGAUGUGAUGUCUUAUACUAAUCAACACUGGCACAACUAGCAGUAGAUGCCAAUGCUAAUUUAGCUCGCACAAAUUCGCUGAGCAAGAAGGGGAGUUGAAGCAUCUAAGACAGAAAAACUAACUCGCUUGCUAAAUGAUUUGGACAUAUAGAACAACAAGAAUUGUGAUCUUCAUAUCACUAGCGUUCAUCCAACCAAAAUAACAACAGCAACUUGGACGCGGAUUGGGAAAAAGACCUACUGCGAGACAAGAUACAGGACACAAGUCAUACCUCACAACAAAAUAUCUUCGGAGCAGUUAAAAAAUAGCAUCUCCUGGUCUUAACUCGCCCAACUGAGGAACAGCAUAGAACGAACACUAGGCUAGACGAGUGCCCAAGGAAUGAAGUCGUGCAUGAUUGUGCCACAAACAGAGCACAACAAGAAAACCACCUAAUGAUCGAACGGAACCUCAAAAACAAAAAAGGUUAUGAGUAUGUACAAUCAUGAGGCAAACUCCUAUCGGAUUGUUCUAAAACGUCCCUCUUGUUCAAUGCAGUUCCAUAGUUUACUACAUCACUUGAUGAACAGCAAUUUACAAACCAAUCUGUAUAGCCUAGGUCCCAAGCAUUGCUGCGGAGGAAAUGAAGAAAUCGUAUUCUGGGCCUAGCAUGAAAAACUGAGAAAUCCAUAUCCUACUGAAAGAAGCACGGGGAUACAGCAUAGCAACAUGUCUUUGUCCACAAAUUGCUGAUAUAGGUUUGUUACAACCAUUCAUCAUCAUACAAAUUUCACAAGCUAAUGAGGGUGAAAAACGACACCCAAUUGUACAAAAAAGAGAGCCUAUCCAGUCAUCAGACACGAAGUCGACAUUUUACCGCUGCCGAUGAGACGGACAUCAGAGACAUCGGACAAUAUACACAUGAAACACAGAGGUAAAGAGACUAAAAUCCAAAGUGCUCGUUCCACAUUUGCAACAGCAAUCGAUACAUCAGCACUCAAACAGGUCUGCGGACGCCAUUAUAGGUUGUAUCGGACAUGGGAUCUGCCAGGGCUUCAUCAACGGGUCGGGUAUCUCGGGAAUAUCAAACGCGAGCCCACUGACCGCCUCCGCAAUCUCAAGCACCGAGUUCAAGGACCGGAGCCUGUCGGUAAGUUCCAUGGCCUGGGCCCUGAGGACAUUGUUCGCCGACUCGACCUCAGCAUACUUCUGCGCAGCCGCAUUGAUACUCGCCACGAGCUGAGCGUUAGCCUGCUGCAGUUGCCCCACUUCUCCGACCGAAUCCUCCAGCUGCUUCUGCCUCCUCAUCCGGGAGCGCCUGGCGGAUUCCCUGUUUGGACUCCAUCCUCUUCCUCUUCCUUUCAUCAUCGGCCACCCCACCGAGCCUCGGGUCGCCAUCGGUUCCCGAGCUCGCCUGACGCCGAACCGAACCCAUUUUCGAGGGCCUCUCCCCGCGAUCAAUCAAUCACUCGAUUCAGAAACGACCGAUCAAAGGGUCUCCGCGUGCCGGGAGUUAAUUCCCUUUGUCUCAGACAACGAAUUCCGAUGGAAUCAAAGGAGGUACGAAUCGCGAUCAUCNNNNNNNNNNNNNNNNNNNNNNNNNNNNNNNNNNNNNNNNNNNNNNNNNNNNNNNNNNNNNNNNNNNNNNNNNNNNNNNNNNNNNNNNNNNNNNNNNNNNNNNNNNNNNNNNNNNNNNNNNNNNNNNNNNNNNNNNNNNNNNNNNNNNNNNNNNNNNNNNNNNNNNNNNNNNNNNNNNNNNNNNNNNNNNNNNCGAAGGGGAACACGAAAACGGCGACAACGCAGCGGAAAGACAGCAGAGGGAGAGAGAGAGAGAGAAGGGGGACGUAAACUUAGCUGACGGCGGCGGCGGCGGCGGCGGCAGCGGCGGCGGAACGCGCGAACCAGAGAGAGGUCGAAGAAGGUUGGGAAAGGAGGGGAGGAGGGGUUUAUGUGGAGGAGGCUCGCGGGCUUCGAUUGGUCUGCCGGGAAAACGAAUAUUCCCAGAAUCUUUUUUUUUGGGUGUAAUUUAUUGGGACGGAUUUUGCUUAGGCGUGUCCCGAUUGCCCAAUCACAUCCGGAAGUGUGAGAUUAUAUUACCUUUUUAAUGAAUCGAUAAAAGAAGAAAAUACAUGAGAUGCUUGAGGAAUGAACGAAUUUGGAAAUCUAUAUCGAAGAUGUAGAGGAAUCAAGAGAUCCUCUUCUGAUUUUAUUUUGUCGGUGGUUUUUUUUAUCUUUUUAUUUACCAAUGGACAACUAAUAUCCGACUUAAUCUAUUUAUAAAAUCUCUCUAGUUUUUACUUGUUAGUACUUGUGUUUCCCUCUUUCUUUACGCGACCGUGUAACCAUAAUACGGGGAGAACAGAUGUUCUUAAAUUAAAAAAAAAUUUCGUGGGGGAGGGGAAGAAUGACGUCAUGGCGCACGUCUGAUGUAGCUUGGGAUUGGUCGGAUCUCAUCGUCGUCGCGGUAGCUGGUGCUGCCCAUGUAAAUGUAAUGCGCACGUUGUUUGGGACAUUAGCCAAUAGCAUCACACUUUACAGAGCAGGCAAAAAUCGUGGGUUUGACCGGGUCAAACAUCGGAUAUCGGAUCUUCUUGGGAUACAUCCCCCCGAGAGUAAUGCACGCGAGCGCCAAGUCAUGAUAAAGAGAGAUGUUUAUUUUAAUGUUUUCUGUUUGGAGACAUUAAUUUCUCGAUACCUUUUUAUUUUCGUAAAAAAGGACUUGUGCAAUGGAAAUUAGUCGGGAUGCGUAAAAUACAGGCUAAAUCUUGGAUUUCCGAAAUUGAAAUUGGAUGAAAAGAAAACGCAAACGAUUCGGUGAAAACAAAUAAUUGUUUGGAAAUUGACGGUGAAAAUAUGUAGGUGGGCUCUUGGUGAGAAAAUAGGGAUAGAAAUCAAAGUGGAUAGUGGAUUUGGGGAUUGCAAACAUUGCAUCAUGAAAUAGUACUAGAAAAAUGAUCACUGCAAUCUUUUUUUUUUUUUUUUUUUUUUUUUUUUUGUGCAGGAAGAACCAGCUUGCACCGACAGUGCGCCGUAAACCCCCCGAUGACGCUAGUGGGGAAACCACCACCCCAACGUCACGCUUAAGUCACCAUGUAGCUAAGACUGCCUCCCUGCUUCGCAGGGGCUUCAAACCUUGGCCUCCACCGGGGAGGGCCAAGGAUCUACCAUCCACGCCACCUUGGUCGGUGGUAUCACUGCAAUUUGUUUAUUGCAUAAAAAAAUGAAUGAUUUGAAAAAAAUAAAAAUUACUGCAAUUCGUUUAUUCCAAAAAAAAGUGAAUGAUUUGAAAAAAAAAAUUAUUGCAAUCCAUUUAUUCCACAAAAAAUGAAUGAUUUGGAAAAAAAAGAACUCAAUGAACAAUACUAAUCACAACCAAGAGCCAACUAUCGGCUCCCAAGGAGAAAACCUAGGACACUAUGCCCAAAUUUGUGAUCUUGACACUUUAAUCGAGAAUGACAUAUUUCAUAUUAAGGUUAAAAUUACAUGAUAUUGGCACAAGACGCAACAAACUUGAGAUGCAUAACAUUUAUAAGGCCGAACGACAUGAGGUUUGUAAUACUUUUUUUUUCAAUCCAAUCAAAGUUAUAAUGCGUUGGCUAAUCAUUAAUGUUGCAUCAUCACUAUCAAAUUAGGGUCGAUGACUUAGUGAGGCUUGCCUCACCAGCCCUCGGUCAUAAGGAGAAAAUAUUAUAUACAAUUUUGAUGUUAAUUGAGCAAAAUAUUAGUCUAUUCAUCUUGUGGCACGUGUCACACAUGAGCCCACUUAUUUAUCACGAUCUCUCUCUCCCCUUCCUUUUGACCCAUUUUCCCUUCUCGAACAUCGAGCACAAGCCAUCGCCGUUGCCAACCAUGGCAAAGCGCACGCUUGGAGUCUCCAACAAUGAGCUUGCUGCCAAUGGAUCCCUAUCCCUUUGUGCACCUUAUGGGGGGAACAAUGAGCUUUGCUCAAGCGAUCUCUUUAUGACUUUAAGCAAUGCCAUAGUGGUGCAAGCGAUUUGACUCCAUUCAACGCUAUGAUAAGAGUGCUGAUAAAAAUUGCAUGUACUUUAGGAGGUUAUAUGAUGGUAGUUACAAAAUUUUAUACGGCCUUGCCUUGCUUCCACACCUAAGUCACCGGCAAACAAGGCUAGGUCCAUCAAGGUCGGGCCUGAGAACUCAAUGCUCCCAUCAAAGUCGCCAACGGUCCAUGCCCAAGACCUCGGUACUGGUCCAUGGGUCCUAGACCGCCAUGCUUGGGUAAGUGACUUCCACACCCAAGUCACUAGCUCCCAAGCUCCCUUAACAGCCAACCUCCCUCAAGACCGUGCCAAAGACCUAGGUAUCUAUGCCCAAGUCCUUGAUACCGUUGCUUGGAUAAUGCUCAUGCCGCCAGGACGCAGUUGGGUAUCUCUUAUAUACUAUGAAUAGUGCAUGACUUUUUAGGAAAAUAAAAUCAAGUUUUUCUUUCUAAAUGAUAUAAUUUUCAAUUCAUUUUUAAAUUUCAGUUAAAUACCAUAAAAUAUUCUUAUUGCUGAAGAUCCCCAUCACUGCCAAGCUCGCCGGCUUUGUCGUCCACCUAUUGUCCCCUCCUUGCUUCUACACCAACUUUGUUAAAUGGACGGGAGAUGGCAAGAAAUUUUUCUGAGUGCGAAAAGCCUAAGACUUUUUUGUUUUCGGAGUGAUUAUUUUUUAAUCGUGAAUGCAUGACGUGCCUGUGACACGCCCGCAUUGAGAAAAUAUGAAGUGAGAGCAAGAUUUGAUGAAAAAUACUUUAAACCUUUAAGUUGCAUCCCAAAGAUACUUAAGCCCAAAAUAUGGGGGCAAAAACAAGAGGAAAUAGAAAGAAGCAGGAGAAAGAAGUCAAAUUUAUACUUAUUUUUGAAAGCCCAUACCCUUAUGAAGCCCAUCGAUCCUCAUCUUGGGCCGUGAGAGACCCGCCGUUCACCCGACCCGACUUGAUUUUCUUCCUCUCAUGUUUUCCCGGGAAAACCCUUCUUCCCCUCUCCAGCUUUCUCCGGGAAAAUUUUCCGAUCCGUUGCAAACCAUUCAUCAUCUUCCGUUCUGUAACAGAUCUCGACGACCUGCGAGGCUGCGAUGGAGAUUCGCAUCGGAAGAGGCUACGCGUGGGCCAUCGCUGCCGGAUUCAUGGCCGCUCUCGCCGCCAUCUCCGCCAAGUUCUUCUCCUCUCAGGUAACCCAACCUCAUCCGCGCGCUUGUCCGUGCGAGCUAAUUCGUGAUUGUCCCCCGCCGUUCUGCUUUGUCACUCGAGAUCGUGCGAUCGUUACAGCUAAUGCAAAUCGAAAUCUGGCGUGUGUGUUGGGCCGUGUCCCUAAUGUAUCUCCGGCAGAAGCACUCGACGUCGCGUGGCGCAAUUUUUGGUUGUUUGAGGAUUAGCGGGAGCUCUAAUUGAGGAAAGCUCCUGCCAAUCCUACUACUUCUGUGGAGAGUAGUUGAAUAGAUUACCCAGAGGGAAGCUUGGAAGCUAUCCGAGCGGCCUGUCGUGGCAAUCAGCGACGCCUGCUCAGUAGCAGAGGAGAGUUUCGAAAGUUGAGGGGACAAGCUUAGGAAAUUCGUGAAAUUCGUGCAAAAUCUCAGUUUAUGAGAUGGGGAUGUGGACAGAGAUUCUUGGUGAAAUUUAAAAGAAGAUAGCAUAGGAAAUAGGAAACGCGCCAACGCCUAGCAGGCUAGCAGGCAGGCCAGGCGGGGCGGGGUUGGGGCAUCCGGAGAACUCUGACUGGAUAUUUAGAAGGGGUUACUAUUGUACAAGCAUCUUCUCGAAUGUGAGCUUCGCAGAAUGGGUUGUUAUCUGUCAGGUUUAUAUCUUCACUGGGACGAAGAAGAAUAGCAAAGAGAGAGAAAACAGAGAAUCUGUUGCUCUUCUUUUCCCCAGUGGGUAAGUGCAUCUGUUAUUUGUGGUGUCAUUAGCUGCGGUUGUCAGCAUUUCCUAGUCAACUCAGUCUGAGAUCUGGUGCUUUUGCAGUGAACUAGUUAAGUCCUACCAUAAAUGGAGUUCAUUUGGUCGUAUCUACCUUAAACGUUUGAUUCUCUUUGCGAGAAAAAUGUUUCAAUGUCUGAGUCCAGUUAAUUAGAUUCCUAUGACUUGACCAAUGAGUGGUUACUGCACUGCACUAAAGCCUGUUAUUUGACAGGAAUCUUUUCCUCAUGCUACUCCUUUUCCUCCAUUUCUUGACUGUAGGGGCAGAUUGUUUAAAGAUAUUUUUCAUGUGUUUACUGAUUGUCUAAGAUGCACAGUUAAGCAUUUAUUCUGUCAUGAUACAUCUUCGAUGAAUUUUCCCAGUAACUGUUGCCAUUAGAUGGGUGUUGUUAAUAAAUUGUGCAGUUCAUGAACUCGGACAUAUUUUUCCUGGACUAACACCCAGACAUCUGAAUUUGUUAACAGGUCAUUAAGUAUGGUUUUGUCAUACUGUUCAAUGUUACAAUGUGGGGAUGUUAUGUCAACAGCCUAAAGAGUCUCUCGUCUCUUCAAGCCACAGUUACGAACUUUGCGACAAAUUUCCUCACUUCUGGAUUAGCUGGGUUCUUUUUGUUUGAUGAGUCAUUGAGAUACCAGGUACUUUGAUUAACUAUUUUCCUGCCCUGUUCUGCAAAGUUAUAUACUUCAAGGUUUGAUUUUUUACUGUGUUUAAAAUAAGAGGCAAGCUCUUAUUGUUACAGCCGGAGCUGUCAAAAGUAUUUUUCACUGAUACAAGUAAUAUCAUGACUGCAUUUAGUUCCCUUGAGAGAUAAAUUCUCUCUAUGGAAUCGGAACUGGUUAUCUUGAAAGUGGCAAGUAGGCUAAAAUUUAGGAGUCAAGUUAUGCAAUAGAUAACUUCCGAGUUUAUUAUCUCAUGAAUGCAUUGAGGGUAAUUAUGCCAUCACAAACGGGGGAUAAUAAAAUGGAGGGUUUUAUAUUUCAGAUGAAAGCUUCUGAGAUCAAUGUGGUUGCCAAGGAAAAGAGCUAGUUUGCUUCAUGCAAACCUGUUGUUCAGGGAUUCUUGGCGUAGUCUCCACCUUGCGAUAAAAGGUGUCGAGUACUUCCUAGUUCCUGAUAAUGACUCGAGUUUUAGGUUUAAUCAUUGCUAUCUUGACUCACAUUAUGGUUGUGAUAUGGUUGUGAAAUUGUGAUUAAAAGGAUGCAGUGAUUCGAGAUUCUCACUCCACUUAGUCUAUGAAUGCAGAUUUCACAAAAUUCACAUGAAGUCCCGUUCUUAGUGGUUUGCAGGUGCACUUUUCAUAGUGAUUGGCGUGCUAAUUCUCAGCAAAUCAAGUAUUGAGAAGAAAACUAGAGUUGAUUGAAAGUUCUCAGUUUAUGAGAGAUACCGUACGCCAUGCUUGAAGGUUGCCCCCUUUUGCUACUGACAACAGUUGCUCUGCUGCUCUGGUUUAUGCUUUUCUUUCCCUUCUCCCUUUUAAGUGCCCGAACUGCCUGUUCUCAUUUUUUUUUUUUUUUGUGGAUUUGCAGGUGACUUAGUAGAGAUCAGAAGUUCCAUUCUUGUGCCACUCUCAAGGAAAGGAGAAUGAAGUUGAGAAUUGAGGAUAUAAAGGGUGUUUCCUUCCUGGCCGGUGAUUCCGUGUGAACGAUCACUACUUGUCGUGACUGGCAGCACCGAGGAUGCUAAGCCAGGAUUGCUAUGUUACUGUUAAUGGUGACUAUACAAUAUAGCUACAAGGCAAGCUGCAAAGAAGACAGAUUUGUGUUUAGAGAUGGGAUCCUAUGCUACCUUUUCACCAUGCCAAACGAGUAGGCUAAAACAUUGGUAAGUGAACCCUAAUUUAGGCGCUGUCGAAAGGCUGAAUGCGUCGUGCGCGCUUCGUGAGCGUUAAGCUAAAAGAUCAUCUUUACAUUGAUAUAAAUCAAGGCCUUGAUGUGAGCUUACGCCGACAUGUGCUAUAAUUUUUAUUUUAUUUUUUUGAAUGCGGAGGAUUUAAUGGACAUCGGGCAUUACUGGGGCAAGGUCGUCCUCUAACUUACCCCGAACUGCUCUUUCUUUAACACCGUCCAUUCUUUUUGCUCUUUAUUAAUUUAUAAAAUAUGAAAAAAAAUUGAUUUUAUUGUAUAAUUGAAAUUUUAUCGAGAAAAAGAUCCUUUUUUUUUCAAUUUCUGCUUUGACAAAAGAGAAAUACGCGAGUUGGAUCUUUCAAUUACUUUGUCGAAAAGGUAAUUACGUUAUAGCGUGUGGUACUCAUUGCUAUAAUUGGAUAACAAAAAUAUAUCCAUGGAUGUGGCUCUAUAGAUGAAAUCAUGCUGUUAUAUUGUUAUCGUGGUAAAGGAAAUAAUAGCUUUUCCUAAAAAAACUCGGUUAAAUGUGUGAUUUGAAACAUGACAAUUUGCGGCGAAAAUAAUAGCUUUUUUCAUCACCAACCUAAACUUAAAAUUCAUAACAUCAAUUUGGCGAAAAGAUCGGGAAAUUGUUAAACUGUACGACUUUUUGGGUCCAAUUGUUGCAAUAAAUAAUUAUUCCGCCGUUUAGAUGACACCUAUAUGCCCUCUAACAUUGCAAAUACAAUAAUUUUGAUGUCGUAUUAGCGAAAGCAUGAUAUUCAACUUUCGUGCUAGAUGGAGUGAUGAUGGUCUAUUUGUUGUUAUGCUAUAAGAUAAGCGAGAUACUUAGAAAGAAAUAGUAGCCUAUAAUAAAGUGAUAAUCAAGAGGGUCUCGUGACUAAUCAGUGUCUAAAUAUUUUGAUGAGUCCUUUUAGUUAAAAAGAUUGAACAAAAAAAAUGAUCUCCACUCAAUCCAUUGAAAGUAGGUGAAUCACUCAGUUUAAUGGAAGAACCGGUACAUGAAUAAUGGUUAAGGGACUUUUUCUCGGGGAAUACACUCAAAUCCAUUAAAUUACCAAUUUUUAUCCAUGUGUUUUCCUAUUUGUUUUGUUUUUUUUUUGGUAACUGAGGAGCCGUUAUGGGGUCGCCCUCCGAUGCCCGGUGGCACUAUUGGUCGUCGUCACAAGUCACUAUUUAGACGUAAAACCUCGGAAAGUUGGCCUAGUAAUCCACCCUAAGACCCCCAGUUAAGUCAUAGAAUGCAACGAGAGAGUUCAAACCCUCGACCUCGGCGAUGAGAAAAAGUAUGCACACCAUUUGCUCUGCCCAUGGGUGGGUAUGUUUUCCUAUUUGUUGAUCGUCAAUUAAUACAUUAUAUAUGUGCAUUACUAAUACUCACCAAUCUGCUUCUUCACAAUCCAUUUAUAACAUAUGACUUUAGCUAGCUACAUGUUGAGUCCUUGCUCAGGAGCACGAUGUAACUAAUAUUAAAUUUAUCCAUAAAUUUAUUAAAUAAUUAGGCAAAACUAAAUUGCUUGAUUAGGAUAGAUUGUUUUGUGCUAUAGGCUUUUUGUUGGCUUGGCAGUCGUUGGGCCACCAAACUUAUGAUUGACUUCAAUUCGAUUGAUCUGCGUGCCUCGUUUUGACAUGGAGAAAUAUUUUACAAGGUCAUCUUUCAUGAGAAUACACGAGCUCAAGAUUAUUAAAGGAGCGUCAAGUACUCUUAUAUGCUUGACUAGCUAUAUUUCCAUAAAUUUGCAAAUUGCAUUAAUGGUUGUUCGAUUUGUGAAUAAUCUAUCUUUAAUAAAGAAUCAUUUGUUUUAGCGUGCCAAAAUUAGAUCUGGCAAACUGGUAAGUCGAGGUUGAGUCGAAAAUGAUCCGAAUCAAAAUCAACCAAUUUUAUGUGUAAUAUAAAUUUAGUGAUUGGUAUGUGACUUAAGAUCAAUUCUAAAUUUAUUUUUUUCAUUAGAUUAUUGAUUUUUGAGAAAACGAGCGGUUUCAUAAAUCGACUCGUUGAAGAAGAAAAAAAAUUAAUUCUCGUUAAAAAUUUAAAAUUCUUUCUUGUUUUUGCUUCAAGUUCUCGUCCCGUGACCCACCGUCGGAACGAGGGCAUGAAAUUUGAUGAAAAGUCCAAGGAGAGAUAAGGGGCGAAGGAUUUAAACCUAACGUGCAGAUCGGACGGUCAGCAGGUUCUAAGCAAAUCGAAUCUAACGGAGGAGACAGCAGCGUCGGCUUAAAGCCAUGUUAGAUAGAAGAAAAAAAGAAAAAGGGAAAAUUAGCGUUGACCACUCCGCAUUUCUUCAAAAUUCUUCCAAAUUUGCAAAUUCCCUAUGGCGGGGGCGCUCGUCGGCGGGGCAUUUCUCUCGGCUUUCCUCCAGGUGCUCUUCGACCGGAUGGCCUCCCGCGAGGUCGUCGACUUCUUCCGGUCGCGCAAGCUCGGCAAGGGGAGGCUGCUGCAGAAGCUGAAGGCCGCGCUCCUGUCCGCGAACGCCGUGCUGGACGACGCGGAGGAGAAGCAGAUGACCAACGACCACGUCAGGAAGUGGCUCGACGAGCUCAAGGACGCCGUGUACGACACCGACGACCUGUUCGACGAGAUCGCCACUGAAGAUGUGAAGCGCGAAGCCGGGGUCGAGCCUCGGGCUCUCGUUUGUAAGGUCUGGAGCUUUGCUGCAGACGCUCGUGGGAGUAAAUUGGGGGAUGAGUUAGAGAGGGUUCUGGAGAGAUUGGAGAGCGUAGUGAAGCAGAGAGAAGUGCUGGGCCUAGGGGAAAUUAUUCGCGAGAGGACGCCUAGAGUGACGACUUCGUUGGUCGACGAAUCGGGAGUUUUCGGGAGGGAAAAGGACAGGGAGGCGGUGAUCCAGUUGCUCUUGUCAGAUCGGGGCCAAAAGAACACCAGCGUGAUGGCCAUCGUUGGGAUGGGCGGUGUCGGUAAGACCACGCUAUCUCAACUCGUGUUCAACGAUGGUGCGGUGAAGGGGAGUUUCGAGUUGAGGGCGUGGGUUUGCGUGUCCGACCAAUUCGACAUCUGCAAGCUGACGGCGACGGCUCUCGAGGAGUUCUCCUCCUCAUCUAAGAAGGAGACUGAAAAUCUCGACCAGCUUCAGCUCCAACUGAAGAACUUCUUGACAGGGAAGAAAUUCCUAUUGGUGUUGGAUGAUGUUUGGAAUGAGGACUCAAAUCUUUGGGAUGCGUUCCUAGUUCCUUUUAUCUAUGGAGCAAGAGGCAGCAAAAUCAUCGUGACGACACGAAAUAAGAGGGUCGCAUCGGUUGCUCGUGCCGUCUCGACAUACCCUUUACGGAAGUUGCAAGACGAGGAAUGUUGGGACUUGUUCGCAAAACAUGCGUUUGACCAGCAAAACUUCAAGGCGCGCACGAGACUUGAAGAAAUCGGGCGAAGAAUUGUAAAGAGAUGUGAUGGAUUGCCUCUUGCGCUGAAGACUAUAGGUAGCUUGUUACGCUGUGAGUCUGAUAUCAGGGAGUGGGAAAGUAUUGCAGAGAGUUAUAUUUGGAAUUUGGCACCUGGACCAAAUGGAAUUCUCCCUGCGUUGUUGUUAAGUUAUCAUUACCUUCCUCCACAACUGAAACGAUGUUUUGCCUAUUGUUCAGUCUUCCCAAAGGAUUGUAUAUAUGAGAAGGACCAGCUGAUCUUACUUUGGAUGGCUGAGGGCUUGAUAGAACAACCUCACGACAGGACAUUAGAGCAAGUAGGUGAUCGGUGCUUCGAUGAUCUUGUGUCUAGAUCUUUGCUUCAUAGAGUAAGUGAUGUCGAAUCGAGCUUCUCGAUGCAUGACCUGGAAGUAAGCGAUGUCGAAUCGAGCUUUUCGAUGCAUGACCUGGUCAAUGACUUAGCAAGAUAUGUAGCUGGUCGUUCUUUUUUUAGCUUGGACGGAGGCAAUGCACACCACGUGUCCUCAAGCACUCGCCAUUUGUCAUUUGUAAGAACUCGAUAUGAUGUCGCUUCUAGAUUUAGAGUGUUAGCCGGGACAAUGAAUUUGCGUACUUUCCUGCCGCUAAACGUGGGUCGUGAGAGAUUUUACGAGUACAAUUUGUUGACUGAUGAGGUACUGCAUGUUCUGUUGCCGACCCUGAGACGGUUAAGGGUGCUAUCUUUGUCUCAUUAUCUGAAAAUCUCUACGUUGCCUAGUUCAAUUGGAUGUUUGAAGCAUCUGCGCUAUUUGAAUCUCACUUGUAAUUGGAGUCUAAUCAGAUUGCCUGAUACAAUUACAGCUCUAUACAACUUGCAAACCUUAAUUCUUGCUUACUGUGAGUCUCUCAUUGAGUUACCGAGCAACAUGGGCAGCCUAACCUGUCUGCGUCAUCUUGAUAUAAGGAAGACAUCCCUGAAGAGAAUGCCCUUGGGGAUGAACAGACUGAAGAAUUUGCAGAUAUUAACUAAUUUCGUGGUGACCGAAAACGGUGGGACCAGGGUUAGGGAGCUAGGGGAGCUAAGGGAUCUUAUGGGUACACUCUCCAUACAGGGUUUGCAGAAUGUUGAUAGUUACCAAGAUGCCGAGAUAGUCAAUUUGAAGGGAAAGAGGUACUUGAAAAAGUUAGUACUGGAAUGGGUUUAUGAUAACAAUAUUAUGCACCAAAAUUGCUUAAAUAUAUUGGACAAGCUGCAACCUCAUUGGAACUUGAGAGAGCUUGCCAUUAAUUUCUAUAGUGGUAGGUCAUUUUCCGAUUGGGUGGGACAUGGUUCAUUCUCUAAUAUGUCAGUCGUGUGUCUUGAAUCUUGCAAGCACUGUGUGUCAUUGCCUCCUUUAGGACAGCUACCAUCUUUGGAGAAGUUGAUAAUCAAAGGAUUUGAUGGAGUUAGGAGUGUGGGUACUGAAUUCAAUGGUAGCAACUGUAUACCUUUUCAGUCACUUAAGUACUUGGAAUUUGUUGACAUGUGCAGCUGGAAAGAGUGGGCUUCUUUUGCAAUAGAGACGGGAGGUCUUGCCUUUGCACAUCUGCAGGAGCUUUGUAUUAGAAAUUGCCCUGAGUUGAGUGGAGGUUUACCCAACCAUCUCCCUUCUCUAACAGCCUUGUCCAUUGAAAAGUGCCCACAGCUAACGUCUUCUCUACUAUUUGCACCACUUCUCCGUAAAAUCAAUUUGGAUGAUUGUGGAAAGGUUUCUGGAGUUGAGCCUCUCCUAAAUGGCACCGAGUUACGAGAUAUGAGAAUCAAGAGACUUUCAACCCUUCCCUUGAGGUUUCUUCCUCCUACCAUGACAAGACCUAAUCUUGAAGACAGUCCUGGAAUAGAGUUGCCACUGCACAGAUGCCAUGAAUCUCUCCAAUAUCUAAACUUGGAGUGGAGCUGCGAUACACUUAUAUCCUUUCCUCUGGAAAUUUUCCCCUCACUUAAAGAUAUUCAGUUGUCGGGGAUUAAAAAUUUGGAACAUCUUGCCAAUUCAGACGGUUCAUCACUUCUUCUCCAUUCGAUGGCCAUUUGUAAUUGCCCUGAAUUUAGAUCUUUCCCUGCGGGAGGAUUGGCUGCCCCAUCCCUCACUUCAUUAGAGUUGUAUAAUUGCUGUCAUCUAAAGUAUCUGCCAGAAAGCAUGCAGGCUCUCCUUCCUUCGCUUCGGUCACUGACAAUAUCCUUAUGUCCACAACUCGAGUCAUUUCCCGAGAGGGGUUUAUCCUCCAAGUUGGUCGCGCUUUCACUCUCUAAUUGUGAUAAGCUCAUCACUGGCCGCAAGGAUUGGGGUCUUCAAUCGCUAUGCUCUCUUGAAACUUUUUCCAUUGGGGAACAGAAAAAUAUCGAGUCAUUCCCUGAGAUAGGGCUUCUGCCAACCUCUCUUACCUCUUUGCAUAUCUCUUUCUUUGAGAAUCUGACGUCCCUGAACUCCAGAGCGCUUCAUAGCCUGAGCUCCCUUGAAAACCUCUCCAUUAUCGGAUGUCCUAAGCUCCAUUCCUUCCCAAAAGAGGGACAAAUUCUGCCUACUUCUCUUACCUCUCUGUCGAUUUAUUUUACGGGUCUAAAAUCACUGGAUAACUUAGGGCUCCACCACCUCACUUCUCUCAAAGAAUUUCGCAUAGAUUUCUGCUUCAAUCUUCGAUCCAUGCCAGCGGAGGGCUUGUCAUCCUCCCUUUCCAAUCUAUUUAUCAAUAAGUGCCCUAUGCUGGCGAAAAGAUGCCAGCGGAAGAAAGGGAAAGAUUGGCCCCUAGUUUCGCACAUUCGCUGCAUCGUGAUUGAAGGUGUGCUCGUCACAUAAUCGAAUAUCUUGCUUUACAAUCCCUCCUUUUACCAAGAUCUCACUCAGGUAUCUCCCUUGGCCCUACACUAAGUAAGCCAUUUAUUUAUUCUGGACAUACUUCGGUCACUCUGUGCUAUCCUUCCAGCUAAUGCAAAUCGAAAUCUGGCGUGUGUGUUGGACCGUUUCCCUAAUGUAUCUCCGGCUGAAGCAAUCGACGUUCUUAUGGCGCAAUGUGAGCUUCAGCCGGUAGCCAGUGCGCGGCAAUACGUCCAAUUUUUGGUUGUUUGAGGAUUAGCGGGAGCUCUAAUUAAGGAAAGGUCCUGCCAAUUCUACUACUUCUGCGGAGAGUAGUUGAAUUACCAAGAGGGAAGCUUGGAAGCUAUCCGAGCGGCCUGUUGUGGCAAUCGGUUGACGCCUGCUCAGUAGCAGAGGAGAGUUUCAAAAGUGGAGGGGACAAGCAUAGGAAAUUCGUGCAAAAUCUCGGUUUAUGAGAUGGGGAUGCGGACAGAGAUUUUUGGUGAAAUUUAAAAGAAGAUAGCAUAGGAAGUAGAAAAUGUACCGAACACCUAGCAGGUGGGCCGGGUGGGUUUGGGGCAUCCGGAGAACGCAGACCGGAUAUUUAGAAGCAAUAACUAUUGUACAAGCAUCUUCUCGAAUGUGAGCUUUGCAGACUGGAUUGGUAUCUGGCAGGUUUAUAUCUUCACCGGGAUGAAGAAGAAUUGCAAAGAGAGAGAUCAUAGAGAAGCAUCAUUUGAUUAUUUACCUGUUGCUCUUCUUUUUCCCAGUGGGUACAUGCAUCUGUUGUUUGCAGUGUUAUUAGCCGGGGAUGUCAGCAUUUCCUAGUCAACUCAGUCUGAGAUCUGGUGCUUUAGCAGCAAACUAGUUAAGUUCUACCAUGAAUGGAGUUCAUUUGGUUGUAUCUACCUUAAAUGUUAAGUCGUCAUUCCCUGGCAGAAUUACGUGAAAAGAAGUAGAUGUUUGUUUCUCUUUGUGAGGGAGAAGUUUCAAUGUCUGAGUCCGGUUAAUUAGAUUCCUAGGACUUGACAAUGAUUGGUCACUGCACUGCACUGAAGCCUGUUAUUUGACAGGAAUCUCUUCCUCAUCCUCUUCUUCUUCCUCCAUUUCUUUGGACUGUUGGAGCAGAUUUUCUAGUGAUAUUUUUCAUGUGUUUACUGAUUAUCUAAGAUGCACAGUUAAGCAUUUAUUCUGUCAUGAUACAUCAUUGUGACGAAUUUUUCCAGUAACUGUUGCCGUUAGAUUGGUGUUGUUAAUAAAUUGUGCUGUUCAUGAACUUGGACAUAUUUUUCCUGGACUAACACUCAGAGAUCCGAAUUUGUUAGCAGGUCAUUAAGUAUGGUUUUGUCAUACUGUUCAUUGUUACGAUUUGGGGAUGUUAUGUCAACAGCCUAAAGAGUCUCUUGUCUCUUCAAGCCACAGUUACGAACUUCUCGACAAAUUUCCUCGCUUCUGGAUUAGCUGGGUUCUUUUUAUUUGAUGAGUCAUUGAGAUACCAGGUACUUUGAUUAACUAUUUUCCUGCCCUGUUCUGCAAAGUUAUGUACUUCAAGGUUUGAUUUUUUAUUGUGUUUAAAACAAGAGGCGAGCUCUUAUUGUUAUACCUGGAACUAUCAAAAGUUUUUUUCACGUACACAAGUAAUAUCACGACUGCAUUUAGUUCCCUCAAGAGAAGAAUUCUCUCUAUGGAAUCGGAACUGGUAAUCUUGAAAGUGGCAAAUAGGCCAAAAGUUGGGAGUCAAAUUAUGCAAUAGAUAACUUCCGAGUUUGUUAUCUCAUGAAUGCAUUGAGGGUAAUUAUGCCAUCAUAAGUGGGGAACAACAGCAUGGAGAAGGAUUUUAUAUUUCAGAUGAAAGCUUCUGAGAUCAAUGUGGUUGCUAAAGAACAGAGCUAGUUUGCUUCAUGCAAACCUGUUGUUCAGGGAUUCUUGGUGUAGUCUCCACCUUGCGAUAAAAGGCAUUGUGUACUUCCUAGUUCCUGAUAAUGACUUGAGUUUAGGUUUAAUCAUUGCUAUCUUGACUCGCAUUAUGGUUGUGAUAUGGUUGUAAAAUUGUGAUUGAAAGGAGGCAAUGAUUUUUGAGAUUCUCACUCCACUUAGUCUAUGAAUGCAGAUUUCACGAAUUUCACAUAAAGUCCCGUUCUUAGUGGUUUGCAGGUGCACUUCUUAUAGUGAUUGGUGUGCUAAUUCUCAGCAAAUCAAGUAUCGAGAAGAAAAGUAGAGUUGAUUGAAAGUUCUCAGUUUAUGAGAGAUACCAUACGCCAUGCUUGAAGGUUGCCCCCUUUUGCUACAGGCAACAGUUGCCCUGCUUCUCUGCUUUAUGUUUUUCUUUCCCUUCUCUCUUUUAAGUGCCCGAACUGCCUGUACUCAUUUAUCUUUUGUGGAUUUGCUGGUGACUUAUAAAUGAGAAGUUACAUUCUCGUGCCACUCUCAAGGAAGGAAAAAAAGGAAGCUGAGAAUUGAGGAUAGAAGAGUGUUUCCUUCCUGGCCGGUCAUUCCGCGUGAAUGAUCACUACUUGCUGCGACUGGCAGCACCAAGGUUGCUAUGUUGUUAAUGCCAGGAUUGCUAUGUUACUGUUAAUGGUGACGGUAAGAUAUAGCUACAAAGCAAGCUGCAAACGAGUAGGCUAAAACAUUGGUAAGUGAACCUUAAUUUAGGCGCUCUGGAAAGGCUGAAUGUGUCGUGCGCGCUUUGAGAGCAUAAAGCUAAGACCCAACAAAGAUCAUCUUUACAUUAAUAUAAAUCAAGGUCUUAAUGUGAGCUUAUACCGACAUGUGCUAUGACGUAAUAGAAAACUUGCGGAGGAUUUAAUGGACAUCGUGCGUUACGGGGCCGAGGUUGUCUUCUAACUCACCUCGACCCGAACUACUCUUGCUAUAAGACCCUCCAUUCCUUUUGCCCCUUAUUAAAAGUUUGUUACUUGUAUGAUCUAAAACACGACAACGCAUGGCCAAAGUAAUAGUUUUUCUCAUUACCAAUCUAAACUUAAAAUUUGUAAAAUCAAUUCGGUGAAAAGAUCGGUGCACCAAAUUGGUGUUCCCCUCAAAAUGUGGAUUUUUGGCUGGCACAAUAAAAUAAUCAAGUAACCUAACAUUAUAUAUAUAAAGCAUUUUUUGGGGUUAACUUAUUAGAUUCAUGUUUAAUGAGUUUAUAAUGCAGCAUCGUAGCACGACGUGAGAAUACAAUAAUUUUGAGUGUGUUUGUUUCGUGGAAAAAGAAUAAUUUGAAAAAUAUAUAUUUUUAAAUAAUCGCUUAAAAGAAUUAAUGAGUGGAAAAUAUUUUUCAUUGUUCAUGAAAAUAUUUAGACAUAAAAUUAUUAGUAAUAAAAAUAUUUUUAUUGAUUAAUGAUUAUAAGCAAUAUAAACGCAGGCCUUAACGAGAAAAUGUGGCUUAUUUUUUCAUUUCUCAUUGAACUGUCACUGUUCAGGUAAGGCUCCGCCCGACAAAUGGGCUCGAGGCGCGAAACUGAGGAUGAAUCAGGACCGUUGCUCAAAGGCGAAGGGCUCGCCGACUAAAAUGCGUCCGCGCACACCGGAUCGCGGCUCACCGUCUCUCUCCUUCGCAUUUUCCCGCCAGAAACCCAUCCCCGUCGACCUUCAUUUACCGCCAAGUCUCUCUCUCCCGCCCUCUUCCCUGACCUAAACCCUCACUCGCGAGGCUCUGCGCGUAAUUGAUCGGCGGCGUUAUGCGAAUCCGGGAUCCAAUUUGAUGUUGUGAUGAAGCCGACAGCAAUCGCGAAGGAUUUCCUCUCGAACUUCGCCAACGCGAAUGGAGAAGCCAAGUACAUGAACGUCCUCGUAAGUUCCUCCUCUCUCGGCUCUUGUUUUUAUACUCGGACAUCCUUUUAAGCGCUGUAGAAUUGAGGCGAAAUCAAUGUUAAAGGUGCGUGCUUGAUCGCACGUCGUGCCCUAUCCUUUUCUGUUGUCCAUGAACUGCGGCUGCGGAGUCUCUUCCGUGUGCAAUAAUGCUCCAGUACUUAUAAAAUGAUUAACCCUAGAUUUCACAUUUGAGUCGAGCGUAGUUCCCUUUUUAUUUGCAAUUUAAAUGGCUCGCAUGAGGGUCGCCAUUCCUGAUUUCAGCAAGAAGUUGCAAAUCGAAAAAUUCGUGAUAUCCGUUUUAUUAUUCCGUGAUAUCUUUCAUUCAUAAGCUAUAUGUUUAAAAUAGAUAGUAAUUAGCUAAAUAAUCGGUGACACCAAAUAUUAAAUAUUUACCUAACAUCAUCAUAUUAUAAAGUUACUUUCGAUUCCGAGUAAUAAAAGCAGCACACAUCCUCUCUCUCUCUCUCUCACUCACUAACACAGUGGUCGAGGCGUCAGACGUGGUUGAGGCCCCCCUCAUCGUUGCAUGGCUGCUCCCGCUGGCCUGGCUCGUGAGCCGGAUGAUAGGCGCCGCAAGAUGAAGCGGCUGCUGCGAUUGGCUUCAGAAGAAGCCGUGCGAGUCGAGCUCAAGGCGUGGAUCGAGGCGUGGAUCGUGGCGUGGAUAGGCCCGAUUGAGGCCCUCAUCCUCUGCAUCAUAUGACUGCUACCACUCGUGGCAUUCCUCAUCCAGAGGAGUCGGUGAUGAUCGGUCAAGAGGAGCCUCAAGAUUGAGCGGCUGAGGCUCCAUCGGGUACAUAAGGUCGUCUCCCCUUUGCUACUGUCACUGUCCCGUUUGCUAUGGACGUGAUACCUAUAGAUGCUCACUGUCCCGUUUGCUAUGGACGUGAUACCUAUAGAUGCUCGCACCACCAAGCGACGCGAUGCUAGUGAUUUCGAUAGUUUAAUCAAUCAGUCGUGGCAUCUGGUGUAUGGUCGAUGAACAAUCACUAGCGAAAAAUUUACUAUGCCUAAUUUGGUUAUGUACAUACUAGUCAUUUAGGAAGAAUCAAUCAGUCAUGGCAUCUGGUGUAUGAUCAAUGAACAAUUACUAGGGAAAUUUCCAUUGUUUAUUACAAUAUUUCCUAUAUACAUUCGCCGUACCGUCGUCGCUCUCGCCCGUGGUUGCCCACGGUCGCGACCAACUCUCGUUGCCAUGGAGGGAGAGAGAAGGGCCGUGGCGACUGAGGGGACUGUGGGGACAGCGCUCCUGAAUUCGAGCAAUUCUCGAGACGGAGUCUAAGCUCGAAUAUGUCCGCGAAGGACGCGAUUUUCUUCGCUGCUGCGGCUAACGAAGUGGAAUCCUUACGCGAAAUCGCGUCGGGAAGUCCCACCACCAAGUACGAACCUGUCUCUUCGCUGAUGGAUCCUCCCGAUCAGCGGAAGGAGUCGAAGUCGAAGUUCGUCGUCGCCCAUUGUUCGCGACCACCCCACUCUCAAGACUCUCCAUUCAGCCACGGGUCCAAUUCUUCGCUGCCUGCGAUCGUAACUCGUUCCUACCAAAAUCUCAAGGGAGAUUUGACUACCAACGUCUCUCUCGUCCAGCGGUCUGUGUCUCUCCCUCUUCCCUCGAGCUUGCUCUAUGAUCAUGGGAGAGCGUGCGGGCCGAUGCUUCGCUUCGCUCCUCCGCUCGUAAGAAGGAAAGGAAAAAAAGAGCGAAAAAGAGAGGGAAAAUCACAAAAAAAAAGGAAAAAAAGAGGGGAAAAUAGGGAAGUUCCCAGGUUUGGUAGUUUGUUAGGGGCGUUGGCGGAUGAUAUGCCCACUUAACAUUUUGGAUCAUCAUCUCUACUGCGGUGAAUCAUUCAUCAUCGAAUGAGGAUUCACCAUCGAAUGAGGAGAGACUUGUGUCUGUGGAGACAUACAUGACAUUCAUGAUCUAAUCUACUUAAAAUAUGCUUGAUGAUUGUGCAUUUCUUCAAGCUUUAAUGUGAUGAUAUCUACAAAGGACAUAUAUGUUUCACCAGGGGAGCUCCAAAUAUGCAAAUGUCAAUGUUAACUACAAAAUCUUUCUGCUUGGAGAGCCUGCUAGCCAUCACUAGCCAAAAUGAAAAGAGGAAAAAAUUUUAAAAAGAAUUAAAAAAUUUCCACGUCAAUGCGAAUCACACCUUAUAAGAUAGCUAACUUUCAAAUCAAUGGAUUGGACUCAAUUGUCACAAAUAUAAAAAAUCAAUGAUUAAAUUAAUCUAAUCUAAAGAUUUAAAAGUGAAUUAGUAUUAAUAUAGUAUGUUUAAAUAUUGAUAAAACACAAAAUUGUACCAUGAAAUGUCACAUCACAAAAUUGAAGAACACUACAAAUAAGUAAAAAUCAUAAAAAUUGAAAAACACUACAAAUAAGUAAAAAUCAUAAAAAUUGAAAAAUAAACAUCAAAUAUGAAAAACAAAAAACAAAGAAAAAGAUGAAGUUUGCAGGGUUUAUAUGUCGUCCCAAUAAGGGUUGGCGAUCCUCAUCGAGGUCCAAUUGAGGGCAGUGAGCCCUCACACAAUAGUAGUUGCAAUAACCAUCAUUGGGCCCCAACAAGGGUCUAUCCAACAAAUUGUGCCCCACUGCUGCAAGGGGCAUUACCUCCGUCCAUCUCUAGGUGAGUCACCCUCACGGAUGCAAAGCCGCCCCCUUAUUGCCCCUAACAUUUUUUACUUUUCUGAAAUCAUUUCAAUCCUUUUUUUUUUUAAUAUUUAUGCUAUUUCGUCCUCUUUUUUUUUUUUUUUUUUUUUUCCUUUUUAGCAUUUGUCUUUUUGACGCGGUGCCUAUUCGACAGCGAGAGAGGAAGAGUGAACUCUCCAUUUUUGGGUCCACCGUUGGCUUUCUUUAUGAUUAUCUUAGGAUGGUUUGACAGUCCCAUUAACUCAAUGAGAGAGAGAAACUCUCACUCUUCACCUUAUAUGAACUUAAUUUGACCAAUCUUUUUUGCCUCUCUUUCUUUUUCCACUUUUUCCAAGAAGCUUCGCGGAAGCAUCUCGGGUCAUUAGUUUCGUCGAAUUUAAUGUCUGAAAAGGAAACUCCACGGCUUCUUGCAAUACCCGUCCUUGAUUUCCUUUGAAAUGAAGUUGCUCUCUUGAGCAAACCCUCUUCGAAGUAGUACUCAGGGCUGUCAAAUGAUUGGUUCGAAAAUGGUUAAGCCCUAAUUGAUCCAUGUAAUUUUGAUAAAAAAUGACCUAUAUAACUUCUUUUUUUUACUCAUUUAUAUGAAAUACAAAGUUAAUGUCCCAAUAUAGAGCCAUAAUUUUGACUGACGGAAGUGAAAUUUUCACUGUUAUGCAUCUUAAUUUUUUUUUCUAAUAUUUGUUACUAAUAGGUAUUUCAAAUGAAGUCAACUCAAUAAAUUAGUAAAAAAAAUUACAGAAGACUGAAAAAAAUUAACUCAACUAAAAUAGAAUAACUACUCAAAGUACAUUUUUUUAAAAACAAAAGUAAGAGUACCAAAAUUGCCAAAACAUCAUUACAAAUGAUAAAUUGAAGAAUUAAAAAUGGCAAAAAUUGAUACACCCCUUCCGUACAAAGAGUGCUUAGGCCCUUUCAACCUUUUCUUUUAAUUGAGGAGAGUGGGGAAGCAAUAACACUUAGACCGCCAACUUUUUUGAGAUUAGUGCAUUUAAAAUUUUAAACUCAUGGCAGAAGUGUAACUGAAUUUUAAAAUUUAAGAUAAUAUAAUCAAAUAUGAAAGUUUGCAAUCAAAAUUGAAGAUGCUUAAAAUAUUACUCUAGUACAAAUCAUCAAUAUGUGUUGUGUUGAAUGUUAAACGCAAACAAAACCUGAAAGUGUGAAACUCAUGGCAGAAGUGUAACUGAAUUUUAAAAUUUAAGAUAAUAUAAUCAAAUAUGAAAGUUUGCAAUCAAAAUUGAAGAUGCUUAAAAUAUUACUCUAGUACCAAUCAUCAAUAUGUGUUGUGUUGAAUGUUUGCUUUGUUGAUUUGAUAAUUGUAAUGUCCCCAUAAUCGUUUCAUCAAAUAUGUGAUGGAUGGAAAGUGUAGAAAAGAAGUAAAAAAAGAAUAAAUGCACAUAACAAUUUUUUUCAUAGUGUGAUUGUUUAGAUAUAACUGAACUUGUUGACCGAGAGCAACAUAAGUGUCCACCGGGUGUCUGGAUUGCAACGCUAAUGCUACUACAUGGCUACUAGAUGUUCUCUUUGAGAGAAAAUAUUGAAUAUACAAGUUGUGUCAGUGUAACAAAUUAAAAGCUCAUCUAUUAAGUGACAUGUGUUCUUAAAAAAUGCACUUGAAAUGGGAAUGCUCAUGUUUCAAAAUGGCGUGCAAGUCGCUCUCUCGAGGAAACCCUCUUCCUAAGUAGCACUUGGGCUAUCGAAUGGUGGAUUGGUUCGAAAAUGAUUAGACUCUAAUUGACCCAUGUGAUUUUGAUUAAAAAAUAAUCAAUAUAACCUGUUUUGACUCAUUUAUAUGAAAUAUGAACUUAAUGUUCCAUAAUAGCACCACAAUUUUGAGUGGUGGAAGUGAAUUUUUCACUAUUAUGCAUCUAAAUUUUUUAAUUAAUAUUUGUUACUAAUAAGUAUUCCAAAUAAAGUCAACUCAAUAAGUUUUCUAAUUUUUCAAUUUAUAUUUUUACAAUAGGUAUUUUAAAUAAAAUCAACUCAAUAAAUUUUCUUAUUUUUAAUUAAUAUUUGUUACAAAUAGGUAUUACUAAAAUGAAGUCAACUCAAUAAAUUAGUAAAAAAAAUUACAGAAAACCGAAAAAAUUAACUCAACCAAAUUAGAAUAAGUACUCAAAGUACCUUUAUUUUAAAAUAUAAGUAAGAGUGCACAAAUUGCCAAAACAUCAUUACAAAUGAUAAAUUGAAGAAUUAAAAAUGAUAAAAAUUGAAACACCCCUUCCAUACAAAGAGUGCUCAGACCGUCAACUUUUAUUUAUAGAUUAGUGCAUUUAAAAUUCUAAACUAAUGGCAAAAGUGUAACUGAAGUCUAAAAUUUUAGAUAAUAUAAUCAAAUCUGAAAAUUUACCAAAUUGAAGCAAUCAAAAUUUAAGAUGCUUAAAAUAUUACUCUAAUAUAAAUCAAUAAUAUGUGCUGUGUUUAAUGCUAAGCGCAAAACAAAUCCUCAAUGUGUGAUGUCACUCAUUGAUUGUGUAGAAUUUAGGCAACAUUUUUUUUUUGGUCGAAACUUAGGCAACAUUUCAAUAAGUAGAUUUGAUAAUUACAACGAUCCACAUAAUUGUUUCAUCAAUAUGUGAUGGAUGGAAAGUGAAAAAAAAAAGGAGUAAAAAGAGAAUAAAUAUGCAACAUUUUCUUUUCAUAGUGUAAUUGUCUAGGUAUUAUUGAACUUGAUGUUGACCGAGAGCAACUAAAUUUCCACCAAGUGUCUGGAUUGCAGCAUUAAUGCUACUACAUGUUCCUUGGGAGAAAAUAUUGGUUGUGCAUGUUGUGCCAGCGCAACAAAUUGAAAGCUUAUUCAUUGAACAACAUGUGUUCAUCUUCUUGCCCUUUCUCUGUUCUCCCACUGCUUUCUUCGUUCUUUUUGCAAGCCACGGAUGGUCUCUCUCCUCCGUAAACCCCUUCUCCUCCUUCGGCCCUCCCCCUCACUUGCCCGGGGCACGACAACGUCAUUCACCCGGCCUCUCCUUCACUUGAGCUCGACCUUUGUGCCUUCCCCACCAACAACAGCUCCACCAUUGAAAUCAUCCGCUGCCCCUGCGGCCCUUGGAUCCAAGAACAAGCCUAAGUCUCCCGUGCUCAUUGUCAUCACUCAUGAUCCCGAGCCCCUGCAUCCUUGAGAUCUUCUGUGCUCUGAGUCAUCCCUCCCUCCGUAGCUUACGGAUCUAACAAGGGCUUAGUCCUUUAUAGAUUUAGCGCAAGUGACCCUUACCCUAGUCGGGAGAGUCAACCCUCACCGAAUCCCCUCAUUAGAUUCGGCGAGAGCAACCCUAGCUUGUGGCCAGUCACCGGCCACAACCAAGUACUGGCCAUAGGUCAAAGGGAAAGAAAGUAAUUUAAAAAAAAAAAAGGAAGGGAGAAAUGGCAAAAAAGAAGAAGAGAAAUGGAGGUGCAAGUCUGUGAGAGGAGAGAAACGAAGGAAGAAUAGCUUGAUAAGUAAGGGCGCGAUUGGUAAUGUUUCUGUUCAAAAAUUGUUCCAGGGAACAGAAAAAAAAAAGUGUUUAUGUUCCGAGGAACAGUUUUUGAACAAAAGAACGCGUUUGGUAAGUGUAAAAAAAAACUGUUCUUGAAAUUAAAAAAAAAAAAAAAACAGAAACACGUUUGGUAACUGACUUAAUUUCUGUUCCUAGAAUAGAAAAAGAACAGAAACACGUUUGGUAACUGUACAAAAUUUAUGUUUUAAAUUUUUCAAAAAAUGUUUUUUUUUAAUAAAAUUUAAACUUGAUAUUGAAUUCUCAUUCUCAUGAAAUGCUCAUUAAUUUAAUUUUAUUCAUGGUGAAUAAAGACAAACAUUCUGAACAUGAUCACAUGACAUACUUGGUAGAAAAUUUUGUAAAUAAAGUUUGUAUCAAAUUUUUAUCAAAUACUUUAUUUUUUAUUUUUUAUUUUUUAUUUUUAUAUCAUAUCUAAAUGUUCAUAAACAAUCUCCAUUAUCCAAUCUGUUCCCUAGGAAGUUAAUUGACGUGAAAAUAAUCAAAAUCUAGAUGAGUUCUAGAUUCAGACUUUCUUUUGAAGGCUAAACUCACUGUUCUUGAUAAUAUAGCCCCCUUAUUCGGAAUCACUCAAACUGCAGGUGGGUGAUUGAAGCCUACAUCAGUCUUCGUUAUAAAUUUCGACCAUCACAUUCUAUAACAGAAUUUCUUUUAGGUAUGAGUCAUUUUAUAUCAUACCAAUUACUUGAUACGAAAUAACGUUGUCUUAUAGACAUAUAAUUAGAAUGACACAACAACAUUAGAACUACAUCGGCAAAGCCGCAAAGUUGAAAAUAUUCUAGAUUAUAUUGAAACACCUACAAUGAAUAAAAGACUGAAUUAAUAAUUUCUCUUUGGUGACUGCACUAAGAGUCUUAAAAUUUGCACUGCAAGUGUACUCAACGGGCUCAACGCAGAGCCAUGCAGACUCUGCAUCUUCAAGCUCGCUCUCUUGCGGAGUUAUCCCUGAGACCGCAUUGAAUUGGAUGUCCACGGGAGUUAAAAUCAUCGGAAUCCUGAGCCGGCCAUCCCCCACCGACCUGUCUCAAUGAAAGCUCCCCUUUUCCGUUCUUCGCUUCCAAAAUCCUCAACGUUUUCGACUUCCCACGGACAACCUCUAGCCCCUUCUUUGAGUACUUGGGUGCCACCAUAAUCUCGCAGAACAUCCGAGUUUCACCAUCCGUUGGGCUUGUGAACUCCUGGACUUCCCUCGCCAAGUUCUAUAUGCACAAUAGGACAUUGCAAGGUUAGUGUUGACAUUCAACUCAAUCAACUUUAUCAAGUGAAGCAUUACAAUACUGACUCAGCAAUAGGAGACCCGCACCUACACCAGUGUUGUUUCAAUUUUGAGGGAAGCCCGUGCUGAAUGAGGCUUAAAGUUUUAAAAGCUCACGCCCCUUUUUAUUUAUCAGAGAAUUAUAAUAUAUUAUGGAAUGUGACCAUGGCAUAACAUUUAGCCUAAUUUGCUCAAACUAGUUGACUCAAGAAUGAGCUUCAAUAUGGAACUCUAUGGAUUUAAAAAAUGAGGAGCCUUUUUCAGUUUAUUAUAUUUGGACUCGGUGGGUGUACUAUAUAAGGAAAUUCGAAUUUUCACUUUGUAACUUGCAUAAUGAAAUAAGCAUAUACCUCAUCAAUUUCUAUGUUGAAGGCCACGAUAUCACCAAAUGCACUGACUGGAUCUGCUUUGACUGCUAAUCUGAAUGCUUGAAGAAUAUCGGCGGGGGAAGCCACCCCAUGAGGAUUUGUAUGCUUUAUGACGAUGCAUGUAGGUCACUAAACUCGGAUACACGAUUCCAGGCAGCAUCAACAUCCAGAUAGUUAUUAUAUGACAUUUCCUGCAGCACCAAUACAUAAUUCACAACAAAUGAGAGAUAGAUAUGCUAUUGUUACCACGAUCUGUCAAUGGUUUAAACGAACUUUGCAGAACAAACUACUAUUGCAGUUGCUCAGAGACUUCUAAACAGCAUCCAGUCUCAUCUCAAAAACACAUGGUUAUGAUACUAAAAGGCAGCCAAUUAGUCCCCUGUAUCGCUAAUCUCCUUUGCAAAACAUUGUUAGUGUUUCAUUAUACCUAAACCUUUUGCACGCUCAAAUACACAGAUAGUUAUGUUGAAGAAGCAAAUAAAGUGCCAGAGAGAUUUGAAUUGAGUACCUCCUGUUCUAAUAACAUAUUGACUUCUUGAAGCCUUUGUUAAUUUAUCAAAAAGCUUUAGCUAUAACAUGAAGAUACUAUCUAUUAUUUAGAUUUAAUAACAAGAUUCCAUUUUAGAAACUGCCUCCUCUAUCUAAUGAAGUUUUCAAAGCUAGAUAAUUACUAGAUCCGCUGCAAUUUCAACUUCCUCAAAAGAUUGACCUUGAUGUAAAAAUAUGACAUCAAGGAAUCGCCUUCCAUGAUGUUGGAUUGCAGUUGCAAUACCACCUCCAUUAACCUUAGCAAGACUCUUGUCCACAUGUAGCCUUAUGGUGGGGAUUUUCACCAAUAUGAAGAGAACUUUUAAGAGAUAGAGGCAAUGUUAAGCUAGGAGGGAAUUUCUCUAUCAAAAGGAAGAGUCGUCAACCUCCACAUUUUCGGUUAAAAAACUAAUAGGGUAACAGAACCUACUGAAAUUACUGAUUUCCAAAAGAAACAAACAAAAGGAUACCAUCAGAACCAAGUCUCUAAAAAGCCCCUUACUUGCAUGUGUUUAGACCUACAUGCAUUUUUAAUUGCCUUAGUGGCUAUGACAUCAAUUGAGAACACGAACUAGACGAAUACCUCCAGUUGUUUGUCUCCAUAGCCACUCUGACACUGCAGAAUCAUAGGAAGCAACACUUUGAAAGGCCUUUCAAGCAAGUUUUCUACGGAACUGUUGAUCAUCUCCAUUACUCUUCAGGAACUCUAGCAGUGCAGGGUAGUCGUGUGAAUCAACCACAACAAGGACAUCUGAUGAUUCUGUUAGAAGACAAAUGCCAACAUCAAUUCAAAUUAAGGGCAUAUAAUGGUUCUUGACGCAAAAUUACAGAAAAAUUUACCACAUGCAUAUUGAUACAUAGAGGCGCAAAGCCAGCAACAAUUCUACAAAAAAAGUGCAACAUAUUGGACAUACCUACUUUAGUUUAUAAUUUAACAAGCAUCACAAGAGCAAUUGUUUAGUUUUAGCAUAAAAGCAUGAGAGAAAUCAUUACCCAAAUAGUAAGAAGAUAAUCUGGAGCCGCAAUCUCAAUGUAAAAGUUAACAUACUUUCAGUCAAUUACAUGCCUCGGUUACAAGUGCCGUUGUAGCAAAGUUUGCAUGAUAUCCGUGAGCCUAGAGUGACAGAAGACACCAAUACAAUCAUAAUCCCUCACAUGUCCAAAUUUGGGCGAGCAACGCUCGCUUGGGGCUCGAGCACGAGGGCUCGCUCGAGCGAGCGUCGUUGCUCUGCCGAGCGACCAAAGCAGCUCGAGCUCGGCAGAGCAGCUCCAACGAGCAACGCUCGCUUGGGGCUCGAGCACGAGGGCUCGCUCGAGCGAGCCUCUCGCAGAUCUGGGCAAGCGCUGGAUCGAGCGAGCUGUCGCGCUCGAGCCCCGAGCAGCCGUCGCCCAGAUCUGUGAGGGGUGGCUCUCGCUGAAGCCCUCGUCGAACGGAGAAGGAGGAGCAGCAGAAACUAACCUCGAUUCAGAAGCUUCAGCCGGUAGGAGCAGCAGCUGUCGGCGCCGGAGAGUCAGCCGAGUGGGGAGGCGCCGGAGAGUCAGCCGAGUGGGAGGCGCCGGAGAGUCAGCUGGUGGUGAACUUGUGAGAGACGCCGGAAAAGGGAGAGCGUUGUUUCGGGUAGGGCAUGAACGAAAGAGAAAGGGCACGAACGAAGGAGAAAGGGCACGAAAACGAAGCCCGAAGUGUUCCGGUUUUGUUCUUUUUAGGGCUUCAAGAAGUGUUUCUGGACUCCAGAAGUAAGUUUUUUUUUUUUAUUUAUCUUUUUUAUGUUUCAAUUUUGCUCUAGGAACCAAGGGUGCGAAUGGUAACGGAAACGUUAAAUAAACACGUUUCUGUUCUUUUUUGUUCCCAGGAACAAAAAAACCAAAAAACUGUUCAUAAACACAUUUCAGAAACAAAAACAUACAGGGCCUAAGCUUUUUAUGGACACAUAUUGUUCAAUAGAUAGGCUUUCAAUUUGUUGCGUUGGCACAACUUGUGUGGUCAAUAUUUUCUCCAUGUCUUAGUAGAAUGUAAAAAUAAGUAAAUGCUCAGCCCACGAACGCAUCUAUGUCCAUACACAUGUUUUCAGAAUUUUAUUAAUAUCAGCUAUACGAGAUUGUGCUAUAAAUAUAAUAACGCAAAGAGGCCUAAAAUCGGAAAAGCUCACCUAGAGAAACCCCGCAUUAUCUUCAAUCAAAUCCCUAGAAUGGGAAUGGAAGCUUUCUUGGCAUCGUCUGGUUGAUUGGAGCGAGGUGGAAUGGAAAUAAAAAUGGGGAAUAAAAAUUGCUUUAUUACUGCAUUUUUCGUUAACACGCGGGAAAGUGGAAAUGAGCGAUAAGGCAUGGGAAUGAGUUGACAGUCAAAGGUAAAUUGACAUGUGCACUAAGCUUCGUAUUUGGUAACUGUUGUUUGGACAUAAUAUGGCAAACAUACUUACCUAAUUUACUAUUAUAUAGCAAUUUAAAACGAUAAAAUUCCACCCAUUACUACAUACGUUCCAAUUCCGAUGUAUUAUCAAAUGCAGUGAUCUUCAAAUCAAUCGCUAUUCUGAUUCACUACAAGCAAUUCCAUUUCCCUCUAGUUAUCUCAUGCUUAUGUAACAAAUCAGCCAAAGAAACAAUUUAGAACUCGUAUGGACCACAUCCUCAUCUAAAAUUAAGAACAGAUCAAAGUGCAUGAACCGCAAAAAUUAGGACCAUGAGCGCACGCAUGUCUAGUCUGUCUAAUUCUAUAUUUAUAUAGUGGUAGAUAUAUCCAAUAUGACCUCACUACAUACAUCCAAUUUCCACUCUGGAAUACGUAAUUAAUUGAUUAGGCUUGUUCUUCAUGACUUAUUUUUCCUCCAAUUGCCUUCAUGUUACCUCUUUUGGAAGCAUUCAGUUGAUCUACAUGCAUUGUUUGGACAUGAAGAACUAUUUUAAUAGUUCAGUUUUCAUAAAAAUAUACCAGCUCGAGAUUAUCAAUGGUGUGUGUAUAUGUAAUCUUGUGUACUAAAACUAGCUAAACUCGAAUGAUAUUCCAAUUUGGAUCUAAAAUACCAUUGCCGGAUAAUUUAAUGGAAUGCCAUCAAAUUGUUUUCCCCUAAUGCUACGUUAAAGUACGUAUUGCAUAACUUAGAUACUUUUACCCAAAAUCAUUCCGAAAAAAAUAUAUCAGGACAAAUUCAGAAGUUUUAUAGGAGAUAAUCAUGGAUUAAUAUAGUUUCGUUCCAUUCUUAUAAGAACCAUUCAAAGGAAUUUAUUUCUUCACGUGGGGAGCAAACUCUGCCUUUUUUUAGUCAAUUGUUGACUUGGUUUUGAUUAAUUAGACAUAACUAAAUUCAUUUUUGCUCAAGGUUUGCUGUUUGACAUAUAAUAUCAAAAAUAUAUUUCAAAACUUCACCGCUACAUAUUUACAAUACCCCGCAACAUUGCACGAGAAGUAGCAAAGCUUUUGCUGUUCACAUACCCGUCUGAGCACCUGGGAAAGCCUACUCUCCCAUCUAAUACUGUACAAUUAAGUUAGGUCAAUAUAUCCAACUUCCAUGAUUUUAGGUAUGUGAAUGUGAAUCCACCAGUUGCCAAAUGAAGGACACGAAAGAAAAAGGAAAUAAGUUAACCACGCGGGCAGGAUUGAGAGAUGUGUAUUUUUGCAGGCUACGUAAUGUCUCCGAAUAUAUAGUCAUGAGAUACGGUCCACAAACAAAUGUACGACCAUUCAGUACUCAUUUUCCCAUUUGUCAACUAGGCAUAUUGCUGCAUUACUCAAUUGCAUUCAUUUAACUAUAUGUAAUUUAUUGUUGGAUGACGUACACAUUGCAUCGUAUAAUGUACAUAGAAAUUUCAAUAUUGUUACCGGUACCCACAUGAUCUCGUGAAACAAUAUUUCGAACAAUCUUCUAAAUCUUCUUGAUAAAUAUGCCAUGCACUUGGUACCAAACUAAAAAGCAUUCCGCAACUCUCCCGCUAUGUAAACAUAGUCGACUUGCUAUAUUACUAUCUUUACGAGCUUUUGGAGAAUCGAAGUCGCAAUGUCAUCCAAUAGCAGGGGAUCGAGAAGCAAGAAAAACAUAUUUAGCAAAGCAUGGAACGUGUUCAAGGGGAAACGGGGUUCUUGAGAAGUCUCGUCUAGCAGGACCUAUUGAGAUGUCACCACGUCACCGGUAAGCUCAUUGGUAAAGCCUAUUAAAUUAAUGUCUCGAGUUUGAAUUUGGAUAAUGAUUUGUAAAUCGAAUUUAUUGAUAAAAAUUUUUCAAAUAAAUUUUAAAUUGGAUGAAAAAAAAUUCGUUGGAUUCUUGAAGAUUUAUGAAGGAGGAAAUAAUAGUAUAAAGGAAAAAGGGGAGCAAAGUUUUCUUUAUCUGAGGAGGAGGCCGAAUAAGGUUUGUUACAUGGGGCCAAAGUCAAGUCUUGACUUUUGGGCACACAUAUAAAUAAAAGGCAAGUCUCCGGGAAGAAAAGCUGUCCAAACCUCUCUGCACGUGGAGCCGAAAAAAGAGCUGGUGAGCCCAAGUCAGAUAUUUGAAAAAAGAAUUGGUGAGCUCAGGUCAAAUAUUUGAAAAAAAGAGUGGUGAGCCCAGGUCAAAUAUUUGACCUUUGGGCUCACGAAUUUCCCUUUUUGGUGUGCGUGAAACGGCUUAAGAAAAACCCCCCACGAAAUAAAAGGAGCCGCCGCAGUCGUACAAGUGAAAAAGGAGCCGCACGUAGGAGAAUAUAGAAGCCACGGGAAGCUGUACAUAGAGCGUUUUGUUUUGAGCUUUGAUAAUUUUAUACCGUGAGUUAUAAAAACUUUGAAUUUAAAGUUAAAUCUAGAUAUAGAAAAUAUUUGAGCAUGUAAGUGAUUGUAAACUCUGAUUCUCUAAUUAUAGUGGAUUAUUUGCUGCUGAAUCUUCCCGUAGACGUAGGUACCGAUACUCGGACUGAAUUACGUAAAUUUCGGAUAUCCUUAUUAUUUCUCGUUUAUUUCUUUGGUGAUUUCGCGUUGAUGUAAAUUGCAAAAUCAUGUUGUUUCCGCGUAUUAUAUUUCAACAGAGCCUCAACGGAACUAUCGGGAUGUUGCCACGUCUCCGGUGAGCUGGAGAUCCUCAAGCAAGUCCCAGUCCCGAGUGAGUUCUCGGAGCUCACUGAUGGAGUCUCAGCGGAGAUCCUCGAGUGUCAGCCAAAGCGACGACCAUUAUUACAAUUCUAGUGAAGACAAUCCAUGGCGAGCAAGCUACAGGCAUGGCGCUCUCGCCUAUCGUGGUGAUUACGAUCAAGUGCGAGUGAGAUCGUACCCGUGACCACUCCGGCAGGAAUAUGAUUAUUUUUAUCACACUAGUAUGGGGCAGUAUUAUUCUUGGGGUCUUGACAAUGUCAAUAGUUACGUCCAUGACGACGCGUCUGUUCCACCAUAUCUGCCCCCGCAUACUUCUUAUGGUUAUCACCGUCCAUCCGAGUCUCCCCCGAAUAAUUGUGCGGUGAUGUGAGAUGCCUAAUAUAGUGUGGCUAUAGUUGGUAUUUACUAAUAUCUGGUGAAGUACGGGAUGAGCUAGGGGCAUGGUUGAGCCAUUGGUUUGUUAGCUUUCGCUUGUGAAUCUCAGUGAAGUUUCUUGUUUUAGUUAGUGGUUUCGAACGUGAUGGAGUUUGAUUGAAAUCGCUUUGCCAGUUAACGAAGGUUAUAUACUUAUUUUAUGAAGUUUCAUCUAGUUCGUAGAUGCUAAACAUUUCUAUUAAAAUUUUACUAAAAUUAAGGGCACUUAAUUCCAUCAAUUGUCUAGGGUUCUACUUCUAUGAACAGAUGUUCCCUAACCAAUCAUUUAUCACAAAAACUAAACCAAAUGAAAAACGAUUUAUAAAAAUAGUAAAAAAAAAAAGAAAAAGAAAAAUUGGCCACGCCAUUCCUUGGAAAUUCUUCAUUCUUCAAGGAAGACCUUUAAGGAUCCAAGCUUUCUUGUGAUCCUUCGUGUUCAAACUUCAAGUAGCUUUGAAUGUGCAGAUAUACAUUGAAAUUCGUCUUUCCAGAUGCUUAUGGCAUCUCCAUUGAGAUGCAUAUACAUGGAGGAAAAACUUUUCAAGCUCAUCCAUUUAAAAAUUGGGCUUCUUGCUUGAUGAAAUUCAGUGGACAAAGACGAAAGAAAACGUUUUCAGUUAAAAAGAUCAAAACCGAAAAUAUUCUCCACUCAGUCCGUCGGAAGCAAUUGAAUUGUUGAUGUAUCGACAUAAUAAUAAAACAGGAAAGAGAUUUAUUUAUUUCAAUAUCUUCUUUAGUGAAAAAUAUAGUAAUCUAUUUAUAAAUUUUAUGAAGUGACUAUCUGAAAUAACAAAAUAUUACACAUAUCAAUGACGAUCAAUGAAAAACCAUUCAAUGAUAUGCAUAAUCAAAUGAACAUAGUGCACAAUUAUGAUAGAUAUACAAAAUCAAUGGAGAUUUAAAGAAUCUACUUUAUAUAGAGACAUAGAAGAAGUCAAUUGCAGGUUGGUGCCUUAGUGAAUAUAUUAGCAGUCUUAUCAACUGAAGAAGUGGAGACAAGAUGCGCAAUGUCACGAAGCACGUGAUACACGUGAAACGAUAGUCUCUUUCAAUAUGUUUGGUGCUUUUAAAAAAAAAAACAUUAUUAUAUGCUUUUUGGAUCCAAUUGUCCUAAUAAAUAAGUAUUCUGCCGUUAAGAUGACACUUAUAUGUCCUCUAAUAACCAUUACAAAUACAGUAAUUUUGAUGUUGUAUUAGCAAAAGCAUGAUAUUCAGCUUUCAUGCUAGAUGGAGCGACAAUGGUCUAUUUAUCGUUAUGCUAUAAGAUAAGUGAGUUACUUAGAAAGAAGCAGUAGCGUGUAGUGAAGUAAUAAUCAAGAGGGUCUCCUGCCCAAUGAGCGUUAGAUUUAGUUAAAAAGAUUGAACUGAAAAAUGAUCUCCACUCAAUCUGUUGAAAACAAGUGAAUCACUUAGUUCAAUGGAAGAAUCGCCACAUGAAUAAUGGGUAAGGGAUUUUGUCUCAGGGAAUAAACUAUGAAUCCAUUAAAGCUCCAUUCGUUUCACGAAGCACAAUUUCCAGAAAAGUACUUUUUGGAUUUUCUGACAUUCAUUUCCUAAAAAAUGAACUAAUUGUGAAAAGCAUUUUCCAUCGACAAAAAGAGUUUUCUAAAAUAGAGAAAAUGGUUUCCACUUUUCAAGAUGAAGAAAACAUUUUUUCUUACUUAGUUUCUCUUAUCUCAUACCUAUGUCAACCUUUUCAUCUUUUUUCCUUGAAAAAAAUCGAAUUUUCAAUUAUUUUUCCUUUUCUUGUUUUUCACUUUCAAGCUCGAAACUCAUUGGAAUUUGGCGAGUCUUAAGCUCGCCUUUGGCCAGUCGCUGGCCAUCACCAUGGUUGAUCAAAGAAGAAGAAUAUAAAAAGAAAGAAAAGAAAAAGAAAAAUUAAAAUAAUUUAAAAAUCGAUUUCAAGAAAAAAAAUUUAAAAAAAAUUAUUGAAAAAGAGUGCAUGGAGGAAAACAUUUUUCUUAUCGAACAACAGAAAAUAUUUUAUAAUUUAUUUUCAAAUUUCAGUUGCACACUACAAAAUAUAGCUACCUUCUUGAAAAAUGGUUUCCUAGAAAAUAACUUUUGGAAACAUCACAUUUUAUGUGAAAAGAAUAGAAUCUUAAUUGAAAAAUGAUUCGUUUGACAUAGCCUGGAGAUAGGCUUCUUUGUCCAUUGGCAACUAGGAAUACAACCCCAAAGUGCCAUUAUUAUUAUUUUGCCCCAAUUUCAAAUGCAAAUAGGCCUUCUAUUUAUUUUAGGGAAAAUUGCAAAAAAGGGCUCGAAGUGUUCUCAUCUUCUCAAGUAAGAGCUCGAAGUGGACCUUAUUUCAAAUAAGCGCCUGAAGUGCUAUCACUUUAUCAAAUAAGGGAUUGAAUUGAAUUUUCUUUUGAAUAAGGGCUUGAAAUGGUUAUGCCCGUUUCAAAUAAGAGUCUAAAGUAAUUAUAUUUAUUUUAAAUAAGGGCUUUCUCUUCUUUUUUUCCCUUCCUUUUUUAUGGUUCUUCUUCUUCCUCUUCAUCGGUGGUCAAAAGGUUGGGCGAGGAUCGUCUUCACCCAAUUCGGCGAGUGCCACCCGUAUCAACCAAAAGUGAGGAACGGGUUCACCUAGGUGAGGCCACCCUUGCGGCCAUUUGCAAGGGCUCGACAACCUCGUCGGCCACGGGUGAGGGUGGCCUCGCUCACAAUCAGCAAGGGCUUGCAGGCCAUUGUUAGCCAUUCCUAGUAGCUAGCAAGAUCGUUGACCCCUUGCAAAGAAAAAAUAAGAUAAAAGAAAAGAAAAUUUGGAUGAAAACUUCUUGGCUGGUUGGAUAAUUUAGUUGGCCGACAACCGCCGAAGUCGGACCAUUAUUUAAAACAACAAUGGCUAUAUCAAUGCCUUUAUUUAAAACAAUUGAUGCCAUUUCAAAUUCUUAUUUGAAAUAAGGUCUAUUUCGGGUUUUUAUUUGAAAAAAUGAGGCACUACAAGACUUUUUUUUGAAAUUUUCCCUUUAUUUUAUUUUAGGUUGCAAUUCAUGCCCGUGGACUGAACUAAAAUAUACUCUUUCUCUCUCUCUCUUUUUUUUUUUUUUCAACUUAAAAAAGCCGCUUGAUCAAAUAUUAUUUAUCUUUAGCAAAUGCACCUUGAAUCAAGGGGGAAAUGACUUCGCAUUUCUUCAGAAGUCUUCCAAACGCAAGUGCUCAUGUCAACAUUUGCAUCAAGAUUUCUAACCUUUCGUUUCGAAAAAGUAUAGUUGCUGCGAUUUUUCUUUUCGUAUUUUAUAAAAUAAAAAUAAAAAGUCAAAAACACACGGCGCAUCACGUUGACCAUCAACAGUCAAUGCAUGCCGAUCAGCAGGCGCUGUCCAUGUCUCGAUCUCAUCGUCACAAGCGAAGAAUGUGAACCAAGCGAUCAACCAUCGAUCUUCGAAGGAGAAGACUUCACAGAUUGCGCUUCUUCCGUCGGCGAUCGUCCUCACUUCCUCUCCAAUCGCCUCCCAGCUUCCUCCUGCAUCCUGAAAAUCCGUAUGGCGGCGGCGCUCGUCGGCGGAGCAUUUCUCUCGGCUUUCCUCCAGGUGCUCUUCGAUCGGAUGGCCUCCCGCGAGGUCGUCGACUUCUUCCGGUCGCGCAAGCUCGACCAGGGGAGGCUGCUCCAGAAGCUGGAGGCUGCGCUCCUGUCCGCGAACGCCGUGCUGGACGACGCGGAGGAGAAGCAGAUGACCAACGACUCCGUCAGGAAGUGGCUCGACGAGCUCAAGGACGCCGUGUACGACGCCGACGACCUGUUCGACGAGAUCGCCACUGAAGAUCUGAAGUGCGAAGCCGGGGUCGAGCCUCGGGCUCUCGUUUCUAAGGUCUGGAGCUUUGCUGCAGACGCUCGUAGGAGUAAAUUGGGGGAUAAGUUAGAGAGGGUUCGGGAGAGAUUGGGGGAUAAGUUAGAGAGUAAAUUGGGGGAUAAGUUAGAGAGGGUUCUGGAGAGAUUAGAGAGCGUGGUGAAGCAGAGAGAAGUGCUGGGCCUAAGGGAAGGCAUUCGCAGGAGGACGGCUAGAGCUUUGCCGACCACUUCGUUGGUCGAGGAAUUGGGAGUUUUCGGGAGGGAGAAGGACAGGGAGGCGGUGAUCGACUUGCUCUUGUCAGAUCGGGGCGAAAAUAACACCAGCGUGAUGGCCAUCGUUGGGAUGGCCGGUGUCGGUAAGACAACGCUAUCUCAGCUCGUGUUCAACGAUGUUGCGGUGAAGGGGAGUUUCGAGUUGAGGGCGUGGGUUUCCGUGUCCGACCAAUUCGACAUCUGCAAGCUGACGGCGACGGCUCUCGAGGAGUUCUCCUCCCCGUCUAAGAAGGAGACCGAAAAUCUCAACCAGCUUCAGCUCCAACUGAAGGACUUCUUGACUGGGAAGAAAUUCCUAUUGGUGUUGGAUGAUGUUUGGAAUGAGGACUCAAAUCUUUGGGAUGCGUUCCUAGUUCCAUUUAUCUAUGGAGCAAGAGGCAGCAAAAUCGUCGUGACGACACGAAAUGAAAAUGUCGCAUCGGUUGCUCGUGCCUUCUCGAAAUACUAUUUACAGAAGUUACAAGACAAGGAAUGUUGGGACUUGUUCGCAAAACAUGCAUUUGACGAGCAUAACUUCGAGGCGCGCACGAGACUUGAAGAAAUCGGGCGAAGAAUUGUAAAGAGAUGUGAUGGAUUGCCUCUUGCGCUGAAGACUAUAGGUAGCUUGUUACGCGGUGAGUCUGAUAUCAGGAAGUGGGAAAAUAUUGCAGAGAGUUAUAUUUGGAAUUUGGCACCUGGAAAGAAUGGAAUUCUCCCUGCGUUGUUGUUAAGUUAUCAUUACCUUCCUCCACAACUGAAACGAUGUUUCGCUUAUUGUUCACUCUUCCCAAAGGAUUGUAUAUAUGAGAAGGACCAGCUGAUCUUACUUUGGAUGGCUGAGGGUUUGAUAGAACAACCUAACGACAGCAGGACAUUAGAGGAGGUAGGUGAUCAAUGCUUCUGUGAUCUUGUGUCUAGAUCUUUGCUUCAUAGAGUAAGUGAUGUCGAAUCAAGCUUCUCGAUGCAUGACCUGGGAGUAAGCGAUGUGAAAUCGAGCUUUUCGAUGCAUGACCUGGUCAAUGACUUAGCAAGAUAUGUAGCUGGUCGUUCUUUUUUCAGCUUGGACGGAGGCAAUGCACACCAAGUGUCCUCAAGCACUCGCCAUUUGUCAUUUGUAAGAACUCAAUGUGAUGUCGCUUCCAGAUUCAAAGUGCUAGCCGGGGCAACGAAUUUGCGUACUUUCCUGCCGCUGAACGUGGAUCAUGUGAGAUUUCGCGAGUGCAAUUUGUUGACUGAUGAGGUACUGCAUGUUCGGUUGCCGCCCCUGAGACAGUUAAGGGUGCUAUCUUUGUCUCAUUAUUGGAAAAUCUCUACGUUGCCCAGUUCAAUUGGACGUUUGAAGCAUCUGCGCUAUUUGAAUCUCUCCCAUAAUGAUAGUCUAAUCAGAUUGCCUGAUACAAUUACAGCUCUAUACAACUUGCAAACCUUAAUUCUUGCUUACUGUUGUUCUCUCGUUGAGUUACCGAGCAACAUGGGCAGCCUAACCUGUCUGCGUCAUCUUGAUAUAAGGAAGACAUCCCUGAAGAGAAUGCCACAGGGGAUGAACAGACUGAAGAAUUUGCAGAUAUUAACUAAUUUCGUGGUGGCCAAAAACGAUGGGACUAGGGUUAGGGAGCUAGGGGAGCUAGGGGAUCUUAUGGGUACACUCUCCAUACAGGGUUUGCAGAAUGUUGAUAGUUACCGAGAUGCUGAGACAGUCAAUUUGCGGGAAAAGAGGUACUUGAAAAAGUUAGUACUGCAAUGGGGUUCUGAUAACAAUAUUAUGCAGCAAAAUUGCUUAAAUGUAUUGGACGAGCUGCAACCUCACUGGAACUUGAGAGAGCUUAUCAUUACAUCCUAUAGUGGUAGGUCAUUUUCCAAUUGGCUGGGACACAGUUCAUUCUCUAAUAUGUCUGUCGUGCGUCUUGAGACAUGCAAGCACUGUGUGUCAUUGCCUCCUUUAGGACAGCUACCAUCUCUGGAGAGGUUGAUAAUCGAAGGAUUUGAUGGAGUUACAAGUGUGGGUACUGAAUUCAAUGGUAGUAACUGUAUACCUUUUCAGUCACUAAAGUACUUGGAAUUUGCUGACAUGCACAGUUGGAAAGAGUGGGCUUCUUUUGCAAUAGAGACAAGAGGUCUUACCUUUGCACAUCUGCAGCAGCUUUGUAUUAGAAAUUGCCCGCGGUUGAGUGGAGGUUUACCCGGCCAUCUCCCUUCUCUAACAACCUUGUCCAUU
rnacentral:lncRNA from 1 species